rnacentral:lncRNA from 1 species
CGUUCAUCAGGCAAACCAAAUUCCUGCAACAAAACUAAUCGACAGCAACGAGGCAGCGCAACGCUACAAUGGGAGGGUUUAUAUCGAUUACCCAAAGGGGAAACCAGUUCCGUUUUAAAGACCUAUUGAUCAAUCACUUAGCUUUCUUGUAUGCAUAACCUCCUCCAGUACUUGUGUUACCUUUAGUCCUGUAUGAUAUUCUCCCUCUGCUAAACGUAGACGAGGAGAGGUUGCUUCUUACUUCAAAUAAAAUUUCUGUGAUUUAUAUAUCAUAAUUUUCUAUUUGGCUGGUCAAGUAUGCAUUGUCAUAAAUAUCUCUCUGCUUCCCUGAUUAUUACCUUAUUCACCUAUUACUUAGUAUGAAAUAAUGAAAGAUUAAUGCAGUCGGAAGCACAAAAUAUAGCUGCAACUAAGCAUGGAAAGACAAAAGAUGGACUGAAAUAAGGUGAAAACACGAAGAAUCCCAAAACCUUAUUUUAUUUCUAAAAUAUUAAUGUGAUGAAGUCUACCUCCUAAAGAGGUUUACAAUCCCUAUUAUAGGCUAGAAAAAUGGACUAAAAUUGGAAACAAAAUCAAAAUCCCAAUACAUAACAGGAAAUAACAUAAAAUCUGCAAAAAUUAAUAAAAAAUAACAAAAUUAUCCUAAAUAAUAACUCAUGAGCCUUAUUUUUGGAGAUCCAAUGCUCCGAUAACUACUGAGUAGUUUUUAAUGGGAAAACAACUUGUAAAAAUUUAAAUCUAAUCCAACAGCUAGAUCUCCUGAUAUCAUCAUUUUAGGACAAUACUCUUGUCUUGCGCAAUCAUGCUUUUUCUUGGGCCAAAACAUGUCUCACUAGUACAUGAAAAUAUGUGUUAGGCCAUAUAUAUAGUCUGUUUACGGAAAAUACAUAAUUAAUUUGCUUUUCAAAUGCUUUGAAGCUCUUCAAGGUGUGAUUUCACUGAAUAAUUUUGAGUUUAGAAUUAUCACCUCAUUUUGGAAUUGUCCUGAGCACAAGGAUAAAAUGAUGAGCCGAUAAAAUGAUGAGCCAUGGGGAGCGUCUUGGAUUAAGAAAGAAUAAACAGAGUUCAAGGUAAAACAAUAGCUUAGGAAAAAAAAGUAGAAAUUUACAAUAUAUCUAAGAAUAUCAGCGAUCAUGACCAUGAUUGGAUCAAUUGUGAAUUCUAUAACCAAAAUUUCCUUCACAAAUCUUUAAAAGCAUGAUUCCCAAUCCGAGCUAUGUGAGCAACUGUAUCUAGUAUAAAUAUCUUAUCUCCUAUGAAAAUGAGAUAUCUUUUACAGAAAAAUGAGAUAUCAAAGGUAAGCCUCCCUUUGAAGCAUUGCUUUACACAUAUCUUUUACAGAAAAGGGGAAAAAAUGGGAAAUGCUCUGAGUAUAUACCUUUUCUUGAUCUUUCCCAAUCCUUCAUUAUAAACGGGACCCAUCAAACAUGAGAUGUGCGUUAACCUCCUCCAUAUUUCAUCUUAGCCUAGAAGGAUAAACAAGAAUAUUAUUGCUUCUGAAACAUAACGAUUGCAAGCAUCGCCUUUCGGUGAACUUUUUGUCGCACGUCUUGUGUUUUGCUUGGUUCGUUGGAGUCGCCACCUAGUAUUAUGGUCACUAGGAACCUAAGAUCUGCGAGAGUCUGAGUAAGGGACUGGUUGUGCAAGGGGAAGACGCAUCACCCCCAGUGCACCCUACCUAAGGUAAGCUGCAUUAUUGUUUGAUUGUUUUCUAGGUCGAGUUUUUAUUCGCUGGUCUUUUCUACGGUUCAAGGCAAAUCUCCCCUCGUGAGGGAGUCUCUACCUUAUUCGGUUAAAUCCUAACCAUUCUAAAGUCCGAAUUUUAAAAUUUCUUUUAUUUACACCUUGUAUCUUUAAUACCCGAGGAUGUACAUUAUCGUGUAAUUUUACACCCCACAAAUAUUAAAGUCUACAUUCGAAUCCUAGAAGAAAAGUUGGAAAAAGGUUUUUGAUAUUUUGGCCAAACCCUAAUGGAUGAUCAUAAACUAGUUAUGAUAUCCAUUUUUUGAAUUUUUAAAAUGGGAGAAAAAUGGAAUUUUUGUGAAAACAUGCUUGGAAAAUUCUUUAGGACUUGGCCGUAUGCAAUAAAACAUUUUUUUUUUUUUUGAAAUAUUUCAAAGAAAACGGGCAUUUUAAUACCGAACUUGUAUCUUACAUUGUAAGUAUACAACCCAAUAUUAAGCAAACUUAGUUGACAAAUAUUUGGGAAAAUUACAAAAAUUUUUUUGAAAAGAUUUUUUUUAUUUUUUUUGGAAAAAUUUUCGUUUAUUUUAUUAUUACUUUUAACUAUGUACUAAGUAAUUAAAUACCUUAAAGCAUGUGGGUUGGGCCCAAGACAGGCCCAGAAACAAAUGUAUUGAUCAUAGGCCCAAAAACAAUUGGGCCCGGACGCGGUCGAACAUAUUUUGCAUUUUUAGGGACGGGCUGGACCUGGCCCAGCCAACUGGGCCGGGUCAAGGCAGGUCCAGCCCAUAGCAGCUUAGUCACUGGGCAGCCCAGUGACUAAGCUGCAGGAACGGUGCAACGUGAAUUAUAAUUCACGUUGCACUGUUCACGCAGUGAUGCUACGAAGAGAAGCAGAAGAAGAAGAAGAGAGGAGGAAGACUCACCUGGUGCUGAAGGAACUGGCGACCUGACUGGUGGCGGACGGUACGACUGGAGGUGGUGAGACCGGCGGUGAGCUGUGGUUGCAGCUGGAAGAAGAAGACGCCUGCAAAAGAGAAGGGAGGCUCACAGUUGCAACUGUUGGAGCGGCUGAAGAGAGAGCUGAUGUCCUCGCUGUCUUUGGGGAAAGGCAGUGGCUUCGGUUCGAGGUGGUUGCUGCGGCUGCUACUGCUAGGGUCGCAGUGGUGGAGAGAAAAAAACGUUUUGCUGGGAAGAGAGGGGGAGAGAGAGAGUUGCUGCUGACUUCAGUGAGGUUGCUGGGUGAUGGAUGGGAUGUGGUGUUUCAGGGGAAGGAUGGUGUCGAGAUCAGUGGUGGCCGAUAGAGGCCACGGCGGAGAGGAAAAAGAAAUAGAGGACUGGUUGCGGGAAAACUGGGCAGGAAAAUAUGAUUUUCGGCCAACUUUGAGUUCAGUUUUCUCCUCCUUCCUGAGCACGAAAUUGGCUCCUAUUUAUAGGGCUGGAGAGAGGGUAAUCUUGUCUUCAACGGGGAAAAAGUCUCAGCCCUUGAUUCGACUCGAGGAAUCCAAGCCGUUGGUUCAAAGAGUGCACCUCGAACUGUCAAAUUUGGCCAUCCAAGGCUGCAGACUGCCCGAGGGUGCCACUUUGGGCCAAUAAACGGAGCCGUUUUCGAGUUGUUCGACCCGACCGGACCACUCUACGAGAUAGAGGGAUUGCAGGUGGACAUGGUGGUGCAUGCUUUGUCGGAUUUGGGGAACAAACGAGGUAGAAAAUGCGCCUGGAAGUCUGCCACUCGGGCAGCUUUACGGGGAAGAAGGUGAACAGUAACCAGCCGAUUUGUAUUUUUUUUUUUAUUUUUUUUUUCGUUUUUCAAUUUAGUCCGCGUUCUUUCAAAUUAGUUCAAUGAAACCCCUAAUUGACCCUAAACCUUUGAUUUAAUGCAAUUUUGGCCCCUAAUUUCAACCAAUUCACUUGGUAAAAAUUAAAUUUGGUCUCUUAAAAUUCCAAUCUUCUUAAUUAAGCCUAAAUCAGGCUCCCAGAUUUAAUUUUUCACCAAUUAAGCCCCAAAUAAAAUUAAUUUGACCCACUUAAAGUAUAAUUAAGUCCUUGCACUUAAUUAAAUCCUUCAAUUAGACCUAAAUUAAUUCUUAAACAUAAUUAAAAUUUAAUUUGGCCCAUGAUUAAAUCAAAUUGGCCCAUUAAAAAUUUAAUUAUGUCAUUGGACUUAAUUUUUAUGCAAAUUCAUCCAAUAAUCGUUUAAUUUUACCUUCGAAUUUGCAUUUUUCUAUUCUUGGGCAUAAUAGGGUACAAUUAGGCCUUGAAAUUCCUCUAAAAAUUGCAGCUUUAUUUCCCAGUCUGCUCUCUCCAUGUUGCCAGCCUUUAUUUUAUUUUUUGAUUUUUAUUUUGAAGAAAGAAAUUGAUUUUUGGGGAAUAACCCAGAAUUGGGUUAUGACAGUUGCCCCCCUCUUUACAAUGCUUACGGUAGAAGGUCUCUUAAGAGACUUUAGAUAGUAAGCGUUGUAAAGAUGAAAAAAGGAAGAUUUUUUUUUUUUUUUUUUUGAAAUGGUCGAAUUGUCAUGGGUGACCUACCCGGGUGAAAAACACGAAGAUGUUUUAAAGAGGUGAAAAAUACAGAGAUUUUUCAAAGUGGUUUUGUUUUAAUGGGCAACCGGCCCAAGAUGGAAAACGAAAAGAGUUUUCAAGGUGGUGAAAAAUACGAGGAUUUUUCAAGUUGGUGAGAAAUGCAAAGAUUUCUCAAAAUGGUGAAAAAUACAAAGAUGUUUUCAAAGUGGUUUUGUUGUAAUGGGCAACCGGCCCAAGAUGAAAGGUUUUGAAAAACACAAAGAUUUUUCAAAGAGGUGAAAAAUGCAGAGAUUUUUCAAAGUGGUGAAAAAUACAGAGAUUUUUCAAAGUGGUUUUGUUGUAAUGGGCAACCAGCCCAGAUGGAAGAUGAAAAGAGUUUUGAAAGAGGUCAGAUUAUAAUGGUUGACCUACCCGGGCGAAAAGGCAAAAUGUCUGAAAGGGACGACAUGAUAGGACUCGAUGGGGAACGAGGGCUGAAGAGCGCACUCGAAAGGAGAUAGGGUUAGAAAAACACACUACCUAAGAGGUGAGUGCUCUAAGGCGCACUGUAAAGAAGGCAAAUAGGGCUAGAAAGCACACUACACAAGAGGUGAGGGCUCGAAGGAGCUCUCAAAAGGAGGCAAGGUUGGAAAACGCACUACCUAAGGGGUAAGGGUUCAAAGGAGCAUUCAAAAGGAGGUAAGGUUGGAAAACGCACUACCUAAAGUGGUUAAUGGCCCUAAGGCGCACUUAAAAGGAGAUAGGGUUGGAAAACGCUCUACCUAAGGAGUUGAUGGCCCUAAGGCGCACUUACAAGGGGAGGCAUGGUUAGAAAACACAUUACCCAAGGGGUGAGGGCUCAAAGGUGCACUUGAAAAGGGAGGUAGGGUCAGAAAACACACUACCUAAGAUGGUUGGGGGCUCUAAAGCGCACUAAAAAAAGGAGGUAUGGUUAGAAAACACAUCACCUAAGGAGUGAGGGCUAAAAGACGCCCUCAGAAAGAGGUAGGGUUGGAAAACACACUACCUAAAAGGUUAGGGCUCGAAGGCACACUAAAAAAGAGGCAGGGUUAGAAAACACACUACCUAAAGGGUGAGGGCUAAAAGACGCCCUCAAAAGGAGGUAGGGUUGGAAAACACACUACCUAAAAGGCUAGGGCUCGAAGGCACACUAAAAAAAGAGGUAGGGUUAGAAAACACACUACUUAAGAUGGUCGAAGGCUCUAAGGCGCAUUCAAAAGGAGGUAGUGUCAGAAAAUACACUACCUAAAGGUGAGUGCUCCAAGGGGCACUCAAAAAGAGGUAGGGUUGGAAAACACACUACCUAGGAGGGUUAGGGCUUCAGCAACCCGCUCAAAAAGAGAUGAUGGUGAGACACCGAUCUGUCAAGGAUGAAAGAAAUGCAUCAUGAUCAAUAUGCAUGUAUACUUACUUGAGAAGUAUAGGUCCCCUUUUCUUCAUGGAGUUCUCCUUUUCUCAAAAUUUUGAGUCUCUGAUAGUAAGCUUUGAUGGCUUUUGUCCCCCUUGCUUACUCGAGAAAUAUCUUACGAUCUUGGCCUCUAGGAAAGACUUGAUGCCAUCAUUUCUUUGUUCUCCGCCCCUUUUAUCUCAAGGGUUUCCAAUUUGCCCAAUAGUUUCUUUGAAAGGGAAUCAUGGAGCCAGCUCUACUAGAUGUUUUUUAUUGCCCCCUAGCUUGAUCAUACCCCCAAGUAUUCAAAUCGGGUUUGGGGAUGAGACUAUGUGAAGGAAGGUUUGACAAGGAGUUGUUUUCAUGCAGAAUUUUUGGAAUUUCAAAGCUAUUCCAGACACAGAAAUCAUUUUAACAUCGAUUCAAAGCGAACUCCUUCUAAAGAAAUUCAAGUGAUUCCUAUGGAGAGGUUUUCAGAAGUGAUGAAAACUUUUUUGUUUUGAUUUUUGGUGAAAAAUAUGAAGUGACAUUUGGUUGGUCACAAAAGGUUGAAAUUUCAAUUUGAGGGUUAUUGAGAACCGUUUGUGAAAAUGUGAAAAACACGAAGUCACAUCUGUUUGGUCACAAAAGGUUUAAACUUCAAUUUGAGGGUUAUUGAGAACCGUUUUCAAAGCAGUCAUUUUAUUUGCAUGAAUAAUGAUUUUAUUUUGCAUGAGAAAGCACUGCCUACCGAUCCAGAUUGCUUGCCUUUGAUCAGAAAGGGCUUGAUUAGGCACGUAAUGUAGGCUUGGGCUUUUGGCUAUGAAGAAAUGAUAUUUGUAGGCUCAAAAGGUGUUUGAGGGACUUUAAGACUAAGGAUCACUAGUGCUUAUAUCCCAAACUCUUUUGUUCAUACAUUUAUGGACCUUGGAAUUGAUUUGUAAAAUGGUCCACGGUGCCCCCCAAUGUUGGGCUUGGGCUCUUUCUCUUUGUUUUUGUUUCUUCAUUUGAUUUUGAGCAUCAUUGCAUUAGUUUUUUUUUUGCUCAAAAUUUUUGGAUCUUUGGAUUUUUCUUCAUGCCCCCUAGCUUUGAUAUGGGCACCUUUGAUGAUUGAAAUUUCUUUUAUGCCCCCCAGUAUUGUUGGGCACUUUCAUUGUUGAAGACUUUUUCAUGCCCAAGAGUUAUUUGGGCACUUCAAUCAUUAUGGAUUUUUUGCACUUGCCCCCCAGUGUAGGGUGUGAUCCUAGCCAAGGUUAUUUUUGAAGAAAAAUUUAUUAGGCUCAAAAGGGGACUGCAAAUGAUAUAUUUAGCCUUGUAAAGGAUUAUCAAAAUGGCCUUUCUUCAUCUCAAAUGCAUGCAUUUAGGAUCGGUAAGCCUUGCUUUCAUGUGAGUAUGCAAGUGAUUUCUCAUUAUUCAUGCAAUAAAACUCAGCUUUUGGAGUCACUUCAUGUGUUUUUUUUUUUUUUUUUUGGUUUUCUAGGUGUAUGGUUACCUCUCUAAGGAAUCACCUGAAUUUCCAGAAUUCGUUUGUUUCGGACAAACAUCAACAUGAUUUCUUUUUUGUACUAAACUUUGAAUUCCCAAAAAUCCUUAUGAAAACAUGGGUUUUUGAAGGGAGGAAAGAAAACACCAAAGAAUUAGUGGUUUUGUGAGUGAAGGGUGUGCUCAGUAUGUUAUUUGCAUGAACACAGAAAAACAUGAUUUUAUUAACAGGAAAGGCUCAUUUAACAAAAAAAUCUUGUGGCAUUAUGAGCCAAAUUGCCAACAAGACUAAAACGGGUUAAAACAAACAUGAUCAAGCCAAAAUGCAAUAAUUGGGUAGGCUCCAUCUUCCCAUUCUAUAGCAGAACUUUGUCCUCUAUCCUCAAAAGUGCACAUUGCCUUCUUACAUCUUGCUCUUGCCAUUGGUGCUUUGAGGUUUCUAGAGCAUUCCGCCUCUAGUGCAUUCACCGAUCCACUACCUGAAGCAUGAUUGGGUAGAGGGUUCGAAGUUAUGUUUGGAGUUCCUUCGAGGGUGACCCAUCCGACUUUAAUCAGAUGCAUAAGCCUCUUCUUAAAGGCACUGCAAGUAUGAAUGUUGUGUCCCGCGGCGCCAGCAUGGUAUUCGCAAGUAAGGUCGGGCUUGUACCAAUUGGGGUAAGGUGGUUGUAAAGGUGUCAAGGGUUCAGGAGCUAUACGCCCAAUGCUCAGUAGCUUUUGAUACAUCUCAUUUAAGGGCAAUGGUAAUGGAGGUAAUUGUUCUUGGGUUUUUUGGUGUUUGGUUUGAAACUCAGUUUUCUGGUAGGAAAUGAAGGGUUGAAAUUGAUGUUGGCGAUUUGGGGUGAAGUGUGGUAGUUUUGGAAUGGGUUUUUCCUACCCAUGUAACCACCUUCAACAUAGUCGACCUCUUUCAUUUUACCCUCAAAGCCUCUUUUCUCAGUGGGCACAGAUAUUCUACCACUUUUUACCCCUUGCUCAAUGCGCUCAGCUACUGCCACAACAUCAGUAAAUUGCUGGGCCGAACUACCCAUCACAUGCUCGUAGUAUGGGUCCUUGAGUGUAUUGGCGAACAGAGUGACCAUCUCUUUAUCUAGGAGCGGAGGAUGUAUUUGAGCAGCUAGGUCUCUCCAUCUUUGAGCAUAUUCCCUUAUGCUUUCCUUGUCCCUUUUCUCUAGAUUGGACAGACUGGUUCUAUCAGGAGCAAUGUCCAUAUUGUACUUGUAUUGCUUGACAAAAGCAUCCACCAAGUCUUUCCAUUUUUGGAUCUUUGUGUUGUCCAAUCUCAUGUACCAACUUAAUGCUGUCCCACUUAAGCUAUCUUGGAAAAAGUGCAUCAGUAGUUUUUCAUCAUGUACUACUUCUGCCAUUUUGUUGCAGUAGGAUUUGAGAUGAGUCAUGGGGCAUUGCGUUCCGGUAUAUUUGACGAAUUCAGGAACACGAAACUUUUUUGGGACAACCACAUUUGGGACCAGACACAUUUCUGCUGCCCGUACUGGAUCGUACAACUCUACCCCUUCAAUGGCUCUGAUUCGAGCUUCCAACGCCGCCAUUUUAUCUUGACCAAUGCCAUCAGAUGACUUGGUCUUGUGAGACUCAUUGGCAAAUGGAUCUAUGACUACAGGGGCUGGUGCUGAUGGCGUUGAGUGCACAAAUGCUGGAUUGUGUGGAGGUUCUUGACCAUGUUCACUCAUUGUUUCUUCGGGUUGAGCCAUAGUAGGUCGGUUGGAAGGACCUUCAACAGAGGCAUUUCUAAGUGUAUGCUCGAGUAAGCUAGUGAGGCGAGCCACGCUUGCUUUCAGAGACUCUAACUCUUCUUGAAAAUGGGCAUCACGGUCAGCACGCUCUUCACCUUCCAUGUUUCUUGCUCAGAGUCGAGUGUUGUAGACUCUUUGGGGACCUAUAUUUCAACCUGGCGCAUGUAUGUAUGUUAUUUACAAUGGAUGGAUGUAUGUGUGUGGAUGCAAAUGUAUGCACAUUUGGUAUGAAUGGAAAAAACUGAUGCAAAAUGAAUAACAAGAGAGUUCAUGCUCUAAAGGAAGGUUCUAGGUCAUUACAUGAUGGGUAGGCUUUCUACCUGGUCUUGAAAAGGUCUAUGAACUGCCCAGUGACCACCUCACGUGAAGGCAGUGUAGGGGUUUACAAGGAAUGGUUGGGGCACAAUGUGACCGCCAUUACCAAGUAAACACUCAGCUCAUAGUUGGAUGUUUCACGAAUCUGAACCCCGACUGAAAGUCAUGAGGCAGACCGCUACUCCCCACCUAACCUAGAAUAGGGUUUAUUCGCAAAAUUAAAAUGCAUGCUAAAGCAGUAAAAAUGCGAGCUAAAAUUAAAGACCAAUAAAAGGAAACAAUCAAACAAUCAAUGCUUAGUCCGACCACACAUGGUUGUCCCCAGUGGAGUCGCCAUUCUGUCGCACGUCGAAAAAUUCCGCACGACAUCGACUGGCGAUUUUUUAUUAUUUGUGUUUUGCUUGUUUGUUGGAGUCGCCACCUAGUAUUAUGGUCACUAGGAACCUAAGAUCUGCGAGAGUCUGAGUAAGGGACUGGUUGUGCAAGGGGAAGACGCAUCACCCCCAGUGCACCCUACCUAAGGCAAGCUGCAUUAUUGUUUGAUUGUUUUCUAGGUCGAGUUUCUAUUCGCUGGUCUUUUCUACGGUUCAAGGCAAAUCUCCCCUCGUGAGGAGUCUCUACCUUAUUCGGUUAAAUCCUAACCAUUCUAAAGUCGAAUUUUAAAAUUUCUUUUAUUUACACCUUGUAUCUUUAAUACCCGAGGAUGUACAUUAUCGUGUAAUUUUACACCCCACAAAUAUUAAAGUCUACAUUCGAUCCUAGAAAAAAAGUUGGAAAAAGGUUUUUGAUUUUUGGCCAAACCCUAAUGGAUGAUCAUAAACUAGUUAUAUCCAUUUUUUGAAUUUUUAAAAUGAGAAAAAUGCAAUUUUUUGUGAAAACAUGCUUGGAAAAUUCUUUAGGACUUGGCCGUAUGCAAUAAAACAUUUUUUUUUUUUUUGAAAUAUUUCAAAGAAAACGGGCAUUUUAAUACCGAACUUGUAUCUUACAUUGUAAGUAUACAACCCAAUAUUAAGCAAACUUAGUUGACAAAUAUUUGGGAAAAUUACAAAAAUUUUUUUUGAAAAGAUUUUUUUUAUUUUUUUUGGAAAAAUUUUCGUUUAUUUUAUUAUUACUUUUAACUAUGUACUAAGUAAUUAAAUACCUUAAAGCAUGUGGGUUGGGCCCAAGACAGGCCCAGAAACAAAUGUAUUGAUCAUAGGCCCAAAAACAAUUGGGCCCGGACGCGGUCGAACAUAUUUUGCAUUUUUAGGGACGGGCUGGACCUGGCCCAGCCAACUGGGCCGGGUCAAGGCAGGUCCAGCCCAUAGCAGCUUAGUCACUGGGCAGCCCAGUGACUAAGCUGCAGGAACGGUGCAACGUGAAUUAUAAUUCACGUUGCACUGUUCACGCAGUGAUGCUACGAAGAGAAGCAGAAGAAGAAGAAGAGAGGAGGAAGACUCACCUGGUGCUGAAGGAACUGGCGACCUGACUGGUGGCGGACGGUACGACUGGAGGUGGUGAGACCGGCGGUGAGCUGUGGUUGCAGCUGGAAGAAGAAGACGCCUGCAAAAGAGAAGGGAGGCUCACAGUUGCAACUGUUGGAGCGGCUGAAGAGAGAGCUGAUGUCCUCGCUGUCUUUGGGGAAAGGCAGUGGCUUCGGUUCGAGGUGGUUGCUGCGGCUGCUACUGCUAGGGUCGCAGUGGUGGAGAGAAAAAAACGUUUUGCUGGGAAGAGAGGGGGAGAGAGAGAGUUGCUGCUGACUUCAGUGAGGUUGCUGGGUGAUGGAUGGGAUGUGGUGUUUCAGGGGAAGGAUGGUGUCGAGAUCAGUGGUGGCCGAUAGAGGCCACGGCGGAGAGGAAAAAGAAAUAAGGACUGGUUGCGGGAAAACUGGGCAGGAAAUAUGAUUUUCGGCCAACUUUGAGUUCAGUUUUCUCCUCCUUCCUGAGCACGAAAUUGGCUCCUAUUUAUAGGGCUGGAGAGAGGGUAAUCUUGUCUUCAACGGGGAAAAAGUCUCAGCCCUUGAUUCGACUCGAGGAAUCCAAGCCGUUGGUUCAAAGAGUGCACCUCGAACUGUCAAAUUUGGCCAUCCAAGGCUGCAGACUGCCCGAGGGUGCCACUUUGGGCCAAUAAACGGAGCCGUUUUCGAGUUGUUCGACCCGACCGGACACUCUACGAGAUAGAGGGAUUGCAGGUGGACAUGGUGGUGCAUGCUUUGUCGGAUUUGGGAACAAACGAGGUAGAAAAUGCGCCUGGAAGUCUGCCACUCGGGCAGCUUUACGGGGAAGAAGGUGAACAGUAACCAGCCGAUUUGUAUUUUUUUUUUUUUUUUUUUUCGUUUUUCAAUUUAGUCCGCGUUCUUUCAAAUUAGUUCAAUGAAACCCCUAAUUGACCCUAAACCUUUGAUUUAAUGCAAUUUUGGCCCCUAAUUUCAACCAAUUCACUUGGUAAAAAUUAAAUUUGGUCUCUUAAAAUUCCAAUCUUCUUAAUUAAGCCUAAAUCAGGCUCCCAAAUUUAAUUUUUCACCAAUUAAGCCCCAAAUAAAAUUAAUUUGACCCACUUAAAGUAUAAUUAAGUCCUUGCACUAAUUAAUUCAAUUAGAUCCUUCAAUUAAUACCUAAAUUAAUUUUAAACAUAAUUAAAAUUUAAUUUGGCCCAUGAUUAAAUCAAAUUGGCCCAUUAAAAAUUUAAUUAUGUCAUUGGACUUAAUUUUUAUGCAAAUUCAUCCAAUAAUCGUUUAAUUUUACCUUCGAAUUUGCAUUUUUCUAUUCUUGGGCAUAAUAGGGUACAAUUAGGCCUUGAAAUUCCUCUAAAAAUUGCAGCUUUAUUUCCCAGUCUGCUCUCUCCACGUUGCCAGCCUUUAUUUUAUUUUUUGAUUUUUAUUUUGAAGAAAGAAAUUGAUUUUUGGGGAAUAACCCAGAAUUGGGUUAUGACAGUUGCCCCCCUCUUUACAAUGCUUACGGUAGAAGGUCUCUUAAGAGACUUUAGAUAGUAAGCGUUGUAAAGAUGAAAAAAGGAAGAUUUUUUUUUUUUUUUUUUUGAAAUGGUCGAAUUGUCAUGGGUGACCUACCCGGGUGAAAAACACGAAGAUGUUUUAAAGAGGUGAAAAAUACAGAGAUUUUUCAAAGUGGUUUUGUUUUAAUGGGCAACCGGCCCAAGAUGGAAAACGAAAAGAGUUUUCAAGGUGGUGAAAAAUACGAGGAUUUUUCAAGUUGGUGAGAAAUGCAAAGAUUUCUCAAAAUGGUGAAAAAUACAAAGAUGUUUUCAAAGUGGUUUUGUUGUAAUGGGCAACCGGCCCAAGAUGAAAGGUUUUGAAAAACACAAAGAUUUUUCAAAGAGGUGAAAAAUGCAGAGAUUUUUCAAAGUGGUGAAAAAUACAGAGAUUUUUCAAAGUGGUUUUGUUGUAAUGGGCAACCAGCCCAGAUGGAAGAUGAAAAGAGUUUUGAAAGAGGUCAGAUUAUAAUGGUUGACCUACCCGGGCGAAAAGGCAAAAUGUCUGAAAGGGACGACAUGAUAGGACUCGAUGGGGAACGAGGGCUGAAGAGCGCACUCGAAAGGAGAUAGGGUUUAGAAAAACACACUACCUAAGAGGUGAGUGCUCUAAGGCGCACUGUAAAGAAGGCAAAUAGGGCUAGAAAGCACACUACACAAGAGGUGAGGGCUCGAAGGAGCUCUCAAAAGGAGGCAAGGUUGGAAAACGCACUACCUAAGGGGUAAGGGUUCAAAGGAGCAUUCAAAAAGGGUAAGGUUGGAAAACGCACUACCUAAAGUGGUUAAUGGCCCUAAGGCGCACUUAAAAGGAGAUAGGGUUGGAAAACGCUCUACCUAAGGAGUUGAUGGCCCCUAAGGGCGCACUUACAAGGGGAGGCAUGGUUAGAAAACACAUUACCCAAGGGGUGAGGGCUCAAAGGUGCACUUGAAAAGGGAGGUAGGGUCAGAAAACACACUACCUAAGAUGGUUGGGGGCUCUAAAGCGCACUAAAAAAAGGAGUAUGGUUAGAAAACACAUCACCUAAGGAGUGAGGGCUAAAGACGCCCUCAGAAAGAGGUAGGGUUGGAAAACACACUACCUAAAAGGUUAGGGCUCUGAAGGCACACUAAAAAAGAGGCAGGGUUAGAAAAACACACUACCUAAAGUGAGGCUAAAGACGCCCUCAAAAGGAGGUAGGGUUAAAAAAACACACUACCUAAAAGGCUAGGGCUCGAAGGCACACUAAAAAAAAGUAGGUUAGAAAACACACUACUUAGUGGUCGAAGGCUCUAAGGCGCAUUCAAAAGGAGGUAGUGUCAGAAAAUACACUACCUAAAGGUGAGUGCUCCAAGGGGCACUCAAAAAGAGGUAGGGUUGGAAAACACACUACCUAGGAGGGUUAGGGUUCAGCAACCCGCUCAAAAGAGAGAUGAUGGUGAGACACCGAUCUGUCAAGGAUGAAAGAAAUGCAUCAUGAUCAAUAUGCAUGUAUACUUACUUGAGAAGUAUAGGUCCCCUUUUCUUCAUGGAGUUCUCCUUUUCUCAAAAUUUUGAGUCUCUGAUAGUAAGCUUUGAUGGCUUUUGUCCCCCUUGCUUACUCGAGAAAUAUCUUACGAUCUUGGCCUCUAGGAAAGACUUGAUGCCAUCAUUUCUUUGUUCUCCGCCCCUUUUAUCUCAAGGGUUUCCAAUUUGCCCAAUAGUUUCUUUGAAAGGGAAUCAUGGAGCCAGCUCUACUAGAUGUUUUUUAUUGCCCCCUAGCUUGAUCAUACCCCCAAGUAUUCAAAUCGGGUUUGGGGAUGAGACUAUGUGAAGGAAGGUUUGACAAGGAGUUGUUUUCAUGCAGAAUUUUUGGAAUUUCAAAGCUAUUCCAGACACAGAAAUCAUUUUAACAUCGAUUCAAAGCGAACUCCUUCUAAAGAAAUUCAAGUGAUUCCUAUGGAGAGGUUUUCAGAAGUGAUGAAAACUUUUUUGUUUUGAUUUUUGGUGAAAAAUAUGAAGUGACAUUUGGUUGGUCACAAAAGGUUGAAAUUUCAAUUUGAGGGUUAUUGAGAACCGUUUGUGAAAAUGUGAAAAACACGAAGUCACAUCUGUUUGGUCACAAAAGGUUUAAACUUCAAUUUGAGGGUUAUUGAGAACCGUUUUCAAAGCAGUCAUUUUAUUUGCAUGAAUAAUGAUUUUAUUUUGCAUGAGAAAGCACUGCCUACCGAUCCAGAUUGCUUGCCUUUGAUCAGAAAGGGCUUGAUUAGGCACGUAAUGUAGGCUUGGGCUUUUGGCUAUGAAGAAAUGAUAUUUGUAGGCUCAAAAGGUGUUUGAGGGACUUUAAGACUAAGGAUCACUAGUGCUUAUAUCCCAAACUCUUUUGUUCAUACAUUUAUGGACCUUGGAAUUGAUUUGUAAAAUGGUCCACGGUGCCCCCCAAUGUUGGGCUUGGGCUCUUUCUCUUUGUUUUUGUUUCUUCAUUUGAUUUUGAGCAUCAUUGCAUUAGUUUUUUUUUUAUGCUCAGAAUUUUUGGAUCAUUUGGAUUUUUCUUCAUGCCCCCUAGCUUUGAUUGGGCACCUUUGAUGAUUGAGAAAUUUCUUUUUAUGCCCCCCAGUAUUGUGUGGGCACUUUCAUUGUUGAAGACUUUUUCAUGCCCUUAGGAGUUAUUUCGGCACUUCAAUCAUUAUGGAUUUUUUGCACUUGCCCCCCAGUGUGGGGUGUGAUCCUAGCCAAGGUUAUUUUUGAAGAAAAAUUUAUUAGGCUCAAAAGGGGACUGCAAAUGAUAUAUUUUAGCCUUGUUAAAGGAUUAUCAAAAAUGGCCUUUCUUCAUCUCAAAUGCAUGCAUUUAGGAUCGGUAAGCCUUGCUUUCAUGUGAGUAUGCAACGUGAUUUCUCAUUAUUCAUGCAAUCAAAACUCAGCUUUUGAGUCACUUCAUGAUGUUUUUUUUUUUUUUUUUUUUUUUUGGUUUUCUAGGUGUAUGGUUACCUCUCUAAGGAAUCACCUGAAUUUCCAGAAUUCGUUUGUUUCGGACAAACAUCAACAUGAUUUCUAUUUUUGUACUAAACUUUGAAUUCCCAAAAAUCCUUAUGAAAACAUGGGUUUUUGAAGGGAGGAAAGAAAACACCAAAGAAUUAGUGGUUUUAUGAGUGAAGGGUGUGCUCAGUAUGUUAUUUGCAUGAACACAGAAAAACAUAUGAUUUUAUUAACAGGAAAGGCUCAUUUAACAAAGAAAAUCUUGUGGCAUUAUGAGCCAAAUUGCCAACAAGACUAAAACGGGUUAAAACAAACAUGAUCAAGCCAAAAUGCAAUAAUUGGGUAGGCUCCAUCUUCCCAUUCUAUAGCAGAACUUUGUCCUCUAUCCUCAAAAGUGCACAUUGCCUUCUUUACAUCUUGCUCUUGCCAUUGGUGCUUUGAGGUUUCUAGAGCAUUCCGCCUCUAGUGCAUUCACCGAUCCACUACCUGAAGCAUGAUUGGGUAGAGGGUUCGAAGUUAUGUUUGGAGUUCCUUCGAGGGUGACCCAUCCGACUUUAAUCAGAUGCAUAAGCCUCUUCUUAAAGGCACUGCAAGUAUGAAUGUUAUGUCCCGCGGCGCCAGCAUGGUAUUCGCAAGUAAGGUCGGGCUUGUACCAAUUGGGGUAAGGUGGUUGUAAAGGUGUCAAGGGUUCAGGAGCUAUACGCCCAAUGCUCAGUAGCUUUUGAUACAUCUCAUUUAAGGGCAAUGGUAAUGGAGGUAAUUGUUCUUGGGUUUUUUGGUGUUUGGUUUGAAACUCAAGUUUUCUGGUAGGAAAUGAAGGGUUGAAAUUGAUGUUGGCGAUUUGGGGUGAAGUGUGGUAGUUUUGGAAUGGGUUUUUCCUACCCAUGUAACCACCUUCAACAUAGUCGACCUCUUUCAUUUUACCCUCAAAGCCUCUUUUCUCAGUGGGCACAGAUAUUCUACCACUUUUUACCCCUUGCUCAAUGCGCUCAGCUACUGCCACAACAUCAGUAAAUUGCUGGGCCGAACUACCCAUCACAUGCUCGUAGUAUGGGUCCUUGAGUGUAUUGGGCGAACAGAGUGACCAUCUCUUUAUCUAGGAGCGGAGGAUGUAUUUGAGCAGCUAGGUCUCUCCAUCUUUGAGCAUAUUCCCUUAUGCUUUCCUUGUCCCUUUUCUCUAGAUUGGACAGACUGGUUCUAUCAGGAGCAAUGUCCAUAUUGUACUUGUAUUGCUUGACAAAAGCAUCCACCAAGUCUUUCCAUUUUUGGAUCUUUGUGUUGUCCAAUCUCAUGUACCAACUUAAUGCUGUCCCACUUAAGCUAUCUUGGAAAAAGUGCAUCAGUAGUUUUUCAUCAUGUACUACUUCUGCCAUUUUGUUGCAGUAGGAUUUGAGAUGAGUCAUGGGGCAUUGCGUUCCGGUAUAUUUGACGAAUUCAGGAACACGAAACUUUUUUGGGACAACCACAUUUGGGACCAGACACAUUUCUGCUGCCCGUACUGGAUCGUACAACUCUACCCCUUCAAUGGCUCUGAUUCGAGCUUCCAACGCCGCCAUUUUAUCUUGACCAAAGCCAUCAGAUGACUUGGUCUUGUGAGACUCAUUGGCAAAUGGAUCUAUGACUACAGGGGCUGGUGCUGAUGGCGUUGAGUGCACAAAUGCUGGAUUGUGUGGAGGUUCUUGACCAUGUUCACUCAUUGUUUCUUCGGGUUGAGCCAUUGUUGGAGCCUGAACAGAAAUAGUAGGUCGGUUGGAAGGACCUUCAACAGAGGCAUUUCUAAGUGCAUGCUCGAGUAAGCUAGUGAGGCGAGCCACGCUUGCUUUCAGAGACUCUAACUCUUCUUGGAAAUGGGCAUCACGGUCAGCACGCUCUUCACCUUCCAUGUUUUUUGCUCAGAGUCGAGUGUUGUAGACUCUUUGGGGACCUAUAUUUCAACCUGGCGUAUGUAUGUAUGUUAUUUACUAUGGAUGGAUGUAUGUGUGUGGAUGCAAAUGUAUGCACAUUUGGCAUGAAUGGAAAAAACUCAUGAAAAAAUGAGUAACAAGAGAGUUCAUGCUCUAAAGGAAGGUUCUAGGUCAUUACAUGAUGGGUAGGCUUUCUACCUGGUCUUGAAAAGGUCUAUGAACUGCCCAGUGACCACCUCAUGUGAAGGCAGUGUAGGGGUUUACAAGGAAUGGUUGGGGCACAAUGUGACCGCCAUUACCAAGUAAACACUCAGCUCAUAGUUGGAUGUUUCACGAAUCUGAACCCCGACUGAAAGUCAUGAGGCAGACCGCUACUCCCCACCUAACCUAGAAUAGGGUUUACUCGCAAAAUUAAAAUGCAUGCUAAAGCAGUAAAAAUGCGAGCUAAAAUUAAAGACCAAUAAAAGGAAUACAAUCAAACAAUCAAUGCUUAGUCCGACCACACAUGGUUGUCCCCAGUGGAGUCGCCAUUCUGUCGCACGUCGAAAAAUUCCGCACGACAUCGACUGGCGAUUUUUUAUUAUUUGUGUUUUGCUUGGUUUGUUGGAGUCGCCACCUAGUAUUAUGGUCACUAGGAACCUAAGAUCUGCGAGAGUCUGAGUAAGGGACUGGUUGUGCAAGGGGAAGACGCAUCACCCCCAGUGCACCCUACCUAAGGUAAGCUGCAUUAUUGUUUGAUUGUUUUCUAGGUCGAGUUUUUAUUCGCUGGUCUUUUCUACGGUUCAAGGCAAAUCUCCCCUCGUGAGGGAGUCUCUACCUUAUUCGGUUAAAUCCUAACCAUUCUAAAGUCCGAAUUUUAAAAUUUCUUUUAUUUACACCUUGUAUCUUUAAUACCCGAGUGUACAUUAUCGUGUAAUUUUACACCCCACAAAUAUUAAAGUCUACAUUCGAAUCCUAGAAGAAAAGUUGGAAAAAGGUUUUUGAUAUUUUGGCCAAACCCUAAUGGAUGAUCAUAAACUAGUUAUGAUAUCCAUUUUUUGAAUUUUUAAAAUGGAGAAAAAUGGAAUUUUUGUGAAAACAUGCUUGGAAAAUUCUUUAGGACUUGGCCGUAUGCAAUAAAACAUUUUUUUUUUUUUUGAAAUAUUUCAAAGAAAACGGGCAUUUUAAUACCGAACUUGUAUCUUACAUUGUAAGUAUACAACCCAAUAUUAAGCAAACUUAGUUGACAAAUAUUUGGGAAAAUUACAAAAAUUUUUUUGAAAAGAUUUUUUUAUUUUUUUUGGAAAAAUUUUCGUUUAUUUUAUUAUUACUUUUAACUAUGUACUAAGUAAUUAAAUACCUUAAAGCAUGUGGGUUGGGCCCAAGACAGGCCCAGAAACAAAUGUAUUGAUCAUAGGCCCAAAAACAAUUGGGCCCGGACGCGGUCGAACAUAUUUUGCAUUUUAGGGACGGGCUGGACCUGGCCCAGCCAACUGGGCCGGGUCAAGGCAGGUCCAGCCCAUAGCAGCUUAGUCACUGGGCAGCCCAGUGACUAAGCUGCAGGAACGGUGCAACGUGAAUUAUAAUUCACGUUGCACUGUUCACGCAGUGCUACGAAGAGAAGCAGAAGAAGAAGAAGAGAGGAGGAAACUCACCUGGUGCUGAAGGAACUGGCGACCUGACUGGUGGCGGACGGUACGACUGGAGGUGGUGAGACCGGCGGUGAGCUGUGGUUGCAGCUGGAAGAAGAAGACGCCUGCAAAAGAGAAGGGAGGCUCACAGUUGCAACUGUUGGAGCGGCUGAAGAGAGAGCUGAUGUCCUCGCUGUCUUUGGGGAAAGGCAGUGGCUUCGGUUCGAGGUGGUUGCUGCGGCUGCUACUGCUAGGGUCGCAGUGGUGGAGAGAAAAAAACGUUUGCUGGGAAGAGAGGGGGAGAGAGAGAGUUGCUGACUUCAGUGAGGUUGCUGGGUGAUGGAUGGGAUGUGGUGUUUCAGGGGAAGGAUGGUGUCGAGAUCAGUGGUGGCCGAUAGAGGCCACGGCGGAGAGGAAAAAGAAAUAGAGGACUGGUUGCGGGAAAACUGGGCAGGAAAAUAUGAUUUUCGGCCAACUUUGAGUUCAGUUUUCUCCUCCUUCCUGAGCACGAAAUUGGCUCCUAUUUAUAGGGCUGGAGAGAGGGUAAUCUUGUCUUCAACGGGGAAAAAGUCUCAGCCCUUGAUUCGACUCGAGGAAUCCAAGCCGUUGGUUCAAAGAGUGCACCUCGAACUGUCAAAUUUGGCCAUCCAAGGCUGCAGACUGCCCGAGGGUGCCACUUUGGGCCAAUAAACGGAGCCGUUUUCGAGUUGUUCGACCCGACCGGACCACUCUACGAGAUAGAGGGAUUGCAGGUGGACAUGGUGGUGCAUGCUUUGUCGGAUUUGGGAACAAACGAGGUAGAAAAUGCGCCUGGAAGUCUGCCACUCGGGCAGCUUUACGGGAAGAAGGUGAACAGUAACCAGCCGAUUUGUAUUUUUUUUUUUUUUUUUUUUCGUUUUUCAAUUUAGUCCGCGUUCUUUCAAAUUAGUUCAAUGAAACCCCUAAUUGACCCUAAACCUUUGAUUUAAUGCAAUUUUGGCCCCUAAUUUCAACCAAUUCACUUGGUAAAAAUUAAAUUUGGUCUCUUAAAAUUCCAAUCUUCUUAAUUAAGCCUAAAUCAGGCUCCCAAAUUUAAUUUUUUCACCAAUUAAGCCCCAAAUAAAAUUAAUUUGACCCACUUAAAGUAUAAUUAAGUCCUUGCACUUAAUUAAAUCCUUCAAUUAGACCUAAAUUAAUUCUUAAACAUUAAUUAAAAUUUAAUUUGGCCCAUGAUUAAAUCAAAUUGGCCCAUUAAAAAUUUAAUUAUGUCAUUGGACUUAAUUUAUGCAAAUUCAUCCAAUAAUCGUUUAAUUUUACCUUCGAAUUUGCAUUUUUCUAUUCUUGGGCAUAAUAGGGUACAAUUAGGCCUUGAAAUUCCUCUAAAAAUUGCAGCUUUAUUUCCCAGUCUGCUCUCUCCACGUUGCCAGCCUUUAUUUUAUUUUUUGAUUUUUAUUUUGAAGAAAGAAAUUGAUUUUUGGGGAAUAACCCAGAAUUGGGUUAUGACACUUUUGAUGACAUGAAACUGCCACAAAUUGGGUGCUAUCCGAGAGACUUUUCUUUUUCUGCUCUGUUAUCGGAUAUAUACAACUGAAAUCUUUAAGUCCUCUUUAGGGUACCCCUGAAAGAAAAUGGUCUGUCAUAGAAAGUCUUGAGGAAUCUGAGGCAUAUAAUAUGAGAUAUAUAUCGUCCCAAGAUCAUAAAAACUAUAAAUCUUAAUCUCAUCAAGUGUAGCCAUGAAGUGGGAUCGAAACCUAUUUUCCUAUUGUUAUUAACUAAAAGGGAAAGCCAAGUCUCUGCGCUAUGAUUGUGUUAGGAUCAAGGAGUUGUCACCUAGUAGUUUGGUUUAGGGUCACUAGGAAACCCGGGUAUACUAGUCUUAUAAGAGAUUCUAAGGGUAAGGGAUUGGUAGUGGCUAAGGAAGGCCUUAGCCCCCCUUGAGCACCCUACCUGAUGUAAGUUGCAUUGUGUGGUUUAAAUAUGAUUUAAAGGUUUUGAUGGGUUUCUAACCGGUAUCCUGUCUAUGUCUUAGGAUGGGGUUUGUUCAUGUGAAUAAAUCUAGCGUUUUGAAUUUAUUAUGGGCUCGUGUACCCAAAUAAAUUCUUAUAGAAAGAAUUCAUGUAGGUGCCCUAACAGGGUUUAUCUAUCCUAAAAAGUGAAAGGGUUUUUUUUAUAAUUCAUGCAUUAUGGUGAAAAAUACACCCAAUUAAAAUUGAUGAAUAUUUAGAAUAAUUCUGAGAAUUUGCUAUUCAAUUCCUGAUAUUUAAUUACUAGUUUACUUGUAGGUCCAACUUUUAUAUCAGACUAUUAAUUCUCAUGAAUUAAAAUUUUAUAGGUUAUUGAAAUAUUGGACAAAUCAUGGAUUUAGUAAACUAGUUAUUAAAUUUCAAAUGUGUGCAAAUAGAUAUUUUGUAAAAAAUUGCUAAAACACAAGUAAAUGUGUGUGUGUGUGUAUACUUUUUAAGCAAAAACAAAAUUUUUUGUAUUUUUAAAGCACUUGUUCGUAUGCAAUUAAAACAUUUGGAAAAAUUACUUUUUUUCUUUUAUCUUUUCUAUCACAAAGUGAAAAUAAGUAAUAAAAAAAAUGCAACACACACAUACAUUCUCAUUUUUACUAUAGCUUACUUGCACAUUUACAAAUUACACAGGUUUACAAAACACCAAAAAAUAAAAUUUCUAAAAAUAAUUUUAAAAAAUUGCAAAAUAGACCUUCCAAAGGUCAAAAAUAAUUUAGAGAAGUUGGAGCUCGGGAAUAGUGCUAUAAGAUUUUAGGGUUGGAGGAAUAGUGGGGACGCAUAUAUCGAGGUGCCAUUUCCACUAACAACGGAUGGAACCACACGUUGUUGCUGCUGGAGAGAUGGAAAACAAGGUGGAUUUGAAGCAAAAUCUUCUUCUUUUCUAUCUUGUGUCAAUAGUGAGUGUCACCUGACCUGCAAGCCGAAGAAAAAAAAAACGCACAAACAGUAGCUUUUACUUUUAUUUAUUUUUUUAGAUAUCAUUCUCUCAUUCUUUCUUCGUUUUAGUUUGUCUUUUCUUUUCUUCUUUAGAUGGUUGCUGCUAUUAUCAUAGAUGAAGGAGGUUGGGUGUUGCCAUGAGGAGUUAAUAUCUUUUUUGGUGGUUUUAGGUGUACUUGUGUUUGAGAAAAAUAAAAUGAAGAAGAGGUUGAAGGCUGCUGGUGUUGGAUUUUGAUAGUGGUGUUAUGGUGGAUUAGGAGUCUUGGAACUGGUUGUUAUUGGUUGGAGCUGGUGGUGUUCGUGAUGGCUGGUAGUGUAAAGACCAAGAGAGAUGAGGAAAUGGGUCUAUUUAUUUGAUUUGGUGAAGAGAAAAUGAUGGUUGGUUGUUUUUUUCAUUUAACAAUUGGUGGUGGUUGAAAUGGAUUUAGAGGAGUAGGAUUUAAGGGAUAAUGGUCUAGUUGUGUAUUAUAGAAUGUACCUAUAUAGGAAAUAUUAUUGACAUGGUCUUAUGUUGUAAUCUUCACAAUUACUAUUGUUUAUUGCUAUACACACAUAUAUAGAAAAGGUUGGCUAGCCAAUAGGUUAAGCCUCUUAAUUAUUCUCAACUUGGUAUCAGAGCCUUCUAUAAUUAGAACUCUUUCUUCCCUCUCCUUAUGGACUGUACUACUACUGCCACCCUCUCCCCCUACCACACUGGUAGCACAGCCUAGUCGGCCAACCAAUCAAAAGCUAUUGUUGAUGGUUCUUUCUCAAACUAGCAGCAACCUUCACUUGCAGAGCAGCACCAGGUUCCUUCUCCCAUGUUUCUGUUGUUCCUCUUCACAUCAUGGGGACAUCAACUCUUUCUAUCAUUGCAUUGUCCAACACUCAACAAGUGGUUUCAUUGAUGCUUACAAACACCAAUUAUCUCUAUUGGCGAAUGCAGAUAAAACCAUAUCUUUGGUCAAGGUGUUUUCCAUUUUGUCGAUGGCUCAAUGUCGUGUCUUCCCUCUCAUGUUUCUGAUAGUUCUGAUAGUUCCUCUUCGGUAAUCAACUGCUCUUUUCUUCAUUGGAAGCAAUAGGAUCAACUUAUUAUAAGCGUGUUACUCCUCUCUCUCUCCAUGGAUGUACCUGCACCUUAUGGUAGAUCAAGCAACUCCAUGGGUCUUUUCAAGAUCUUUGGCAAGGUGAUGCCUCAGUUGCUCAAUAUAUACAGCAUGCCACGUCAUUAUUUGAUGAAUUGGUUGCUACUGGCUGACCCCUUUCUCUUGAAGACUUCAACCUCUAUAUAUUUCAUGGUCUUUGUGGUGAGUUGGUAACUAGUAUUAUGACCAAGGUAGAACCGUUAUCAUACAUUGACCUUCAUAGCCAGCUUCUUGCUCAUGAGUUUCUGCAUAAAACUUCCCUUCCAUCCAUAGUUGCAAAUCCACCUCUAUUGCUUGCACCAUCUCUUAUGCCAUUUGCUUAUCUUGCCCCACAUCAGCACAAUCCUAAUUUCAAUCGUAAUAGAGGUCAUUCUCGCGGCAACUGGAACCCCAACAAUAGCUGGUAAAAUAGUUAGCACAUGUUCGAUUUUCAUGGUUUUCAUUCCUCUGCUCCUGUAGAUCGGAAGCAAGGUAAUUAGCAGUAGACCAGACGACCUGCUAGUUCUACGCAGUGGCCUCCUCACUAACCUUUUAAGCAGAACAUCAAGUGUCAGAUGUGCUUCUCCUUUGGCUCUACCGCCCCACAAUGUGCUUAGUUUCAUAGUAGUGGCCACUAGCCCUCUGCUCCUGUUGUUGUUGGCUCUGUUUCUGCCCCUACAUGAUUCUUGGAUACUGGUGCGAACCACACUUACACCUGAUCUUGCAAAUCUAACCAAUUUUACACAAUUAUCUUGGUAAUGAUCACUUGCAUGUUGGUGAUGAUAAUGGUCAUUCAUAUCCCAUAUUGGGCAUACCAUGUUACAUUCCCCUAAACGCACCUUUACAUUAUCUAACAUUCUCCAUGUUCCUCAUUUUACCAAACCAUUACUAUAUGUUCAAAAAAAUUUAUUGUGAUAAUACUGUAUAUUUUGAAUUUCACGCCUCUAUGUUUUAUGUAAAGGAUCUCACCACCAAAGCAAUGCUCCUUUCCAGUCAAAGCAAUGAUGGUUUAUAUGUUCUCUCUAAGUCUUUUGCCACCACUAUUACUCAAGCUUAUCGGUCUCCUUGUAUUUGUUCAAAUUUCUAGGCAUGUUCUUCAUGUUCUUGGGAAUAACAUUGCUUUAACCUCUAGAUUCGGACCAUACUGGGUCCAUUUCUUUGCACAUAAUCCUUCCUUAUGCAUGAAUAACUAGUAAUCUAGUGUUUAUUUGUGCCAAUAACAUAUUUAUAAUGAUUUUUAAUCUUAGAAUUUUAGUUUUGAACCAAAAUCCAUUUUGGCCAAAUAGUGAUGAUGGAACGAAAAUCAAAGUGAAUGAACAAUUAAUUCUUGAUCCUUGUAGUCUGAAUUUGAGUUCAUGUUGUUGGGUCCAUUCACGUGGUCUUCAUUUUUUUAUGCAUUUGAUCCAUUUUGUUCAAGAAUUUUUGAGUUUUGUGUUUUUUCAGGUGUUUGAUCUUUUUUUUUUUUUACUUUUCAUUUUAUUUUUGUGUUGUUUUUCAAGUCAAACAAGGAUUUUUUAUUCGGUUUAUAGUCGAGCUAAAGAUUUCGGGUUAACCUAGAUAGGUUGGGUAAAAACAAAAUCUUGCAUAUGACUAAAAAUCCUAAAGUUAUUUAAGUAUUUUUUUUUUAAAUCUAAAUUACUUUAACAUGUUUUAAAAAAUAUCGCAUGUAAUUUACAACAAGUUUGUAAAUUCCCAAAGGAUUUUGGCCUACAUUUCAAAAAUACCAAAAUUAUAUUUUUGUUUCUUUUAAUAUGCAGGAUUAUAAACUUAUAUGUAAGAUAAAUUUCUGGUAUUAAAUGAAAAAACUAUUUAUUUUUGUUGGCAUUAGAACAAUUAGGUUUUUAAUUUGAUAAGAUACAAAUCUCUUUACACAACAAAAAGAACUAGAAAACAUGACUAAAUAGUCACCAGAAUCACAUAUUUGACCUACAGAAGCAAGAUUCAAUUUGAGUUUCGGAAUAAGAAAAAUAUUAGGGAGAGACAAGUGAGGUGUGACAAUAGAAGCAACACCUGCUAAGGGCAAGAGAGUGCCAUCAACAGUCAUAACAAGAAUGGAGGAUGAAGGGGACAUAGAGGUAAAAGAUGAAGAAUCUAGAGACAUGUGAUGGGAAGCACCAGAAUCCAAGACUUAUUCAGAAUGCAACAUACUUAAGGAGCUAUGAGGUAAUUGACCUAUGGAAGAAGAAGCAGACAUUGCUUGUGGUUGUAAGGAGAUAAACUUUUGAAAUUGCUCAGCCAGGGUACUAAGAUCGAUGAUAGAGCUUGAUGAAGCUACUGCUGCAGUAUUAUGGUAUGGUGGUUUAUGACCAUGAGGUGGUCUAUGAGCAUUACAUUGUGACUGAUUGUCAUGCUUCCAAUCUUGAUUAUGUUGUCUCAACUUGGAACACUGAGCCUUCCAAUGACCUUUCAACUUACAUAAACUGCACUCAUCAAAGCCAACUCUUGUGUAAGGCUUAUUAUGAUGAUUAGAGAAUGGCUUAGAGGGUACUGCUAGUACAGAAGGAUUUGAAGCAAAAAGAAUUCCCUUUCCAGAAUAAGACUGAAGAUGUCUUUUUUCAGCCAAUAAUUCACUGACAAUAGAGUCUACAGAAGGUAGUGGAGAACGAUGCACAAUUGAACCUCUAAGUCCUUUCAAAUCACUACGAACUGAUGUUAACAAUUAUACCAAUUGCUUCUCUCUAUGUUCAGUAUAGGCACCACAUGUCUUUAAUUCUGCUGAUUUUGUAAGAGCCAAUUGAUCCCAAAGAUCUAUCAUAGCAGAAUAAAACUCUUGAAUACUCAUAUUCUUCUGAUGAAGAGCUCAUUUAUCAUUCUCUAAUUGAUACUACUUUGCAAAAUUUGAUUGCGUAUAAUCGUUGCAGAUGAUCCAAAGCCUCCUUUGCUAUCUCGUACUUCGCCACCUGCAGAGCUAUAGAAUGCUAAAUGGAUUUGUUAAUCCACGUGAUAAUUUUUUCAUUGUUUGCUUCUCAUGCAUCUAUCGAAGCAGCAUCCCUUUCUUUAGUAUUCUUAAGUACCAUUUAGAUUCCACUGACAUAUCCCCACAUCCUUUUACCCUUAAGAAAACUUCUCAUUACAUAGCUCCAAUACGAAUAAUUCUUCCCAUCCAACCUCACACUCACAAACUGAAGUGAAUCAUCUCUUUUAGUAGCCAUAAUCAACAAUCACAAAGAACCAGAAUGUAAAAGUAUAGCCAUAAUCAACAAUCACAGAGAACCAGAAUGUAAAAGUAUAGCCAUAAUCAACAAUCACAGAGAACCAGAAUGUAAAAGUAGUGGAAAACAAAAUACCAAAUUACAGAAACUGAACAAAGAUUGCAGAAACUAAAUAUAUAUCUUCUUGAAGUUAUAUGAUUACUCCAAAACAAAACAAAAAUUGCAGAAACUGAAAACAAAUACCAAAUUGUAGAAGCUGAAGGGAAGAUGAAAUACCAAAAUAAUUGUAGAAACUGAACGCAAAUAUCAAAUUGCAGAAGCUGAAGGAAAGAUGAAAUACAAAAUUUUGUAGGAGUGGAAGACAAAAUAUCACUCAAAAUAUUUUGUUCCCUUUGUUUGAGAUUAAGUCUCGUUCUCAUAAAGUGCAUGAUAAAACAAUUCAAGGAAAUUUUUUUUGCAGAAUUUGGAUAUGUGAAAGCUCUGUUUGAGAUUAUACCUCGUUCCAUAAAACUUGCUCUAAUACCAUGUUAAAACAAUUCAAUUAACACAAAGAAAAUACAAACACGAAAGAGAAGGAGGCUAGAAUUCUCCUUUAGUUUAUUUGUGAAAAGUGCAUCAUUUAACCUAAAUACAAAGAGCUUAUAUGUAGAUUAAGCUAAAAAAAUUAUUUUACCCUUAAUAAAUAAAACAAGAUAAAUGUAUUAUUUAACAUUAUCUAUGCGCAUGGAUGGAGAGUAACCUUCUUGAUCUAUCCUUAUAUAUCCUUAUUUAUAGUACAUAGGUUGCUUCUCUAAUAUCCUUCUUGGGCUUAGACAUGUGUGGACUUGAUGUGCCAAAUUCUUUUCUUUUUAAAUCUCGGUGUCUUAAAUUUUUUAUUCUCUUAUUAUUAUUAUUAUUAUUAUUAUUAUUAUUUUCCAUACACAAUUAUAUUUGUGAUUACUAUAUGGUCAAGUUGUAUAUGGCAAUGAACAAAAUCCGGGCCAACUUUUUUACCAAAAUUUCACUCUCGAUUAUUACUUCAAUAUUUGGGUUUAAUGCAGGCAACUUGUGUAUUCGGAUUUGAGACCAGCCAUAUUUAAGAAGACUUUUGUUAGGAUGAGAUGGAAAGGUUGUAUCACAUUGAUUAUGUCAUGUCACUGAAGUUAACUAGAAUAAAAAAUAAAGAUAUCAAGUUUUGGAAAGAAUAAAGACCAAUUAAAGAAAAAACAAACAUAUUCACAAAAAAAUUAAAGUCUCGUCGAUUCUAGGAAACAAGUUGGAAGGAAUCCAUUGUCCAACAAUUGAAUGCUAUUUUUUUUAUAUUUUUUAUUUUAGGAACCUGGCUGAAGUUAUUGGCUAACAACAUAUUUUCCUCGAGUUCAUUACUCUUUAAAAUGACUAAAUCUUUGAGAUGACCAUUGGUCAAGAUUCUAAAUUUUGUCUUUAGCUUGGUUAACCUAAAAUUUCAAUAUGAUGAUUCUCUUCAACUAUAACCAAAAUGUUGCCUUCGGCUUAGUUAACUUGAAAUGUCAAUUGAGAGGCCCCCUUUAACAAGAACUUUGGUCUUUGUCUUUAUCUCGGUCAACUUGAGAUCCCAAUCUGACGAUUCCAUUUAACCAGAACCAAAAUGUUGCCAUCAACUCAUUAGUAAGCCUGAAAUCUCAAUUUAGUGACCCCAUUUAACUAGGCAAUUCCUUUUAACCAGAACCGAAAUAUUUCCUUCAACUUAGUUAACUUGAAAUCUUAAUCUAUAGACCUCUUUUAACCAGAAUAUUGAUCUUUAUCCUUAGCUUGAUGAACUUCAAAUCCCAAUCCGAUGAUUCCCUUUAACCAGAAUCAAAACGCUAUCUUUAGCUUAGUUAACAUGAAAUCUCAAUUUAGAGACCCCUUUUAACCAGAACCUUGGUUUUUGUCUUCAACUUGGCCAACUUGAAAUUCUAAUAUGGUGAUUCCCUUUAACCAAAACUAAAAUGUGUCAUUCAGCUUGGUUAACCUGAAAUCUUAAUCUAGAGACCCCCUUUAACCAUAACCUUGGUCUUUUUCUUCAACUUGGCCAACUUGAAAUUGUAAUAUGGUGAUUCCCUUUAACCAAAACUAAAAUGUGACCUUUAGCUUGGUUAACCUGAAAUCUCAAUCUAGACCCCGUUUAACUCGGUCAACAUGAGAUCCCAAUCUGACGAUCCCAUUUAACCAGAACCAAAAUAUUGCCUUCAACUCGAUUAACAUGAAAUCUCAAUCUUGAAACAUCAUACCCUUCUUAGUCCUACUUUGAUUUUCCAAAAAAAUAGAAGAGAAUGAAUUAUAUGGUGUAGAAUAAGACCAUUUUUACCACUGGCUAGAACCAGCCAUGGGCUCCCUGGAAAUCAACCUACAACACCUAAAAACAAAACCACCAUAUAACAACCAUGAAAUCAUUGACGACACCUAGUUCUAGCUAAAACCUAGCAGCAACAACCCAUAAAAAGAUAAAGCUGCUAAACUGUUUCAACAUCUUAUCUAUAUAUAUAGAUUAGGUGUCGUUUGGCAUUGCGUUUGUAACUACGUUUCAUCAAAUUUUGAAUUUUGUUUUUGCUAAAAUUGAGUGCGGUUUGUACUUUUUGGAUCGUUUUGAUGUGUUGAUGUCAAAAAUGAUUUUUAAAAAAUGAAAAAACAUCAUUGACAUGUAUUUCGGCACGAAAAGCUAUUUGAAAAGCAACCGCUACCACACUGCCAAACACGCUUAAGACAAUCGAAGCAACUUUUUAGAUUUAUCGUUGUAGAUCUUUAUUUCUAGUAUAUAGACUACUUCUCCCAUAUCCUUCCUAGGCUUAGAUAUGUGUGUACUCAGUGCACUAGCUAGGUUAUUUUUUGUUUAAGUUUUGUUGGUUGAAAAAAAACUUCUCUUAAUUUUUAAAAUUAUUAUUAUUAUUAAUUAUUCAUACACAAUUAUAUUUAUUAUUAUUAUAUGGUCACUUGUCUAUGUCAAACAAUAGAAUUGAGGCAACUUUCUAACCAAAAUUUCAUUCUUUAUUAUUCCUUCAAUAUUGGGGUUUAAUGCAAGCAACUUGUUUAUCUAGAUUUUGACCCAAAACUUUUUGUAUGGAUAAUCAUCAAGAGUAUAUUGAAAAUGUUAUAAAGCUAAUAGCCGAAGAAAAAUACAAGGACAUGACAAAAAAGAAAGAAGAAAAAAGAAACGGAUAUGCUAAGACCACCUAAGAUUUUUUAUUACAACAUAAAUAAGUUUUGGGUUAUUUUGACCUAAAACUUCUCUCUCUAUUAUUCAGAUUUUUUUGUUAGGAUGAGGUGAGUUGAGAAUAAUGGAAUGUGUUGGGUUGUGUCUUAGCCAACCUUCCUAUUUAUAUAGAGGCAGCAGAACACUGUAGUAAGUGUAAUAAUUACAACAUCCUAUAUUAGAAUCCUAUUUUGAUAGAUACAUGAGUAAGUGUAAUGAUUACAACAUCCUAUAUUAGAAUUCUAUUCUAUAAUAUGCCCCCUCAAGCUAAGGGUGGGGGAUCAACCCGAAGCUUGAAUCGAAAAGCAGUAAAGGAUGCAACAUGAAGUGGUUUAGUGAAGACAUCGACAAGUUGAUCCCAAGAGGGAACAAAACGAAUCUGAAUUUCUUUCUUGGCAACACGGUCAUGGACAAAGUGAUAAUCCACUUCAACAUGCUUAGUACGAGCAUGGAAGAUAGAAUUUGCUGAGAGAUAGGUAGCACCAAGAUUAUCACACCAAAUGGUAGGGGCAGAGACUGAGGGAACCUCCAAAUCUGUUAACAAGUAUUGAAGCCAAAUGACUUCAGCAACACCAUCAGCAAGGGCUUUAUACUCAGUCUCAGUAGAGGAGCGAGCAACAGUGCGUUGCUUGCCGGAUUUCCAAGAAAUCGGCGUCUGACCAAAAAAGACAAGAUAGCUGCUCGUAGACUUGCGAUCAUCAAUACUACCAGCCCAAUCUGCAUUUGUAAAGCCAUGUAGAGCAAAAGAGGAGCCUCGAGUGAUAUGGAAACCAUAAGAUGUCGUACCUUUAUGGUAGCGUAAAAUACGUUUAACAGCAGCCCAAUGAGAAUCUGUAGGAGCAUGCAUAAACUGACAGACUCUGUUAACAGCAAAGCAUAUAUCUGGACGGGUGAAGGUAAGAUAUUGAAGAGCACCCACGAUUUGACGAAAUCGUGUAGGAUCAGAGAAUGAAUGAUCCGGUAAUAAAAUGACUUUCGAAGGGGAGACUGGAGUAUCAACUGGUUUGCAGGAAGUCAUACCAGCUCGGGUGAGGAUGUCAAGAAUAUAUUUAUGUUGACGCAACAUUAAACCCAUACUGGUAGACUGAACUUCAAUACCCAGAAAGUAGUGAACAACACCUAAGUCACGAAGCUUGAACUCAGAGCUGAGUAACUGUAUAAGGUGAUGGAGCAUAGCAGAGUUGCUACCCGUGAGCAGAAUAUCAUCAACAUACACCAGGAGAUAAAAGAUAUUAGUACCAUCAGAUAAGAUAAACAGGGAGGUGUCAACCUUGGAAGCUGGAAACCGAUGGAGAGCAAAAAAUCACUUAGACGAGUGUACCAUGCUCUCGGUGCCUGUUUCAAACCAUACAAUGAUUUGUGCAAUCUGCACACAUGAGAUGGAAGAGAAGAGUCAACAAAACCUGGAGGAUGUUUCAUGUAGAACAUCAUUGAGGAAGGCAUUAUGAAUAUCAAGCUGAUGAAUCUUCCAAUUUCGCGAAACCGCGAUAGAGAAAACCAAUCGGACAGUGGCCUGCUUAAUAACUGGACUGAAGGUUUCAGAAUAAUCAAUACCUUCCUGCUGGGUAAAACCUCUAGCAACAAGGCCGCUUUAUAGCGCUCAAUACUACCAUCAACACGACGUUUGAUCCGAUAUACCCAUCUACUGCCAACAACGUUCAUCGAAGGAUGAAAUGGAACCAAAGACCAAGUGCGAUUUUCGCGUAAAGCGGCGAUCUCAUCACACAUAGCAUUAUGCCAAACUGCAUACCGGUCAGCAUCAGAGAAUGCAAAAGGCUCAGAAGAGGGAGAAUACAGUACCCGUGUGGAGGUAGAAGUAGCAGCGGAAGCAACCAGAUUAGCUGUCUUCGGCUGCCGCGGUCUAAGAGUCAUAGGAUGUCUGCUGUGUGCUGGUGGAGACGCAGGGGAAGACGGUUGUAGCGAGGAGACCUGUGGCAGCUGAUAAGAAGACAAAUCAACCAUAAGUUGCAGACCAGCGGGAGAGGAUGAUAAAGAAGCAGCCUCAAGCACAGGACUGUCAGGAGGGGCUGGAAGUAGAGACUGAAGCUGCAGGAGUGCUGGCCAGGGAGGGCGAAGCAGAGGAGGGACUAGAAAGUGCCCCAAGACCAUGAGGAGAGGAGACCAAUUGACGAUCUGAACCUGCAUCAUAAGGGUUAGAUAAACAAGCAUGGGAUGAUGGCCAAGGGAUGGGUGGAGGCUGUGGUGGGUGGCUGUUUGGAGUGGCAAAGCGGAGUGUUGUGGGCUGUUUGGGUGGCUAGUGAAAGUGGGUGGCGGUGGGUGGUUUAGCAAAUUUGGGAGGGUGACAGUAGCGGGUGGGGUGGGGGUUGUGGUGGAGACCUUUGCAAUCUGUUCAGAAUUAUCAAAUGGAAACACAUGUUCAUGGAAGCGGACAUGACGGGAAAUAUAAAUACGGUGAGAUGCAAUGUCAAGACAUCGAUAACCAAGAUGCGAGGAACUAUAUCCAAAAAACACACAUGGAGAGGAACGAAAAUCCAAUUUAUGAUUAUUAUAUGGACGAAAAAGGAAAACAGAGACACCCAAAGGUACGCAAAAAAUGAUAAUCAGGAGACCGUUGAAAUAAACAAUCAAACGGAGAGCGAUGGGCAAGAAUAGGAGUAGGCAUGCGAUUUAUAAGAUAAACAGAGGUUUCAAAAGCAUAAUUCCAAAUCGAAAAGGUGCUUUACAUUGCCCUAAAAGAGUAAGACCUGUUUCCACAAUAUGCCUAUGACGACGCUCUACUGUUCCAUUUUGUUCAUGAGUGUGGGGACAAAUCAGACGAUGAUGAAUACCAAUGGUCUGAAAAAAUAUGGAUAGUUUUCGGUAUUCACCGCCCCAAUCAGUUUGAACAGAUUUUAUUUUUAAUGAAAAUUGACGUUCGACAAGAGUCUGAAAUUGAUGAAAAACAGAGUAAACAUCAGACUUGGCAACGAGAGGAUAAUACCAUACAUAUUUAGUAUAAGCAUCAACAAAGAUAACAAAAUAACGAUAGCCAUCUGAAGAAAAAAGAGGAGCAGGGCCCCAUACAUCACUAAAAAUUAAUUCAAGUGGAGCAGAAGUUUUGUGACCGUAGGUCCUAAAGACAAACGCGAUGAUUUUCCUAAAGGACAACUUUGACAUUGAAAAUUAAGAGUUUGUUGUUACAAAUGAUCUUAUUUUUCGAGAUUAACAAUUGAAAAAUACGUGAAGUAGGAUGACCUAGUCGACGAUGCCAUAAAUCGGCAGAGGCAGAAGUGCAGGGAGACCAAUAGGCUUGAGGAACUGACGUGACGGAAGACUUGGUCAGGGCAUAGAGACCAUCUUUACUCUGACCUGAGAGAAGGACUUCAUGGGUGUUGAAAUCCUUGACAUAAAACACACGAGGGUGAAAUUCAAAAUAAACAUUAUUAUCAAGACAAAAUUUCUGAACAGAGAGCAGAGGUUUUGUGAUUGCAGGAACAUGAAGAACAUUAGAUAAGGUGAAAGAACGAUGUGGUGUAUAUAUUUUUGUAUGACCAAGAUGAGAUAUAGGAAGGCCCUUACCAUCACCAACAUGCAAAUUAUCAUUACCAAGAUACGGUUCUGAAGCGGUCAAGGUGGCAAGAUCAGGUGUGACGUGUUGAUUGGCACCGGUAUCUGGAAACCAAUCAACAGAACCGGUUGAGGAGAGAUUGCGCUGCACCAGGUUGGCAGUAGGUUGUUGGCCAUAACCUCGCUGCUGGAAUUGAGGGCAAUGGGAGCUGUAUGGCCGAAAUUCUGACACAGUUGGCAGCGUGGAUUUCCCCCUAUUGCGCUGCCAAGAGCCCUGCCUAUUGUCACCGAAGGAGGAGUUUUGGAAGCUGCGGUGAUCAGGUCUGGAGCCAGCAAAUCGGUUGCCUCUGCUGUUGGACUGGUUGGGACGCCAGCCACCGUUGAAGCGGCCCCUGCUGCGGCCAGAAUUGCCAAAAGUCUGGCGCUGCGCAACAAGAGCAGAAGAUGGAAUGCUGGGUGUGGGCAGCAGAGGAGCAUGUAUGGCAGCAGAAGAUUUGUGAAGAAAUUCAUGUGUGAGGAGAUGGCUGUGAAGAUCUGCAUAUGAUAAAGGUUCAGCCUUGGUAAUAAGACUGGUAACUAAGUCUUUAAACUCUCCCGAAGACCACGAAACACAUAUAAAUUGAAAUCUUCAAGCGAAACUGGCCGACCAGCAGGCCAAUUCAUCAAAUAAGGCCUUCGCUUUUUGCAUAAAUUGAGUUACUGAUUCAUCACCCUGUCGAAGAUCCUGAAGAGAGCCGUGAAGUUGCAUAAUACGAGAGUUGGAGGUGGAAGCGAGAGCUCGCUCAAGAGUGCCCCAAGCUGAACAAGAACUUUGACAGCCAACAACAAGAUGCAAAACUUCCAUAGAUAGGGAGGAAAGAAGAGCACUUAGAAUGAGUUGGUCCUGUUGUUUCCAGGUUUGAAAAAGGAUUUACCUGAAGAGAGAUACCAUCAUGGGCAAGAACAUGUGUUGAUGGACAUGUGUUGGAGCCAUCAACAAAACCAAAAACUCCUUGGCCUAGGAGAUAAGGCAGCAUCUGCAUACGCCAAUAUAAAUAAUUGGUGUUUGUUAAUUUGAGGGAGAUGACUUGAUGAGUGUGAGAAAGGGAGAUAAUGCUUGCGGCAGUAGAGGCAGCAGACGUGGGCUGCAAGAGGAGGCGUUCACCAGCCAUGGCAGAGGAGAAUCCAGGCGGUGACGCAGCAGAGGAAAGCAGAGGAGGCGCUGCAAGAGAAGAGGGCUGCACUGUCGGAGAAGAAGAAAGCUGGACUGCUGGUGCUGCAGAAUUUGAAGAUGUAUGUGGCGGCUGUUCCAUUGAAGAAGGGAGGCUGGGAGGCUGUGAGAAAAGUAGGUUUAAUUUAUUUUAGGGUUUUGUGGCUCUGAUACCAAGUUGAGAAUAAUGGAAUGUGUUGGGUUGUGCCUUAGCCAACCUUCCUAUUUAUAUAGAGGCAGCAGAACACUGCAGUAACUGUAAUGAUUACAACAUCCUAUAUUAGAAUCUAUUCUGAUAGAUACAUGAGUAACUGUAAUGAUUACAACAUCCUAUAUUAGAAUCCUAUUCUAUAAUAAGGUGGUCAGGUUGUGUCACAUUGAUUAAGUCAUGUUACUAAAGUUAACUAAAGUAAGAAAUAAAGAUAUCAAGUUUCGGAGAGAUCAAGAUCAGUUAAAGCAACAAAUGAAAGAAAAAAAUAACAGUUUAUAAGGAAUCAGGUUUUAAAGAAUACAAGAUAUAUUGUUGGGAAUAUAUGAAGAUUUAACUUCCAUCAUUUUGUUGUCUUCCACAAUGAAUUUGGGUUAUCACAUAACAGACAUAGUCGUUGAUAGCUCUAUGAGCAAGUGUAUCUAGUAGAAAUCAUCAUGAGAUUAGUAGGCCUCCCGUUGAUGCUUUACACGUCUUUACAGAAAAAGGGGAAGGGGGAAAUGCUCUUGAGUAUAUAGCUUUUCUUGAUCUUUUCCAAUCCUUCAUUAUAAAUAGGACCCAUCAAACACGAUGAGGAUUCUUUUCACUAACUUUGUGUAUGAUAGGAAUCUCUAAUAUUAAAUGCAAUGAGAUGAGCUUUAACUUCCAUCAUAUUUCAUUUUAGCCUAGAAGGGUUGAUCUUACUUCCUCAGCAUCUCACUGCCCUUGCCUUCUCUACAUAUAAAAAAGAAUAUUAUUGCUUCUGAAAAAUAAAGAUUGCAAGCAUCGACUUUUAGUGAACUUUUGAUGACAUGAAACUGCCACAAAAGGGGUCCUAUCCGAGAGAGUGUUCUUUUUCUGUUCUAUUAUCACAUAGAACUUAAAUCUGUUUAGAGUAACCCUCCAAGAAAAUGGUCUCACAAGGUAAGUCCUGAGGAAUUUGAUGCAAAUAAAACGUUAUAUCUUGUCCCAGUAUCAAAAACAUUUGAGCAUAUGAACACAUGAAGUGGUCUCAGAAUCUAUUUUCGUAUUAAUAUUAACAAAAUGGAAAGCCAUAACUUACUGUUUGUACUAUAAUAUUGGGAUUGUGAGGUACAAAGUCCAAAUUAAAUGCUUUUAAGGAUAACCAUAUGUUGACAUCAAUAAUGUUGUACCCUCUCGAGAGCGCGACGUCGCGAUGACCUUUCCUGAAACGGGGAUGAUGUUGGGGUCUUUGUUUCAUGAAAAAGGGAGUCAUCAUAUAGUAUUAUGAUCACUGUGAACCCUAACUGGUUUUUAGAGAUUCCAAGGCAAGGUACUCGUUGUGUCAAAGGAAGAUUUUAGCAUACCUAAUACGUCAUACCUAAGGUAAGCUGCUUGAUGUUUAGUUUGCCUUAUAAUUGAUAUGGUGUUGGUGUUCUCUAAUCCCAUUUGUUUUUCUAGGAUAAGUUUGUUACGAUGAACUUGGGUUCAAAGUCUAAAAGAAAGAACCCUUGGCCAAUAUGAAUCAUACCUUUAGAUAUGUCUAUAGAGUGCCAAGGAAAACCGAUGUGGAUCUCUUGAAAUCUGUGUUUGAUUUAAACUAAAUUUACAACCUAUGAAUUAAGAGACAGCUAAGAUAGAAAUCUAACGAGAUUUAAUGUGCUUAAAAGCCCAUUUUCCCCUUAUUAUUUCAAGUGUUUGCGACUCGCAAAUCGCAAAGAAGAGAAACAAGAAAACUAAGAAAUCUAAGGAAAUUCAAAGUGCUUUAAAAGCCUAUUUUUGCCUUAGUAUUUCAUUCUUUCAUGACUCAUAAACCGUGAAAUCAAAAUUUGAAAUGUCCCCAAUUAUAAUUGAGGUUUCUUUCAAGGAUGUGUAAUUAAAUUGUUCUAAAUAACAUUUUGGGCAUAAAUUUACCUUAUGUGUAAUAAUGUAUUACUCUCAAUAGUAUUUUGGACAUUUACAUUUCAUAGGUUUCUUUGCCAUUGUAUUAUUAAGGGAUGAUGACUUAUUAUUCCUAGAAAAAUAUUUUGGAUAUAAACCAUCUCGGUUUCUUUAUCUAAAUAUUAAUAGUGAAUAAUAACAAAUUAUUUCCAAUAAUAUUUUGGAUAUUAACCAUUUGGGGUUUCUUUAUCCAAAUAUUAAUAGUGAAUAAAAACGAAUUCCUCAAAAAUAAGAUUUUUAUAUUUUUGGAUUAUUGGCCAACACCGUUUGGAAUUUACAAACAUGUUGUAAAAUCCAAAAUGCAAGGAAAUAAUUUUUGUGGUUAAGAAAUUCAUGCUAAAACACAUUUUUGAAACUUCAAAUAUUUAUUUUUUUUAAAAAAGAAAUGUUCAAAAUAUUUUUAUGAUAUUAUCCGUAUGCAACACAAAAAAAAAAAAAACAUUUUAUUUUUGGUCAAUAUUAUGGAAUGUGUUAUAGUUUAGGAAAGAUUGUAUUUUCCUUAUAUAAAGUUAUACUACGCACUGCACUACACAGAAACUAUUGUAUUCUGCCUUACUCGUAUAAAUAUAGGAGAUGGUUACUGCAUUAUGUAAGCCUCCUAAACUAAUCAUAAACCUUGUCUUAACUUUGUAUCAAAGCUGAAAACGUCUAGAACAGAUUCAAGGCUUCCUUCCUCUCUGCAAAAUAGAUUCAAGGCUGCGUCCCCUACAGAACAGAUUCUUCCCUAUAUUUUCUCUCUUACCCGAUCUUCGCUACUGCAUGUUUUUGGUGCAGUUUUUGCUACCGCAUUGUUGCAUCCUCAGCCGUCUCUCCUUCCUCGUGAUAUUUUCUUCCGCUACAGUAUUCCAGAUUAUUUCCUCCGCUGCAGUAUUCCAACAUUAUUUCUCUUCCAGCCUAUUUCCUCCGCUACAGUAUUCCAAUGUUAUUUCUUAUGCAAACUCUACACCUGCAAGUUAUUUCUCCAGCAGUAAUUUACCGAUUAUGGAUCCUUCUCCUGUUGCCACAACCAUGAAUAAUGACAGCUCUUCCUCUCCUGCUUCUUCCUUGAAUGCACUUGUCUCUGCCAACAAUGCAACCAUGACUGCUGCAAUAGUUUCUGCCACAAAAACAGUCAUCAUCCCACUAUCUAACACGCAACAGGUAAUCAACCUUAAGCUUACCAACACCAAUUAUCUAUUUUGGUGCAUGCAGAUGAAGCCAUAUCUUACUGGUCAAGGUGUCUUCUCUUUUAUUGAUGGCUCGAUGUAUGUCCUUCUCCGCACAAUGAUGUUUCUACCACUGAAACAACCAACAACUCUAGUUUUUCCUAAGCCUUUUUGGCAUGGAAACAACAAGAUCAACUCAUCCUCGGCGCUCUCCUCUUCUCUGUAUCCAUAGACGUGCUCCAUCUUGUGGUAGAUUGCCCAACAUCUGCAAGGGUAUGGAGCACACUAGAACAUGCUCUUGCAUCUCCGUCAAACUCCCGAAUCAUGUAAUUAAAUGGUUGUCUUCAGGAUCUUCACCAAGGUGAUGAUUCUGUCACCACCUAUCUGCAGAAAGCUAAGGUGUUUUUUGAUGAACUUGCUGCCGCAAGUCGCCCCAUCUCUCUUAUGGACUUCAAUUUAUACAUAUUUUAGGGUCUCUACAGUGACUUUCGUGAUCUUAUUACAAGUUUGUCAACAAAAGCUGACCCUCUAUUGUAUUCUAAACUCCAUAGCCACCUAUCCACUCAUGAAUUUUUACAUCAGAGCUCUCUUCCAUCUAGUUCCACAUCUGCACCAUUGUUGCCAACACUUACACAACCCCCUUCAACCUUUGCUACCUAGCGAGCAUUUUCAGGAUUUAGUGGCACUAGUUCUUCCUCCCAGCAAGGCAUAACUGGCAGCAUCACCGUGGAAACUGGAAGCAAAACCAUCCAAACUGGCAGCCAAACAGAUCCAUCAUUGGAAAGUGGGGGCUUUAGCUGAAGUGUUAGCUCUGUAACAUGUUUGGGCAUUCCGCACAAUAGUGCUCACAACUUGUGCUCCAUGGGAAUCAAGCAUUAGCUAAUCUCUCUUUCAGUAACACUUCAUCCGCAUAAAAUUUUGUAACUUGGUUUCCUGACACUGGUGCAAAUCAACAUGUUACUCCAGAUAUUGUCGGUAUGACACAUGCAAAACCCUAUCUUGGUAAUGAUUAAUUACAUGUUGGUGAUGGUAAGGGACUUGUCAUAAUCAAGGCAAUUCUACUUUCCAGUCAGAGUAAAGAUGGCAUAUAUGUCCUUUCAGAGUCUUCUGCCAUGUUUCUGCCUCAAGCUUUUUCGUCUACUAGCUUAUCCACUUCUGUUGAUGUUUGGCAUUGUCGACUUGGUCACCCCACCUCCUGGGUUUCGAGUCUCUUAGCAUCAAAUAAAAAGGUCACUUGUACCUCCCGUCCUUUAAAUUUUCAGUGUCCAGCAUGUUCGUUAGGAAAAUCAUCGCGUCUAUCAUUAGGACCUACUGGUCACAAAACAUCUGAUCCACUUGAACUAAUUUUUAGUGAUGUUUGGGGCCCUGCCCUUAUUUUUUUUUCUGAUGGUGUCUGAUAUUUUGUGAUCUUUGACCCAUGUGUGUUUCUAGGGUAUAGCUCAUGUCAUCUAGGCUAUCGCUGUCUCGACUUGUCUUCUGAUUGUAUCUAUAUCUCCCUUCAUGUCUGUUUUCAUAAACAAUCUUUUCCCUUUCUUAAAACUGCACAUGUUUUUGCCAUCUUUGACUCUCAUCUUCAUGUCUAUAGGAUAUUGUGAGGAAGAUGAAGGCCCCUUACUCCCAUCUUCCUACCUUAACACACUUCCCAUCCACCAAAACACCAUCAACCUUGUCUAAAUAGGUCCCCUUACCACCAAUUGUCGCUAUGUCUAUUAAUCAUUUUGCAGCUCCGGACAGCACAACCACCAAAUUUGUUGCGCCCCAUGUUGCGCCUCUAGUGACCAAUCUGCCUCAACGUCUAGGCCUUUAUCUUCCUCACAGUAUCCUACUCUAUCUACACCAGCUUUAGAUCUUAGUGUUGAUCUCUCCACCUACUCCCUCCCACAGCAGUCCACGUUAGACAUGUUUGUUGCACCAGAGGUCUCUCACCAGCACAACAUGGUGUUGCAUCCCCGACAAACCAAGUUUGCCAACCCGAGCUCUGUUUCUCCACUGAAACCACACUCAUAGGUAACAUGUUCCUCUGAUCACGAACCUUUAAAUUUCAAAGAUGCUAACCAAUUUUUGUGCUAGCAAUCUGCUAUGAAAUAUGAAAUUGCAACUUUACAUGCGAAUUGCAGCUUUAAAGGAUCAAGAACCUUCCAUGAAUGGUGUUGGUGGUGCCAUUGAUCGCUACAAGGCGCACUUGAUUGCGCGUGGUUUCACUCAACAUGAGGGAAUCGACUAAUCCGUAACCUUCAGCCCUGCUGUUAAACCAACUAUUGUUCAGCUCGUUCUUGCCAUUGUUAUAUCUUACCAUUGGUAGAUCUAGCAGCUUGAUGUAAAUAAUGCCUUCCUUAAUGGUUCCCUUCAAGAGGUUGUUUAUAUGCGAAACCUAUGGGUUUUAUUGACCCUAGUCUGCCCACUCAUGUUUGUGACCAUCACAAAUCCCUCUGUGGUUUAAAACAAGCUCUGCGAGCUUGGUACACACGACUGAGUGACUUUCUUUUGUUGAUUGGCUUUCGCGCUUCCAAGGUUGAUACCUUCUUAUUUAUUCUAAUUGUAAAUCAAGAUAUUUGCUAUCUGCUUGACUAUGUAGAUGACAUUCUGCUCACUGGGAAUAAUUCUACUAUGCUUUGUCGCCUUAUCAAUCUGCUGAGUUUAGAGUUUAAGCUCUAGGAUUUGGGUUAUGCUCAUUAUUUUUUGGGAAUUGAGCUCACUCCCACCAGCAUAAGACUCAUGCUUAGUCAACACAUAUAUGCCCUUGAUAUUCUUAGUCAGGUUGGUAUGUCAUCUUGUAAGCCUGUUGAUAAAAUGACUUCUAUUUCUAAGGUCAGUCUCCAACCUAGUGGUUUAUACUCAAAUCCCACUCGUUAUCGGCAAAUUGUUGUGGCUCUUCAAUAUCUCACAUUUACUACACCAGACAUUUGUUAUCCUAUCAACAAAGUCUGUCAGUUUAUGCAUGCACCUACUAAGAGUCAUUGGGUUGUUGUCAAACGUAUUUUACGGUAUUGAAAAGGUACGUCCUCUUUUGGCCUUCACCUUACUCGAGGCUUCUCCUUAUCAUUGCAUGGUUUUACUAAUGCGGACUGGGUGGGGAGUAUUGAUGAUUGAAAAUCUACUAAUGGCUACAUCGUCUUUCUUGGCACCACUCCCAUCUUAUGGAAAUCUGGUAAGCAACGCACAGUUGAUCGCUCUUCCAUUGAAGCAAAAUAUGAGGCCUUAGCUGAUGGUACUAGUGAUGUUAUUUGGCUUUAUUAUCUGCUUUUAGAUUUAUGCUUCUCUCUUAGUUCUAUUACCACCACUUGGUCGAUAAUUUAGGUGCUACUUAUUUGUCUGCUAAUCCGGUGUUUCUUGCACGUACCAAACAUGUUGAGGUUGAUCAUCACUUUAUUCAUGAUAGAGUUGUCAAAAAAGAGAUACAAAUUUGCUUUAUACCCUCCAACGACCAAUUAGCUAAUGUUCUUACUAAGUCGCUCCCUCACACUACAUUUUUCUAUUUACUAUCCAAGCUUCAAGUGGACCGCCCACCUUCAACUUGAAGGGGUGUAUUAUAGAAUGUGUUGUAGUUUAGGAAAGAUUGUAUUUUCCUUGUAUAGAGUUAUAUUGCGUACUAUGCUACACAACAACUAUUGUAUUCUGCCCUUCUCAUAUCAAUAUAAGAGAUGGCUACUACAUUAUGCAAGCCUCCUAAAUUAAUCAUAAACCUUGUUUUAACUGUCAAAACAUAAGUAUCGCGAGUAAUCACAAAUAAAGACAACGAACCAUACAUAUAUAUUCCUAAAAUUUGAAAGAAAAUUGAACAUUUCAUAUAAAAAAAAAAACUGAAGAUGGUCCCUCACAGUCAACUCUCCCCAAAUAAAAAUUCGGUCUACAAACUCAGAGCCUAAACAUAGCCUAACCCGUUGUUUUCAAAUAGACAGGAGUAAGUGUGCGUGCACAAAUCAUAUGGCAGAACCCGUGACUCAACCCAUUUUGUUUUUCUAAUCUUAGAAGUUGUCAUACUUCUUUCAUGCAAUAGAGAAAAAAAACUUUAGGAGCAUGCCUUUACCACAUACAUCACAAAACUAAAACUAUUAAAAUCAUGGCCAACUAUCUCCUCUCUAAAUUAAAAUCCAGACGGAGAAAAGAAAAAAAAAAAGACCCAAGAUCUUGUUAACAUGAUUACUUCAGGUGAAAAGAAUUUCCCUUGUGCUCUUAUUUUCUCCUUUAGACAAACAACCUUUAGGAGCAGAAACCCUUUACAUAAUUCUAAGACAAGGAAACACCCGAACAGAGGAAAGGAAGGAUAAUGAGGACCUUUAAGGCCCCUAAUUCCUAAAGAACAAAAAGGAAAGAAAGGAACCAACAAAUCUUAACAUAAAUGCCUAUUUACUCAUAGCCAUGGAAGAAAAGGUAGGCAAGAGCACAACCAUGUUGCCAAAACAAAACUCAAAUGUCCAAAAUAAUAGCAGAAACAAGUUUUGAAAAGAACAAACAUCAGACAUCAACUAUGCAUAUGACAAGGAAGAAAAAAGCUGAGACUCAUACCUGCUGUUAUUGCUUGUUUUGAAUGUAAAAGAUUACAUGCAAGCUGAUGGACAAGACUUAUGCCUUCUUGCCUCUAGUAACCAAAGAAAUACUUUCUCUUGGUUUUUUUAUUCUCGGCCUUCUUGUUCCCUCUGUUUUCUUUCUUUUUUAUUUUCUUCUCGUCUCACUUUGUUUUCUUUCUCCUCUCUCUCUGUUUCCUUUUUCUAUCUAUUUCUUUCCCCGUUCAGUGAAGGUUUAGAUAGUAAUGAAAGGAUUAAAAAACCACACCCCUUGCAUAUGGCUGGAGAUUCACUUAUAUAGAUACCUUUACAGACUUAGUUUAAAGACACAUGUGCCAUAUAAGGAAAUAUGACUAUACAUUCUAUAACCAGCACCAAUCAAUUGCUAUAUCUGUGAUCUUUUAUAUUGUAGUAAUUAUUUUAUUCACAUGUAUGAUUCAGUAAUUAUCUCCUUGAUAUAUUGCUUCCUUAAUAUUAGCCUUGAUGCUCUAUGUUAUCGCCAACACGUUUUUUUUUUUUUUUUUCUGACAAAGCCAGAUUGUUUAUAUAGCCAAACAGACUUGGAGACCACUCUAAUGUUCUCUCAUCUUGACCGUAUUUGUUAGGGAAAAAAUUUGGGCCUUUAGAUCAUGAGGAUGUUCCUCUCUUUUAUCAUUUUGAAGCUCUUGUACUGGAGCUAAACUGAAUUGUAGCUGAGCAUUUGGCGUGAAAAGGGGUGAUAUUAUUGUAUGCCAAACCAGCCAGAGGAUGCAAGGGUGAGAGGAAAAAAAAUAGACUAGUAGGAAUGGUUGCAGAAAAAGAAAGGAAUUGCAAACGAGGGUAUUGUUCUCAAAACACAAAUGAAAUAAUACCAUGCUAAUUCAUUCAACUAUGGGGUUGUUUCAUACAGCGCAGUGUGGUUUGUUAAAAUGAAGGAUUGCAUGGUGUCAUUUGAAGAAGCAGAAAUGUUCCCCUAGCGUGGCAGACAAGUAACAAAAAUUAUUAUGAUGUUUUCUGAUCUAGUUCUUAUUUUUUCAAUUCCUUCAACGAAACCAAUCAACUUUCUAAUGUUUAAAAUUGGUCUUUAAUUAACCCGAUAAAUCUUUGAAACAUUAAUCGGGUCCCAAUAUACAUUUCUUCUCCAUGAUUACAUUUUGGUACGAUCUAGACCUCAACAAGUCCACAUUAUACUGCAAACUCGGGUCAAAAUCCUUCUCGUGACAUGAUUCUCUACUCUUUAGUUUUUGAGAGAGUUUCCUUACUUGAAGAACUUGUCUUGAAGAAAAUUUGUAUCUCCCAUGAAUUCCUUUCUUUUUUUUCUUUAGGUUGAGGCCCUCUAUUUAUAGGGAUUUGUAAGGAUUCGAUCCUAGGUCCUCUUCCAAUGGCACAUGACAUAAUUUUAUUGGUGGAUCUUUAUUGAUGAACUUGCAUUUAUAAUAAAAUAUUUUGAAUAUCUCAUCCCAAGUGUCAACCUUUUAUUGGUGAAGAAAUAUUUAAAGCUUCAUUUAUUUUUUUGAAUAAAACUUAUUAAUACAAGAGAUGUGAUUUUGAUGGGGGGAAAAAAAUCUUGUUUUUAUCCCAUCACAUGGAACCUGCUUCCCACCUAAGAAAUUAUAUAAUUGGUUAUUUCUAUAAGUUGUUCUAGAGAAUAUAUUCUUAAAUCAUUAUAGUUUGGCUAAGAAAGAAAAAUAAAUGGAGUUCUAUCUGCAUUUACAAUAGAAAUUUACAAUAGUGAACAAUAUCUAAGAAUAUCAGCGAUGAUGACCAUAGAUGGAUCAUUUGUGAAUUCUUAGCAAAUCAUUACUUAUAUAGCCAAAAUUUCCUUCACAACUCUUUAACUAAUUAAGCUGAUUGUCGAUGAAAAGUUAAGGAAAAGCAUGAUUCCCAAUCCGAGCUAUGUGAGCAAGUGUAUCUAGUAAAAAUAUCUCAUCUCCCAAGAAAACGAGAUUAGUAAGCCUCCCUUUAAAGCUUUGCUUUACACAUCUUUUACAGAAAAAGGGAAAAAGGGGAAAUGCUUUGAGUAUACACCUUUUCUUGAUCUUUCCCAAUCCUUCAUUAUAAAUGGGACCCAUCAAAAACAUGAGAUGUGAUUUAACCUCCUCCAUAUUUCAUCUUAGCCUAGAAGGAUAAACAAGAAUAUUACUGUUUCUGAAACAAAACGAUUGCAAGCAUCGCCUUUCGGUGAACUUUUGAUGACAUGAAACUUCCACAAAUUGGGUGCUAUUCCGAGAGAGUUUUCUUUUUCUGCUCUGUUAUCGCAUAUAUACAACUGAAAUCUUUAAGUCCUCUUCAGGGUACCCCUGAAAGAAAAUGGUCUAUCAUGGAAAGUCCUGAGGAAUCUGAGGCAUAUAAUAUGAGAUAUAUAUCGUCCCUAGAUCAUAAAAAUGAUAAAUCUUAAUCUUAUCAGGUGUAGCCAUGAGGUGGGAUCAGAACCUAUUUUCCUAAUUUUAUUAACUAAGCCAUAACUAAGUCUCUGUACUAUAUGAUUGUCCAUAAAUACAGAAUCUAGCACAUCCUUGAGUAGCUAAAGAAAGCUAGAAUAAAGGACCUCUAGCCACAUCUUCAUGGUUUAUUUUCUAAUAGUUUUGUUUUGUUAAAUUGCACUUGAAAAUACAGAACCUGUUCUUGAUAUUUCAUGGACAAUAUUUAUUCUGGUUGUGCAAGUAACGUAUACACAAAUACUUGUAAUAUUGCAUCAAAAUUCAAACUAACAACAGUAUGUGUAUACUUGUGGAUAUGGAAUCAGCCACAAGUGGAGAACCCCAUAAAUCUUGAAAACCUCUGUUGAUUGUGAUGGGUCCAAAAAGCUGAAAGCAAGUUACAAGCUGCCUGCUUUCUGCAAAUAUAUAUAAGGGCUGCAUAUAUGACCUAUUUUGUACCAAGGCAAACCAUACAGUUUUAAUUGUUCUUUGAGUUACAGUGUUAAUUUCACAUAUGGCACGUCAGGUAGAUCGUCUCACAAGGAUUGGAAUGGAAGGCUUUGCUCUGAUUGAGAAUAGUUAUGGCUGGCCUGGAAGGUCUGGAAGACUCCCCUCAACUCAGGUGCAGCAAAAUCAUCAUCAUCAUCAUCAUCAUCAAUACCAAGAUCAGCAAACAUUGGUUUAUCAGGGAACUCAAAUUACCACGGUGAGAAUGCCUGUGAUCAUUAGCAAUGAGGUAGUUCAAUACUAUGGUAACAUGGUGAAGAAGCCUGUUAUUCCUAGCAAUGAGGCAGCUCAAUAUCAAGGGGGUGUGGUGAAAGAGCCUGUUAUCACUAGCGAUGGGGCAGCUCAAUAGGAUGGUAGAAAGAAACGAUUUCGUUUAGAUUAUUAGGUUUCAUGAAUUUACUGAACAUACUUAAUGUCAUGUAUGAGUAAUCUGAGUCACUUGGUUCUUAAAUCUUCUGCUUUCUUACUCAUAGAUAAAGCAACUUGGUCUGCUAAAGAACCUUGUAAAUUUUAUCUUUAGAGCUCCUGUUGUCACGCAGUUGUCUUAUGUCAGCUUUACUGUAACUCUUUAUGUCUCUCUCUCUCUAUUUCUGGGUGUGGGUUGUGAUGAACUUUCUUACUUCUGAUAAGCCAAAUGAUUCUCAAGGCACACCUUGGAAAACAGCAGCUAAGGCAAGGCGAAAUGAAAGCUAAAGCUAGGAAUUAAAGAAAAAAACAGCAUAGAAUAUGAAGGAAAAAAUGAAUUAAAAAACAAAACAACAGAAAAAAAUAUAAAAAAGAAAGUAGCCAAAAACAAUUGGAAGAAAAUUAGAUGGUAGGAGUUUAUGUUAAAAGAAAGAUAGGUGUUGUAUAAUAUCAAAAAUAGUAAUGUAAAGUCAAAAACUCAAUAACAAGAAGAAGAUUGAGAGAAAUGUAUACUUUUAUUAAGUAUUUAUCUCUAAACUCUUUUAGUUAUUCUCUCUGCUUUUAUUCUUCUUAAUAAUGCUUUAUAGGUAUAAUUAAAGUCUUUUACAAGCCUUUUAUAGGUAUAAAGUCGUAGAUAAUCAAGGAAUUGAACUAAUACAAGGAAAUCUUAAUUUGAACAGAAAUUGUAUUAUGCUUACUAAACCAGUCAACUAGUUCCCAACCAGUGGAUCGGUUCCUCUAUUCUUAAUAAAAACAAGAAAUCAAGUUCAAUUUUCAAAACCCCUCUUAAACUUGAUUUCUUCUUAACUCCCUGCAAAUCUCUUAUUUUGGUAAAAACAUCAUAUUCAACUGGUUUUGUGAGAAUAUCUGCAACUUGCUCUUGUGUCUUUACAUACUUGGUUUCAACUUCUUUGUUUGUAAUGCAAUCUUCUAGGUAAUGAAAUCUUGUGUCAAUAUGUUUACUUCUGCCAUGAAAAACUUGAGUUUUAGCUAAGGCAAUGACUAAUGAGUUGUCCACAUAAAUCUAUGUAGACUUCUCUUAUGGGAUCUGUAAUACUUUCAAUAAUCUUAUUAGCCAUAUGGAAUGACAAACACAUAAUGUAGUAGUUAUAUAUUCAGCUUCACAUGUUGAUAAAGUGACUAUAGAUUGCUUUUUUAAAACACCAUGUGAAUGUUGUGUCUUCCAUGUAAAAAAUAAAACAAUAGUGCUCUUUUUAUCAUCCAUAUCUUUAGCUCAAUCACUAUCAUUAUAACCCACAAGAUCAAAGCUAUUAGAAUAUCCAUAAAACAAGCCAAAAUCAACAGUACCUUUGAUAUACCGAAGAACUCACUUCAAAGCUUUAAAGUGUGUCAUAGUUGGUGUACCCAUAAACCUACUUCCAAGUCCUACUCCAAAAAGAAUAUAUGAACGAGUGCAUGUCAAUUAUCUCAAACUCCCAACUAGGCUUUUGAAUGUUGUAGAGUUUAUAUUCUCCUCUUCAUCAUUAUCUGUCAUCUUCACUCCACACUCAACUGGAAUAUUCUUUUUUCGCACAAUCCUUCUUCUUGAACUUUUUGAGAAUCUCCUUUGUAAAUUUCUCUUGGCUUACAAAGAUUCCAUCCUCUCCUUGUUUGAUCUCAAUCCCUAAGUAAUAUGUCAUAAGACCAAUGUCUAUCAUUUCAAACUCAUUGAUCAUUGUUUGCUUGAAGUCUUUAAACAUCUUUAGAUUAUUUCCUAUAAAGAUUAAGUCAUCCACAUACAAACAUAUAAUAAGAGUAUCACUACUCUUUUUGAUCUUUACAUAAAUAGCAUAUUCAUAGGGACAUUUAACAAAUCCAUUCUUUAAGAAAAAGCCAUCAAUGUGACUAUAGCAAGCCCUUAGGGUUUGCUUCAAUCCAUAUAAGACUUUGUUCAACUUUAGUACCUUGUCUUUAUGUCCCUUCACUUCAUAACUCAUAGGUUGCUUAAUGUAGACCUCCUUCAUAAGAAAACCAUUAAGAAAGGCUAAUUUUCCAUCCAUUUGAUAGAUUCUCCAUCUAUGUUGGGUACCUUUGGCAAUGAUUAAUCGAAUGGUUUCCAAUCUAGCAACAAGUGCAAAAACCUAAUCAUAGUCAAUCUCAUACUUUUAGCUUUCACCUUUUUCCACUAACCUUUCUUUGUACCUCUCCAUUUCUCCUUUGGCAUUCUUCUUUUCUUUACAGAUCCACUUGACACCUAUUAGCUUUUUUCCAUUUGGUCUAGGAACAAAUUUCUAUGUGCCAUUCUUUUCAAUUGAUGCAAACUUCUCAUCCAUAACAAUUCUCUAUUUUGCAUCCUUUAUUACUUCUUCAAACACUAUAGGAUCACAUGUAGCAAGGUGAAAAUAUAGUGUUACAUCAUCAUCAAUAGGAGUAGUUACCUCAUAUAGCUCAUCAAGGCUCCCCAUUCUUUUUGGUGGACUUGAUGGGUUGCCACUACUUGAACUUCCAUUAGAAAAAAAAAAUCAAGGUAAAGAUGACACCAUUGGUGAUUGUAGAGGUGUAGUUUGUUCUUGAUGAUCUUCAUAACUCUCCUUCCCUUUAUCAAGAACCGGUAGAAAAUAAUAUUUCUCACCAUCAUCUAUCUUCCAAUCUCAUGCUCCUUCUUCAUCGAACUUAUCGUAUCUACUAAUCAUCAUAUGUCCUUCAUUGGGGUUGUAAAGCUUAUAUCUUUUGGACAUUUGCUCAAAGCCCAUAAACAUGCCAAAGUCUCAUAUGCCAAAGCCAAGUCUCAUCAGUCACGCAUUCCUGUAAGCAUUUAGGCACAUCCGUCUAUAUGGUUAGCAAAAACAUUAAAUUAUUUGUCAUGAUAAGCUUUACAAUCACCAUGAUAAAUCAGCAUUUACGCAUUCAUGUCUUCUUGAAUGUCAUUGACUCUUUCUUUAAAGGCUUGUAGUUUUCCUAUAAGUUCUUGAAUAGUUAAAAAGUCCAUAUUUUAUGAUUUUUUUAUCGUGACCACCACAUUAGGGAAUUAUUUUUGCAGUGAGCAUAAAAUCUUUUCUAACACACGUAUUUCCUACUUCUUUCCACAUAUCUCUUCAUUUGAUUGUAUAUAGUCAAUACUCCACCAAAGAAAUCUGAAAUACUCUCUCAUUCAAGUAUAUAUAACUUUCAAAAUCACCUCGUAAAUUUUAUAGGAGUACCUUUCUAGCAUUAUUAGCUCCUUAGUUUGAUUGUUGCAAAAUUUAUCAUGCUUGUUUUACGGUAGUUAUAUUGCCACUAUCUUAGAAGUGGCAUCAUCCAGAAAUUGUUAAAUAAGUGUAAGUACUUAUUAAUCCUUUCUUCGUGCUUUUUGUAUAACAUCACUUUGGGCUAAAGUCAAUGUUACUCUUUUUAUAGGCUCUUCAAAGUCUUUUUCAAUCGUUUCCAACACAUCUCGAGAACUUAACUAAGAUUUCGUAUGGAUACACCAAAUUUCACAAUUGUUCUUUGUCAAAUGAGAAUAUUGAAGUGGGAAGCUUGAAUUGGCCAUGUCAAACAAUAAAAAAACAAACUUUAAUAUCAAUUGUUGAAAAACAAUUAACGUGGUAGGAGUUUAUGGAAGGCAAAACAAUAAACAAAACUAAAGAAUAAGAAGAAGAUUUGAGAGGAAGGCAAUCUUAUUAAGUGUUUUUAUCUUCUGUAUUUGUAACAUCCUCAUAUCCGGGAUAAAAAAUAAAAUCUCAUGUCAAUCAAAAAUAGAGUAAUUAAAUUUAUACACACACAUGGUGUUUAUAUUAAAGUCAACCGAAAUUUCGAUGAAGUCUCCCUUAUACCAGAAGGUCUCAAGUUAUCGAUAUUUAACCUGUUUACACUUUUAAUAACCCGCAUCUCCUAACUCAAUCAUAACCCAAUCAUCCUGGGUCUCAAUCCCACAAAUAUCAUCAUACAUAUUAACCACAAUAUUUAUGAUGUACAUUAUAUAACAAAUAUCAUUAUGGAUGGAUAAAAGAUAUAAAUACGCAAACAUGGAACAUGGUUAUAUGAACUAUAGAGUUAAGUUCAUCAAAUCAAGUUUAAACAUUAAUUAUAUAAAUUAAGUUAUACAAAUGUUUCCAUGUUUACAAAAUGUAAGGUUAUCCAACCUAGACUACAUAACAAAAUGUGAAUAAAAGUUAACAUCUACUCCUAUCAUGUAUGCGAUGGUCCUAAAACAAAAUACAUAUUAUUAAAAUAUGAAUAUCACAAUAAGUACAGUAGCAUAAAUUUUCAAUAAUUAUUUUUAAAAAUAGAUAUGUAUUCUUAUUCUAUUCCUUUUCCCUAUUCAUUUUUGUUAUUCUUAUUCUAUUCCUUUUCCCUAUUCAUUUUUGUUAUUCUUAUUCUAUUCCUUUUCCCUAUUCAUUUCCCUAGAACUCCUUCUCAUUCAUCUAUUGAAAAUUGUUUUAUCUCUCAUUUCUAACUUCAAUUCAAGAUUCCAUAAAAUCAACCGUAACUAUCUCACCCCACAUUACCAAUACCCUUUUCAUAAGUAUCAUCAUCAUCCUAUUAGCAUUAACAUAUGGAGAUCCCCUUACCCGAGAUCCUAAAAUAUACUAAAUGUAUGCUAGUAAAAAAUUAUGGUGAUCCCCUUACACCGGGAUCCUAACAUACACUAAAUAUAUACUAGUCAAAAUAGGGUGAUCCCUUACCUGGGAUCCUAACAUACAUUAAAUGUAUGCUAGUCAAAAACACGGUGAUCCGCUUACUUGGAAUCCUAACAUACACUAAAUAUAUGCUAGUUGAAACACAUAUCACACUUCUUAUAUUUUCUUUGUUAGUGGUACUCCCAUCACUUGGCAAUACACUUCUCAUAUUUUCUUUGUCAAUGGUACUCCCAUCACUUGGCAAUACACACAAAGGUAGUUCACCUUGAACACACAUACAUUCAUGAUAUUAUCCGAAAUAAUAACAUCAUUACACCAACUUCCAUCCUUUCACAUAAUAUCCAACGUUUGUAAGUUCACAUCUCAUAUUACUAACAUAUUAAAUUCUUGAAUUUAACUAAAAAGCUCAAGUGAGGAUCACAUCCCUGCAGUAGAAGCUCUACUCGUGCUCCCUUGCUGCUGCUACUACACCAUGCAUGUGGUCCCUCUUGAAAUCAUAAGCUUAUCUUAUAAAUUUUCCUCAUUCAAUGAUAUGUUUUAUAUAAUAAUCAUAUCAAUAGCUAAUAGGUCUUUCUUUCAAUAAUUAUUUUCUUUAUAUUUUAUGUUUUUCUCAUUACACUCGUUAGUAUUGUCAUUCUUUAUACAACCAUAGUUAUCAUUCCUUUCUUUAUAAUUGAACUAUUACUGUUUAAAUCUCGAAGUAUUAUUGUUUAGACCUUGAACUGUUAUUGUAUUAAAUCGUUAUUGUCUUGAACUUUUACUGUUAUUGUAUUGAACCGUUAUUGUCUCAAACUUUUACUAUCUUGAACUGUUAUUAUAUUGAACUGUUAUUGUCUAGACAUUGGACUGUUACUGUCUUGGAGUGUUACUGUCUUAAACUGUUACAGUCUGUAGAGGUCGCAUUCCUACCUCUUCUUAUAUUUUUUGAUAUGUUUAAAAUGUAGGCCAAAUUCUCAUGGCUUUAAUAAAUUGUUAUUAAAUCCCAAAAUACAUGCAAAUACAUAUUUUUAUAUAUUUUUAAGAGACUUAGCCGUAUGCAAAUUAAAAUAAAAUAUUGUUAUUUGUAUUUUUUUGAAGUGAGAAAAUUUCUAGAAAAGGUUUUUGGAAUUUCUUGAAAUUUCAAUGAAAAAUAGGCAUUUUAAUAUCGGGUCAGUAUCUCAAAGUAUAAAUUCAUAGUCCUAAUAUGAAUUAUAAAAUUAAGAAAAUAUGUGACAGACCCACAAAUAGAUUCAAAAUGAUCCAUGGAUUAUUUUUGGAAUUUUUUGAAGUUUUUUUUUAAUGGCUUGUUUUGCUGAAUUCUAAGAUAAAAACAAGUUUAAAACUAAAAGAAAGAUAUAAGGGUGUGUCUACCAAACACCCUUAAUCUAAGGACUGGGCUAGUUGGGCUUAUCAAAGGCCCAACAAAACCCUUUUUUAGGGGUAGGGCUGAAGGUCCAGCCCAAAGCCAUCUGACAGGUUACUAGGAUGAAGCUAUUAACAAUUUGCUUGUUGCAAAACAUGAAUUAAUCAUGUUUUGCAUACAAGAAAAAUAACAGAAACAAAUAAGGAAAACUCAAAGAAAGAAGAAAAACAUUACCUAGUCUAGGUCUAAUCUUAUUGCUGGCGCUAGAAAUGGAAAAUUGUUACUAAACAGUAGGAGAUGCAGGGUUGGCUACAAGGCAUUGUUGCUGGUGGAAGGAGAAGUUUAUGCUGCUACUAUUGAGUGGCGAAAAUAGCUGGUACUAUCAACGUUGUUGGGGUGGCUCACUAUGGUUGUGUUGCUACUGUUGAGUGGUGGAAACAGCUGGUACCACUGGUUGUUGGGGUGGCUCAUGGUGAUUCCAGGUGCUGUUUCAAAGCUGGCAAAGAUAGAAACUAGUUGUCGCUGCUAGUUAGGGAGAGAGAAGGAUUGUAGGGCGGGGUGUUGUUGCUAGAGGAAGGACACUCUUCUUUGAGGGAGGGGCCAAAAAAAACUCUUUGGCAAACAUUAUAUCCACCAGUAGAUUUUUUAUCAUCAACACUCCCCGCCCAAUCAGCAUCAGUGAACCCAUGAAGUGAUAAAGAGGAGCCACAAGUAAUUAAGGUGGAUGCUAUAAGAUGACGUACCUUUCAAGUAGUGUAAGAUACAUUUAACGGCAGCUCGAUGACUCUCAGUAGGAGCAUGCAUAAACUGACAGACCUUGUUGACAACAUGAAAGAUGUGUGAUCUAGUAAACAUGAGAUACUGAAGAGCACCAACAAUUUGUUGAAAGCGAGUGGGAUCCGAGAAUAAAAUAGUAGACGACAGAUCAAGCUUGGAAAUAAAGGUUGGUGUAUCAACAGGUUUACAUGAUGACAUACGAGCACGAUAGGGAAUAUAAAGAACAUACUUAUGUUGAUUCAACAUGAGUCCCACACCAGUAAGAGUGACCUCAACUCCUAAAAAAUCAUGAGCAUUACCCAAGUCGCAGAGCUUAAAUUCUGAACUCAGUAUGGUAAUAAGGCGAUGAAUUAAGGUAGAGUUGUUACCAAUAAGUAGGAUGUCAUCGGCAUAGACAAGCAGGUAGCAAAUAUCAUGAUUCCUCGGCAAAAUAAAAAGAGAGGUAUCAACCUUGGAAGCUCGAAAACCAAUAGUCUGAAGGAAGUACUCGGACGGAUGUACCAAGCCCAAGGGGCUUGUUUUAGACCAUACAGAGACCUGUGAAGAAGACAAACAUGAUUUGGCAGAGCAGAGUCUACAAAACUUGUGGGUCGUGCCAUGUAACAACCUCUCAAGUGAACCAUUGAGGAAGGCAUUGUGGAUAUCAAGCUGUUGAAUCUGCCAUCCUUUGGAACGAUAAUAGUGAGAACUAACCGAACAUUAGUUGGUUUAACAACAGGACUAAAGGUUUCUGAGUAAUCAAUGCCUUUUUGUUGCGUGAACCCACGCACAACCAAGCGAGCCUUAUAGCGGUUAAUAGCACCAUCAACUUGGCGCUUUAUUUUGUACACCCAUCGGCAGCUAACUACAUUCAUGAAGGGAUCAAAAGGUACCAAGGACCAAGUACCAUUGGCAUGUGAAGAUGCAAUUUCAUACUUUAUAGCAGUAUGCGAGCACAUAAAACGGCCAGCCUCCUUAAAAGUAAGAGGUUUAAGAGUAGAGGGAGACAUUACUGGUGAAGAUGGAGGCAGUGAGGAAGAAGCAGUGACUGAAGUGAUGUUGGCAAUCCUGUUAUGUCUAGGACGCAGCACCAUGGGGUGCUGUCGUUGUCCUGGAGGAGCAGGGCUUUAAACAGGGGACAAUUGCCGCAGAAGAGUAUAACUUGAUAGAUUAACACAGAGGUCCAAACCUGGUGAAGACACAAUAGAUUAUUUGGAUGGAGAGGAAGAGCUGGAUGACCGUGCUGGAGAGACAACAACUGGGAGACGUGAACACAGACAAUGCGAGUUUUACCCUGUACUUGUAAAAUGAUCAACAAAUAUGGAGGCAGAUGGUGAUAAGGGGACAACGGGGUUAGAGGAAGUGGGUGGUGGGGCUGAUGGUGUAGUGGACAGAAAGAUGGUGAGCGAAGGAAGGUAUGUGACAGUGGUAAGCAGAUGGGUAUGGCUGGUAGGUGAAGGGAGAUGGACAGACUCGAGAAACGAAAACACGUGUUCAUUAAAUCGAACAUGACAUGAGAUAUAAAAACACUUAGAUGAUAAGUCAAGACAACGAUACCCUAUAUGAGAUGAACUAUAGCCUAAGAACACACAUGGAGUAUAGCGAUAGUCUAACUUAUGAGCAUUAUAAGGUCGAAGGAAGGGAAAACAGAGACAUUUGAAAGUACGUAAAAAAUCAUAAUUAGGUGGUUGGCGACACAGACAUUCAAAAGGAGAUUUGCUGCGCAAAAUCGGUGUGGGCAUACAAUUAAUGAGGUAAAUAGAGGUUUCAAAAGCCUAAGUCCAAAAUUUUAAAGGUGUCUUACACCGAUUAAGAAGGGUAAGAACAGUCUCAACAAUGUGACUGUUGUUACCCAAUUUUUGACCCACCUUUUUAAUAAACUUUUUUCAAAAAAAUCCAAAAAUAGUGAAAAACAAAAAAAAUCCAAAAAAAUAUGUUUUUAAUAUAUUUGCAAUUUUUUUAGCAUUUUCAACGUCUUCUAAAAAGAAUUUUAAUUUUCAAUUGUUUUUCGAACGCGUUCGACUUUUCACGCGUCAUUUUAAAAUCAUUAUUUUUCUCAUAGAAUUGAUGUUGAUUUUGCUCAUUUUUAAAAAAUACAAGAAAUAAACAAGAAAAAAUCAAAAUUUACAAAAAAAGAAAGUUGAGGGACCAAUUUUGAUACCCGGACAACAUUUUACCUAUAAAUAUAGGUCAAAACUCAUUUUUGAGGGAGGGGGGGCAUUUGGUAAUUUUGGGGAGAGGGAACACAAAGCAGAAACCCUAAGAGCCUAAUUUUUUCUCCCCCCACCAAAACCAAGCCGCCGGCCACAGACCCCUACCUUCUGAUUUUUCUUCUUCCUCAGCCGCCGGACACAGUAACUCUUCUCCUCAAACACAGCAGCCUUCCCCUACUAAAAAAAAGGGAGCCGCUCACGACAACACUCCACAGCAGCCCCCCCCACCGGAUUUUUUUCUUCUUCCUUCCCCUCCGGCGAUCCCACUGCCAGCCUUUCCUCCAACACCGGACAAGCUCGCCUCCAUCAGCAGCAACCGCAGAUCUGCUCUCCUCCAUUCGGCCCCCAGCGGCGGCGGCAGCAGCGCCGUCCCUCUAAUCUCUCAGCCGACAACACAGGCGCCUCUACCACCGGCCGCCUCUCCUUCGUCCCCGAUCUCUUCAUCUCCAUCAGCACCGAAGCUUUCCCGCGGCAGCUCCGGCCUCCAACACUCCUUCCUCAGCCGCCAGAGCUGCCGCUCGAAGAAGAAGGAAAGAACAUGCAACAGCUCCACCAGCCACUUAAUGCACAGGAGAAGGCAACGAAAACCAAAAAAAUAGAGGACGAUCUGCAGAUCUAAAAGAGAAGAGAGGCAGAUCCGAAAACCAUGAAAAACGAAAAUUAAAACAGACUGUUGUUGCGUUUUUUUCGUUUUGCAGGUCAUGAUCCUCACCACCGGUGAGAAGGUGAAGAGGGGAGCAAGCUAUGGCUGACCCCUUCCUAUUCGGUUCUUCUCAGGCGACGCGUGGACCCACGCGCCGCCAGUGGCGGGGGCGCGUGGACCCACGCGCCGCCAGUGGCGGGGGCGCGUGGGAGGACGCGCCGUCGCUGUCCUCGCAGUGGCAGAGGUAUUUCCUUGCAAUUUCUGGAGUUUAGGGACUAUUUUGUAAUUUUGUAAAUUAUGUAAUGUAAUUUUUAUUUAGUUUGAUUUGUUUUUAUAAUUUGUAAUGUGAUGUAUAAAAAGAACCAAAAAAAGGAUGUAAAAGAAAAGAAAGAGAAAGUGAUAAUAAUAAAAAAAAAAGAAAUGUUUGUGUGCUUGUUUUUUUUUUAUGUAUGUUAUUGAAUUAAAAAAAAUGAAUUUAAGUUAUAUGCACAAAUAUUUGUAGGACAGAUAAAAAUCAUGUUGUAUUUUCCAAAAACAAUGUAGAACAUGUAUCUACAUAUAUCUGGAAUAAUAACUGAUUUAUCAAAGCCUAGAAUUGAGCUAAAAUUUUAUUUUUAAAUCACAGCAAGCCACGAAGCUUGAAGUGAAUGUGGUGUGUAUUUUGUUUAUGAAUGUUUUUUUAUGAUAAAAUUGCAAGAAUAAAGAAGAAUUUAAUAUUCUGAUUUGCUCACGGAUAAAGAAUCAUGAACUUACAUGUAAGUUGUAUUUUCUAAAAUUCGAUGAAUAAACUGAAUUUUAAAACUUCUUUGACACAUCAAGUCCACAAAGCAGCUUACCUCAGGUAAGGUGUGUUAGGGGUGCUAAUACCUUCCCUAACCACAACCAGUCCCUUACUCGCGAUCUCUGACAAGACCAGUACAUCAGGUUUCCUAGUAGCCCUCAAUGAAUUACUAGGUGGCGACUCUAAAGAACCAAAUCAGCAAAACAGAACGAAUAAUCGCCAGCCGAUGCCGCGCGUGGAUUUUUUCGACAUGCGACAGAAUGGCGACUCCACUGGGGACGGUAAUGUUUUCCACAUUAUUGGACUAAGCUUUGUAUAUUUGAUGUGUUUAUGUUUUUGCAUUUUUGUCUUAUUUCAUUCUUUUACUCAUGCAUUUUGUAGAAUUGUUUCAUGCAUCACAUAUUGUAAUUUUUUAAAGCACACACCAGCUUCAGGUUAGGAGGGGGACUAGCAGCUUACGUUACGACAUUUAGUCAAGGUUUAAGUUUGUAUAAACCCCAACUCUUCGUUGAGUGCUUAGACUGGUAAUAGUUGGACACGUGCCAUCUCGUUGCCUACAAGCCUCCAUAUUUCCUCCACGAGGGCGAUCACUGGGACAACAAGAGACCUUUUUUAGAGACCAAAUAGUAAACCUACAUUUUUUCUCACUUACAAAAAUUAGAACCUGUCUUUAGGAUGUAUGCUCCGUAGACAUUGUUUUGCAUCCGAGCAAGCCCUUCUUGAAGCAUCUUGAACUCUAGACUUAUGGGUGAUACAAUGACCGUCGCUCAGAAAAUUUUCAUUAUAGAGUUUGUUCAAGAAUCAAGAUUCUUGUUCCAUCAUACAAGAGUUACGACCAUAUUGUCACCCCUCGAAGGGUGAGUUCAUCAUAUAGAUUACAUGUUCAUACAUUUAUCAUGCAUGAACCGGGUUGAAAGGUAGGUCCCCUGUACAAGUUGUGUUGCACGUGAUUGAAGAAAGAUGAGGGAAGUGAACAAAGGAGACAGAUAGAGGCUCAUUAUCAGAUUAAGGUUGAGAGCAUCAAAGGUGAAGUAGCUGGACUCAGAUAUGCUCGAACAAGUGUUGAGCAUCAAAUGGAAAGAGAGUGUCUGCACAGUCUUCUGUGGGAACAUUGCUUGUUCACGUCCAGUUGAAGCUAUGCCUCUCCUUUUUCGUCAUGAACAACAGCAACAAUGCCUUCAGUCAUCAACUAAUGACAACUCUGGUUCUUGUCCAGUUGCACUGUUAAAUGUUCAUCGCCUCCACAUCAUUUAAUGGAACCAAACAACUACCGGUCUCUUGUACAUGCUGCAUUAGUCUUCUUGGAAGCUACCCCAAUUAUGAGCUCAAUUCCAUUUCGGCAGCACAAGAUGUUGGUCUGAAAAACCAUGAUUAGACACUGAACUUCUACGUGGUAGAGCUCUCUCUGUAAAGAUUUAUUUGUAGAUCUGCCAAAUGGGAAAUGCAAAAGGGGAUGUAUUAAUUUCAUAUGCUUUGAAAUUUUUUUUCCCCACCAGUGGCACGAGCAAAACUUUGUAGUAGACAGAGGAGUCAGGCCUGGUCUGAAAAUAUGAGUAUUCGUCGAACUUCAACGUGGGAGAGCUCUCUCUACAAAAAUCUAUUUAUGAUGCUGCAAGUUGAGAGUGCAAGAGGGGAUUUACUAAUUGCAUAUGCUACAAAUAUUUCUCUCAUCGGUUUCAACAUGAAGAAACUGUAGCAGGUUGAAGAGCCAGACUUGGUUUGAAAAACAUGAGCAGACAUCAAACUUCAAGGUAGCAGAGAUCUCUUGACAGGAAUCUGUUUGGGGAUAUGCAAAUGGGAAAUCCAAGAAGGGAUGCAUUGGUUUCAGAUUGUCCAUAAUUGUUUCCUUCCAAUAUCGACAUUAAAAUGCAAGUGGUUGUUCGCUGCAUGUCAGUGAGGAAUCAAAGAUGAAAUAGAAGAUGUGGUAGAUUCAUUGGGUUCUCUUCUAAUUUUGACAAUGUGUGAUUCCACACGCAUUUGUUUUUAUGUGCUGCCAGGAUUACCAAGCUAUUGAGAGGUUUUCAACAAUCCUCAAACCACAACAACAUUGGAAGAUUGACGUGAUGUUGUGAGAAUUGCUGAGGGAAUUGAACAAGUUAUGAAGAGGGGAAAGAUUGAAGGUUCUGCCAAGGAUUCUAGAACAAUGAUGAGAGAAGAAUCCAAAGAAGACUCUGACUGUGGGAAACCUUAAUUAUGUGGUCUAGCCAAGUCUCAUUGUAUCAUCGACUACUUCGAUGUCUUUGCCAAAGAUAGACAUUCAUUUACCAUCUUCUAGGUGGUAUAAUCCAGACAAGAGAUGUGAUGUCAUGGUGGGGUCCUCAACCAUUUCAAGUGAACAGUUGCAAGAUUUGCAAGAAUUGAGUCCAAAAGUUGGUGAACAAGAGACAAGUGGAGUCAGUGAAGGAGGGUGUCAUUGGCUAUAUUGUUCCCCGAACAUCUUCAGAAUGACAUGUGAUAAAAAAUGCUUGGCAAAACACAGAUAUUGCUAGAAAAGCUGAUUCAAGAAUGGUGAUGAAAUGUUAAUCAUAUUGUUAUGGAAUUCUGCAUUUUGUUUUGGGAUCACAUCUCAUCCUUUACCGAAACAUGUCUUACUUUUGUCUCUUUGUUGUUUUGAAAUCAACAGAUGUUUAGCAUUUUAUUCUGACAAAAUAUUUUGAUCAAACUCCAACAUGCGAUAAAGGUUAAUCAAUCCAGAGGAUUAAAAGUGUUUUGAUUACAGAAAUGACUUGAUGCUUGAAAAUGAUAUGAGGUGACUAAACAAUUUUGAACUCAUACCUCCUGAAACUGAACCACACAUCAUAUAGCUAAGUUUUAGCAGUAUGCAUAAUGACAUGUAGUGGAUUCGGUAGUUAUGGACUCGUGAAUCAUGAUUUCUUACAAGUCUCAAUCAUUCAUUGAAUGAGGUCAAAAUUUAUCGGUUCUAACUGACCUUGCUGGAUAUGAGAAAAGGCCAUCUUUGAUAUCCCUUCACUUUCUAAAGAUUAUAUCCCUUGUAGUCCCAUUUUGAGCUGGAUAUAAUAUUUUUUUCAUGAAAACCCUGACUAGGAUCACACCCUACACUGGGGGGCAAAUGAGAGAUAUUUUGAAGACAUUGAUAUGAUUAAUGGAUAAAGAGGAAGGCUUAGAACAAAAGUUCAAUGAUUGAGAGAGAGCUAGAAGAAGACACAUAGACUGGGGGCAUAUAAGAAAGUUUUGAGGAAGGCUAUGAUGAAAAAAAAGAAGAAGAAGUUGAAAUUGCCUUCACUUAAAGACAAGUCAAAGAUAAAGGAAGGAGAACGCCUAUCAAGUCUAUGAAUAGCAAAAGAAAUUUCAAUCAAAGAAAGGCACAACAAAAGUCAAUAUUAGAGAAAAGACUAGGCUAUAAACGUGACUUUUGGUUUCUAUUAUAAAGCCUAUGAUGUUAUUAGAUGAUUGAAGUUGGUUAUUCAUCAAGGAAAGGUGGGUUUGCAUUAUAACUUAUGUUAAGAAAAGUCUGAACUUUGAGGUUAACAAGGUUAUAUGUCGUUUCCUCUACAAAGACAACAAUAGAAAAGAGUUGAUGAAUAGUUGAUGUUGAUCCUAGGUUUUUGAAACCCUCAAACACCUUUUGAGCCUUUGAAAUUCCUUUCUUUCAUAGCCAUGAACCAUAGCCUGCAUUACGUGCUUUUUAAAAAAAAGCCCUUUUUAAUCAAGCAAGCAAUUUGAAUUCGAUAAAUGGCGCUCUCAAAACUUGAAGAGCUUUUCCAUAAGGGUCGUGACUUCAUGAAUUAAGCUACUGGUUAUUAUGCAUGCUGAUAAAAUAAAUGCUAAGAAACAACCUUUCUUGAUAAAGCCGAAGCAUCUUGUUUUUGAAAUUCAUAAAAAUGUCACCUCAUCACAGACCAUCAAAAGAUAUACCCAAAUCAGAGUUUAAAGUGGAUAGAAAGAACCAUGGAAAAACCAUUUUUAAUCCUACAUUGGGUCAUUUCUGUUUUCAAAAUGCAUGACAAUCAAAGGACUAUAUAUUUCGAAUAACGUGUGUUGGGUCUUUGAUCAAAAAGCUUGAUUUUCAAAAGAUUUUCAAAAAGGACAUCUCUGAUUUCAUUUCAACAAACUAGACUUUGAAAGACAUGAUACUUUGAAAUAUGAGAGUUGAUUCCAGAACAGGAAGAUUAUCAAACACAGAAGACCAUUGAUUGAGUAUGCAAAAUCGUUGAUAGAAAUGACAUUGAAGUCCUCGACACUCCUUGAAAAGUUGAGCAGCUGGGGGCAAUACAGUAGACCUUGAAAAGGAAAAACAAGCAGUGCUCAGAUCAGCUAUGAGGCAAUGUUUAAAUGAUGAAUCAGUGAACUGAAGACAAUGAUGUUCAAAGACAGAUAAUCAAUGAACGAGCACAUUCAGAUCAUACUGGGGGCAAUGUCAUUCCAAAAUGGCCCAUGCUCUAGUGAACCCUGUCGGCAAUGGAGAAACAAAGAUAUACCUAAAGGACACUUUCCUAUCAUCAUUUUUUGAAACAUGGCUCGCGAUCGAUGAGGAAUAUACAGAUGAAUGUAAUUGAAUGGAGAAAAGAUGCAUACCACCAAGACUGACUAUGGAACAAUGCUUCACUUGAAGGACAAUGUCAUAUUGUCAUCCUUUGAAACAUGUUUAUCGAAAGAUGUUAUCACACCACUGCAUUGAAUGAAUGUCAGAAAGGCACCCACCCCGAAGACUGACUGUGUGGGACAAUUUGUUUUGAAGCCAGAUGAGCACUUCACCGCAUGAGUAUGGGUGAUAAAAGCAGCAUCAUUGAUGAGGCCGAGACAUUUCUUUUCAAAAACUGAUUAAAAGAGUUGAAGUGAAUCUAUUAAGAAGAACACUGAGCAUACAAACAUGAGCCUUUGUACUGCAAGCUAUGAGAUGCAUGUCUGGACGACUGGAUGAUUUCCAAGAAGGAUGAUGUUAACAUGUACUUGAAGAGUACUAUUUCAACUGGAGGCAAGAUCAUGACUGAUUGACAAUUUUAAUGGGCGUUGGCACGCACAACCAAUUAAAGGACAAUUCUUGAGAGAAUAUAGGAGAUGAAUGAUUUGUUCCAUUCCUUCAGGAUGAAUCGAGCAACACCACACUUGCAAGCAGGGUCAAACUUGAUGAACGAUGCGAGCAGUAAUUGUUGAAGACAGCCCGGGAUGGGCACUGCAUUUUCAACUGAGUGGAUGGCUAGCACAUGAAUGAGCCAAUGCAUCGGAAGAACAAAGAAAGCUUUGGAAUGCAAAAAAAGGCACCCUAUGAUGAUGGAGCAUCAAAGAGGAGGGGACCUAUAUUUCAAAUCAGGUAAGGAUGCAUGCAUGUCAUCUAACCUCAAAAAAAAAAAAAAAACAUUUGCACAUAUUUUUGAAUUGUUACAGGAAAAUCCUUAACGAGGUCCAGCAAGAUGGUGGAAAAAGAAAGAAGCAUUGUGGUGAUGAUGAUAAUAAAGAAUCAGUUUUGAUCAUGGAAUAAAAGGGAAGAUGGGAUGAACCCUACCAUUAGGGAAAUCCUAAAGAAAUGAAAAGAUCACCCUUGCAGUCAGGAAACACCGAGUUUUCAAAACCUAUGAUCGGGAAUUAGCAGGAAGCACCAAGUUUUCCAGCCCUUUUUCUGUCAUCCCCUUAAGACUUCGCCAGGUAAGUCUUAUUUUUCACACUUGUCAUAUCACAUCUUCCACUUGGGUUGGUCACCCCUUUAUAAUGAGACCACACUUCAUAUUAUUUCCAUCUGGGUAGGUCACCCAUGACAAUGAGACCGCACUACUUCAUAUUUUUCCAUUUUUGGGUAGGUCGCCCAUUACAAUGAGACCGCACUUCACAUUCUUUCCAUGUGGGUAGGUCACCCAUAACAACGAAACCACUUUUUCAUAUUCUUUCCAUCUGGGUAGGUCACCCAUUACAAUGAGACCACACUUCAUAUUUUUUCCAUUUGGGUAGGUCACCCAUUAUAAUAAGACCACACUUCAUAUUCUUUCCAUCUGGGUAGGUCACCCAUUGAGACUGUUUUUUUCCACAUUCUUUUGUUUUGGUUGGAUGAGGUCGCCAGAUGGGAUCUCAUAUAGCUUUGGUUAAAGGGAAUCGCCAGAUGGGAUUUCAGGUUGACCGAGCUACACACAGGUUUUUGGUUCUGGUUAGAGGGGAUUGCCGAAUGGAAUCUCAGUCUAUCCCAACCACACACAGGUUUUUGGUUCUGGUUAGAGGGGAUUGCCGAAUGGAAUCUCAGUCUAUCCUAACCACACAGACGUUGGUUCUGGUUGAAGGGGAUCCAUGAAGGAAUCUCAGUUCAGCCCAACCAUACAGAUUUUGGUUCUGGUUGAAGGGGAUCGACGAAGGGGUCUCAGUUCAGCCCAACCACACAUUCCUUGGUUAUGGUUAAAGGGGAUCGACAAAGGGAUCUCAGUUUAACCUAAUUGGAAAGGAUUUUGGUUCUGGUUGAAGGGGAUCGGCAAAGGGAUCUCAGUUCAGCCUAACCACACAUUCCUUGGUUAUGGUUAAAGGGGAUCGACGAAGGGAUCUCAGUUUAACCUAAUUGGAAAGGAUUUUGGUUCUGGUUAGAGGGGAUUGCCGAAAGGAAUCUCAGUCUAGCCCAACCAUACAUAGGAUUUUGGUUUUGGUUAGAGGGGAUUGCCGAAUGGAAUCUCAGUCUAUCCUAACCACAUAGACGUUGGUUCUGGUUGAAGGGGAUCCAUGAAGGAAUCUCAGUUCAGCCCAACCAUACAGAUUUUGGUUCUGGUUGAAGGGGAUCGGCGAAGGGGUCUCAGUUCAGCCCAACCACACAUUCCUUGGUUAUGGUUAAAGGGGAUCGACAAAGGGAUCUCAGUUUAACCUAAUUGGAAAGGAUUUUGGUUCUGGUUGAAGGGGAUCGGCAAAGGGAUCUCAGUUCAGCCUAACCACACAUUCCUUGGUUAUGGUUAAAGGGGAUCGACGAAGGGAUCUCAGUUUAACCUAAUUGGAAAGGAUUUUGGUUCUGGUUAGAGGGGAUUGCCGAAAGGAAUCUCAGUCUAGCCCAACCCUACACAUUCCUUGGUUAUGGUUAAAGGGGAUCGACGAAGGGAUCUCAGUUUAACCUAAUUGGAAAGGAUUUUGGUUCUGGUUAGAGGGGAUUGCCGAAAGGAAUCUCAGUCUAGCCCAACCCUACACAUUCCUUGGUUAUGGUUAAAGGGGAUCGACGAAGGGAUCUCAAUUUAGCCUAAUCACGCAGAAUCACUAGAUGGGAUUUCAGGUUGAUCGAGCUACACACCUAUUUUUGUUCUUGUUAGAUCGCCAGAUGGGAUCUCAGGUAAACCCAAUCGAAAAGGAAGGUCGCCCGUGAAAAUAGACCAGUGUGAGUGUGUGGGCCGGUCGCCCCUGAAAAUAGACCACUUUUCUUCAAAAGGGGCAUGUCGCCCAAGAUAAUAAGAUCAUUUUCUUUUUCUAUUCUUUACAAAGCUUACUAUGCAAAACAUUGAGGAGUUUUGCUUCGUAAGCAUUGUAAAGAGGGGGCAUCUGUUGUUACCCAAUUUUUGGCCCACCUUUUUAAUAAAAGUUUUUCAAAAAAAUCCAAAAAUAGUGAAAAACAACAAAAAUCCAAAAAAAUAUGUUUUUAAUAUAUUUGCAAUAUUUUUAGCAUUUUAAACGUCUUCUAAAAAGAAUUUUAAUUUUCAAUUGUUUUUCGAACGCGUUCGACUUUUCACGCGUCAUUUAAAAAUCAUUAUUUUUCUCAUAGAAUUGAUGUUGAUUUUGCUCAUUUUUAAAAAAUACAAGAAAAAAACAAGAAAAAAUCAAAAUUUACAAAAAAAGAAAGUUGAGAGACCAAUUUUGAUACCUGGGCAACAUUUUACCUAUAAAUAUAGGUCAAAACUCAUUUUUGAGGGAGGGGGGGCAUUUGGUAAUUUUGGGGAGAGGGAACACAAAGCAGAAACCCUAAGAGCCUAAUUUUUUCUCCCCCCACCAAAACCAAGCUGCCGGCCACAGCCCCCCUACCUUCUGAUUUUUCUUCUUCCUCAGCCGCCGGACACAGUAACUCUUCUCCUCAAACACAGCAGCCUUCCCCUACUAAAAAAAGGGAGCUACUCACGACAACACUCCACAGCAGCCCCCCCCACCGGAUUUUUUUCUUCUUCCUUCCCCUCCGGCGAUCCCACUGCCAGCCUUUCCUCCAACACCGAACAAGCUCGCCUCCAUGAGCAGCAACAAUGCCCACAACACCGAUCUUCCCUCAGCUAACCGCAGAUCUGCUCUCCUCCAUUCGGCCCCCAGCGGCGGCAGCAGCAGCGCCGUCCCUCUACUCUCUCAGCCGACAACACAGGCGCCUCUACCACCGGCCGCCUCUCCUUCGUCCCCGAUCUCUUCAUCUCCAUCAGCACCGAAGCUUUCCCGCGGCAGCUCCGGCCUCCAACACUCCUUCCUCAGCCGCCAGAGCUGUCGCUUGAAGAAGAAGGAAAGAACAUGCAACAGCUCCACCGGCCACUUAAUGCACAGGAGAAGGCAACGAAAACUAAAAAAAUAGAGGCCAAUCUGCAGAUCUAAAAGAGAAGAGAGGCAGAUCCGAAAACCAUGAAAAACGAAAAUUAAAACAGACUGUUGUUGCGUUUUUUUCGUUUUGCAGGUCAUGAUCCUCACCAUCGGUGAGAAGGUGAAGAGGGGAGCAAGUUGUGGCUGACCCCUUCUUAUUCGGUGCUUCUCAGGCGGCGCGUGGACCCACGCGCCGCCAGUGGCGGGGGCGCAUGGGAGGACGCGCCACCGCUGUCCUCGCAGUGGCAGAGGUGUUUCCUUGCAAUUUCUAGAGUUUAGGGACUAUUUUGUAAUUUUGUAAAUUAUGUAAUGUAAUUUUUAUUUAGUUUGAUUUGUUUUUAUAAUUUGUAAUUUGAUGUAUAAAAAGAACCAAAAAAAGGAUGUAAAAGAAAAGAAAAGAAAAGAAAGAGAAAGUGAUAAUAAAAAAAAAAAUGUUUGUGUGCUUGUCUUUUUUUUUUUUAUGUAUGUUAUUGAAUAAAAAAAAUGAAUUUAAGUUAUAUGCACAAAUAUCUGAAGGACAGAUAAAAAUCAUGUUGUAUUUUCUAAAAAAAAUGUAGAACAUGUAUCUACAUAUAUUCUGGGAAUUAAUAACUGAUUUAUCAAAGCCUAAGAAUUGAGCUAAAAUUUUAUUUUUAAAAUCACAGCAAGCCCACGAAGCUUGACAGUGAAUGUGGUGUGUAUUUUGUUUAUGAAUGACUUUUUUAUGAUAAAAUUGCAAGAAUAAAGAAGAAUUUAAUAUUCUGAUUUGCUCACGGAUAAAGAAUUAUGAACUUACACGUAAGUUGUAUUUUCUAAAAUUCGAUGAAUAAACUAAAUUUUAAAACUUCUUUGACACAUCAAGUCCACAAAGCAGCUUACCUCAGGUAAGGUGUGUUAGGGGUGCUAAUACCUUCCCUAACCACAACCAGUCCCUUACUCGCGAUCUCUGAUAAUACCAGUACAUCAGGUUUCCUAGUAGCCCUCAAUGAAUUACUAGGUGGCGACUCUAAGGAACCAAAUCAGCAAAACAGAACGAAUAAUCGCCAGCGGAUGCCACACGCGGAUUUUUUCGACGUGCGACAGUGACGAUGACGACACUUAACAAUACCAUUAUGUUCAUGCGUAUGUGAGCAUAUAAGGCGAUGAUGAACACCAAUGGUUUUGAAUAAUUAAUUUAAUUUACGAUGUUCACCACCCUGUUAGUUUGAACAUAUUUAAUUUUUUGAGAGAAUUGUCAUUCGACAAAGACUUGAAAUUGAUGAAACAUAUUAAAGACAUCAGAUUUGAGGACAAGAGGAUAAAACCAUAUAAAUUUCGUAUGCACAUCCACAAAAAUAACAAAAUAGAUGUCUGAUGACCUAUAAGGCUUAAAGACAGAAGAGAUGAUUUUUCUAAUGGACAAGCUUGACAUUGAAAAUUUAAAGGAAGAGAAGUACAAAUAACCUUUUUAUUUGACGCUAAGAGAUUCAGAACACGAGAGCUAGGAUGAUCGAGGCGACGAUGCCAAACAUUGGUAGAGGUGGACAUAAAAGCCUUGGGAAGACACGUGGUAGAGGACUUGGUAAGGAUAUAAAGGCCAUCUUUACUCUGACCGGAAAGAAGAAUUUCCUUGGUUAUGAGAUCCUUGAAAUAGAAAAAAGAAGAGUGAAACUAAAAAAAGAUACAAUUUUCACGACAAAAUUGUUGAACAGAUAAGAAUCUUUUCUUAAUUUUUGGAACAUGUAGAAUAUUAGACAAAGUAAAGGUUUGUUUCGGAGUAUGCAAAAUUUUAUGAGUUGUAUUAGAUAUAAUAAAUCUCUUACCAUCACCAAGAUACAAUUAAUCAUUACCAAGACAAGGGUCUUUAUGUGUCAUACCGGCAAUGUCUGGAGUAACAUGUUGAUUCACACAUGUAUCGAGGAACUGAGUGAUAGAAUUUUCCACUGAAGCAUCACUAAAGGAGAGGUUGGUCGAGGCUUGAUUCUCAUGAUGCACAAGUUGAGAGCAUUGUUGUGUAGAGUGUCUGAUGUUGCUGCAAAGUUGGCAUCUAAUCUACCAAGGCCACUAGUGUUGCCCUUUUUGUUUUUGCUGCUAUCGUAGCUCCUGGUGUUCUGCCAGGAGGAGCUCCCUCUAUUUCCAUGGUAAGGCUGGCCAAGGUACUGGUUAUAAUUGAUGCAAGAGUUACCCCUCCAGCCUCCUCUUUUUCCUUUGCACUGAUGAGAAGAGGAGCUUGACAUGACCAAAAGAUUGAUGUCUUCUCCCAAGUGCAGGAGUGUCGAAGUAAUAAAUAACCCGGUAAGACCGGGGUCGAACCACAGAGAGGUUAAUUGUAUAAAUUAUAAAUAACAAAACAACAACAAUAACAAAACAACAACAAUAAUAAUAAUACUCAGUACGUGGCGUUGUUACACCUGAGAAUGAUCCAAAAGAUCGGGUCACAGGUUUCCAGCCUAUAUACUGAGUUUAUGAAAAGAUCAAAGGGAUAUAUUACAGAAUGUAAAUAACAACAACAACAACAAUAAUAAUAAUAAAAUAAUAGUAGUAGUAGUAGUAAUAGAAGAAGAUGAAGAAAUUAAUGAGAACUUUGAGAUGAAAGAUUAAUGUAAGGAUUAAACAAUGACAACAACAAAUGUCAAGGUUAGAGGAUCCACUAAUGGUAUUUCAAACAAGUAUAGUAUAAACUUUUAUUAUUCAAUUGGAAACCACACACAAAGGAGGUUCCAAUCAGAUUCUAAAUUGUUAACAUAAUUACAUUAGUUAUCUUAUUCGAAUAAUGCUAAUGCUUGUAAAUGUUGUCGGGCAUUCAUGAUUAUAACUUUAUGUUAACAACAAAUCAAGUUCCUUUCAUAGCUCAGGUGUCGGUUAUACCAUAUAGUAUGGGCUAUGAAAGUACCAAGUAUUUGUUGUACCAUUUAACCAUUUAGAUUAACCAUUUGUUAUACAACAUAAAUCUAGAUUAACCAUUUAACAAGCAAAGUAUUGAAAGUGAACAAGAUAACAAAUAUAAAAAUGUUAGUAUCAAACAUUAAGGUCCAUGUUAAGUUUAUAUAGUACUUGUUCUUACAUCAUUAGUGUACCCUUUUCACCUUGACAUAAUUAACUUAGCUAAACAUAAUGAAAGGAAGAAACAUAAAUGAACAAGACAAGAACAUAAAUGAGAAAGAAGUUAACUAAAUAAAGGAAAGGAAAUGAAGUGCAUAAACUUGAUAUUAAUGAAAGCAAAACAUGAGCAAUACAAAGAGAGAAAGCAAGAGCAUGAUCUUGAUCUGAAAACCAAGAUGCCUCAAUACAUGGUAAGUGCCUCCUUUUAUAGGCCAAAAUUUGGAACUAUUGAUUUGUUGACUAAUUGAUGAGUGGGUGGCCACAUCUUGACUUGGUGACAAUCCUUAUCUUCUUGUCUGAACAAGACGUCAUUGCUAACAUCAUAAUUUUCCCAGAAUUCUCAAGAAUGUUCUAGGAAAUUUUCUCAGCUUUCCAACAAAAAAAAGAUGAGGUCAUUUGGACUUCUAGAACUCAAGAUAUGGGCUGAACACUAAAUAGUGUCUGGGUUGCAGGACAACUUCGGACUUCUUCGUUGUUCCAACAAUUUGGACUUCAAAACGGCCUUUUUAAUUCUUGGGUUCCCAUGAAAGUUGUAGGCCUAUAUCUUAGCUUUCCAUCCAUAUAAAAUGGACCUAAAUCCGAGAUCUAGAGCUCCAGAUAUGAUCCAAUUACCGAAUAGUGUUCCAGUUUGGACUGCACCAACAUCUCUUUUUUAAGCUUCACCCUUCUUUAUCUUCAAAAUUUCAAUAGUUGAAUUCAUCAAUCAAUCCUUUGACUUAUGUGAUAAGUCUGCAUUUAAGAUGAACAUUUACCAUAUAUUAAGGCAUUUUAUAGUAUCACACUUGUUAUUAUAAAACAUGCUUUAGUUGAGUUAUUGAUACUUCAAGUGCAAAAUGAUGAUAUAAAACCUUAAUAAACAUGCACUUUUAAGUACUAAUCAGAGCUAUUGCCAUCACAUCCAACGAAGGCAGCUGUGCAGCAUAUACAGAGGGAGGGUGUGAGGGUGUGGGCAGCAACGGUGCAGUAACUGGAAUGGAUUGAAGAGAGCUUAUAUGUAAAAAUUCAUGUGUAGACAAGUGACUAUGGAGCUUAGAAUACGCAAGAGGCUCAACAUUGGUCGACAGACUAGUAACCAAAUCUCGAAAUUCAUCGCGAAGACCUCAAAAAACAUAGAGAUUAAAGUUGGUGAGGGAGAUAAGUCUAUCUGUUGAGGCUAGUUUGUCAAAGAAGCCCUUAGCUUUCUGCAGGUAUAGAGUGACAGUAUCAUCACCUUGAUGAAGAUCCUGGACAGAGCAAUGUAAUUGCAUAAUCCUAGAGCUGGAUGGAGAGGCAAGGGUAUGUUUUAAGGUGCUCCAAACACUUGUCGAAGUUUGGCAGUCCACCACAAUGUGAAGAACAUCAAUGGAGAGGGAUGAGAGCAAAGCAUUGAAUAUGAGUUCAUAUCUUGUUGUUUCCAUGUGAGAAACGCUUGAGAAGGACAAUAAUUAAUGUUGGCAAAGGCAAUAGUAUAGUGAGUGGACAGAUCAAGUGGAGAAGGGUAGGAAUGCAAGCCAUCAACAAAUGAGAACACCCCUUGGCCAAUCAGAUAUGGCUUCAUCUGGAUACGUCAAAAUAGAUAAUUGGAAUCAGUGAGUUUGGGGUUGAUGACCUGUUGUGUAUUUGAGAGGGGAAUAACAGUUGUUGUCGCAGCAGAGGGGAGCAUGACUGCAUUGAUGUUGGGAUAAAAAGCGUUGACAUUGGUGUUGGGAGAAGAAGGACUGCUAGUGGUGCUAGCUGCAGCAAAAAGAAAAUAGAAGCUGACAACAAAUAGUUGCAGGGAAGCCGAAAUAGUAGCAAAGAAAACAGUAGAAAACGUUGACUUCAGAGCAGAAACAGUAAUAAAAAAUCAGUAAUAACUAUUGGGAAUUUCGACCGCUGAUGUACUGAUAAUUGCUCAUAGGAGGGGAAGCACACUGACACACAAUAUUUAACGUGGUUCGGCAAAUCACCUACAUCCACGGGAGAGGUUCAUUUUAUUUAGAGAUAGAGAAAGGAUUACAAAACAAAUACAUGGAGGAGGAGGAUUACUUUCUCUCUUGGUCUCUCUACAUGUCUCACAACUCUCUCAUUUUGCUCUCUAAAAUCAUGCCUCUUUUAUAAGCAUCAAUGGCAGCUCCUCUUGCUCCUUUGUCAGCAAUGGUGGCUACCAAACUCCGUCUCUUCUUUAACAAUGGUGGCUGCCAAAGUCAAUGGUUGGUGGCUGCCACCAACAAGCCACCAUUGUAGCCUCCUUCUUUGACAAUGGUGGCUGCCAAGGAUGCAAUGGUUGGUGCCAUCCAUUUGCUGCACAUGCAAUGGCAACCAACCCAACAAUCACCCCCUUUGCCAUUCAUGUGGGGCAACUGUCCUCUUGCUUCUUGAACACAAGUUUGCAUCUUGCAGCUCUUCCAAGCUUACCAUUUCGAGAGCGUCUGAGACAUAAGCCUAUAACUUUCAUGUUUUCAUCAAGAUCUAAGAAGGUCGUUUUCAAGUCCAAAUUAUAGCAACAACGGACAAGUCCGAAUCUGUUCUGCAACCCGAACACUGUUCAGUGUUUGGCCUAUAUCUGGAGUUCUAGAACUUCAAAUGACCUCCAUUUUUUUUUCAUGGAAAGCUGAGUCAAUUUUCUACAACUUUCAUGUUUUCCAGUGGACCAAGUUCGGAUGGUAGCAUUUUUUUUUUAUUCAGACAAGAAGAUAAGGAUUUUCACCAAGUCAAAAGUUGGCCACCCACUCAACAAUUAGUCAUCAAAUCAAUAAUUCCGAAUUUUGGCCUAUAAAAGGAGGCAUUUGCCAUGUAUUUGGUGGCUUGGUUGUUCAGAUCAAGCUCAUGCUCUUUAUUUCUCUCUUUAUAUUUUUUUGUAAUUUUUAAGUUUUGCUUUCAUUAAUAUCUUGUUUAUGCUUUUCAUUUCCUUUCAUUUACUUAGUUAACUUGUAUUUUCUUUAUGUUCUUGUUUUGUUUAUUUAUGUUUCUCUUCUUCAUUAUGCUUAGCUAAGUUUAUUAUGUCAAGGUGAAAAGGUUACACUAAUGGUGUAAGAAUAAAUAUAGUGUAAACUCAGCAUGGAUCUUAAUGUUUAAUAUUAACGUGUCUUAUCUUUUUAUCUUAUAAAUUCUUAAUACCUUGCUUGUUAAAUGGUUAAUCUAGAUUUGUGUUGUAUAACACUUGGUACAGCAAAUGCUUGGCACUCUCAUAGCCCAACAGUAUGGUAUUACCUACACCUGGGCUAUGAAAGGAACUUGAUUUGUUAUUAACAUCAGUUAAUAUCAUGAAUUCCUAACAAUAUUUAAAAGUUUGGUGUUAUGUAAUUAAGAUAAUUAAUAUGAUUAUGUUAAUAAUUUAUAAUGAGCUAUUAAUGAGAAAUCAUCCGAUUGGAACCUUCUUCGUGUGUGGUUUCCAGUUGAGUAAUAAGAGUUUAUACUAUACUUGUUUGAAAUACCAUUAGUGGAUCCUCUAACCUUGACAUUUGUUUUUAUCAUUGUUUAAUCCUUACAUUAAUCUUCCAUCUCAAAUUUCUCAUUAAUUUCUUCCUCCUCUUCUUUUUAUUAUUAUUAUUAUUACUGUUACUACUACUACUACUACUACUACUACUACUACUAAUACUACUACUACUACUAUUAUUAUUAUUACUACUAUUAAUAUUACUAUUACUAUUAUUACUAUUAUUAUCAUAAAAUCAAUAUAUAGGCUGGAAACCUAUGACCCGAUCUUUUAGAUCAUUCUCAGGUAUAACAACGCCACGUACUGAGUAUUAUUAUUAUUAUUAUUAUUAUUAUUGUUGUUGUUGUUGUUGUUGUUGUUGUUGUUUAUAAUUUAUACAAUUAACCUCUCUGUGGUUCGACCCCGGUCUUGCCGGGUUAUUUAUUACUUCGACACUCCUGCACUUGGGAGAAGACAUCAAUCUUUUGGUUGUGUCAAGUUUUUGGUGCCGUUGCCUGGGAGGUAAAUUCUUGUAUAAAUUAUAGUAUUUUUUUAUUUUUUCUAACUUUGUUUCUUUUGUUUUUCUUUUUGUUUUUUCUUUUUCUUCUUCCUUUUCUCUUUCUACACGUGCAUGAGAGUUUGGUCACGUACAUUAAAUGAUAAACUUUGUAAAGUAUACUCAUCUUUUUAGAAAACAUGGCCGAAGAGAUAAUCAAUCGCUUAUAAUGAGAAUAAUGAGAAUAAUCGGGUUAGAACACUUAGAGACUACAUGAAUCCAACAAGAACAAUUGCGCGAUCAUGUAUAUUUUUUCCUCCUGAUGCAUCUCAUUUUAAUUUUAAGCCAGACAUUAUUCAACUUUUACCUUCUUUUCAUGGCUUAGAUCUAGAAAAUCCAUACUUGCAUUUGAGAGAAUUUGAGGAAGUUUGUAACACUAUAAUGACUCAAAUUGUAGCAUGAACACCAUCAGAUUAAAGCUUUUUCCUUUUUCUUUAAAAGAUAAAGCUAAAACAUGGCUACAAAAUUUGAGACCAGGAUCCAUUCGUGCUUGGGAUGAAAUGCAAACAAAUUUUUAAAGAAGUUUUUUCAUCUCACAGAACAAACUCUUUCAAAAGACAAAUCACCACUUUCACUCAAAAACCAGGAGAAACAUUUUACCAAUGUUGGGAUGGGUAUCGAGACUUGAUUAAUACUUGCCCUCAUCAUGGUUUUGAAACAUGGAGAUUGGUUUCACAUUUUUAUAAAGGAUUAACACCUAAAGAUAGGCAAAUGGUGGAAUUGAUGUGCAAUAGAACUUUUGAAGAUAAAGACCCUGAUGAAGCAAUGGAGUACCUAGACUUGCUAGCUAAAAAUGCACAAAAUUGGGACACUAUGGGUACUUAUGAGGCACCGGGUAUAACUCAACCUCAUACAUCUAAUGGAGGUAUGUAUAACCUUAGGGAAGAUCAUGACCUCCAAUCCACUGCAUCUUUAGCUAGAAAAGUUGAGGCACUAGAAUUGAAAAGGAGUGGUCAAUUAAAAUUUGUUCAAGACAUUGUGUGUCAAAUCUGUGAAACAAAUAAACAUGCAACCAAUGAUUGUCCAACUUUGCCUUCUUUCAAGGAAUGCCUCCAUGAACAAGCCCAUGCUUUAAACAGUUUCCAAAGGCCCAAUCAUAACCCAUACUCGCAAACAUACAAUCCUGGUUAGAGAAAUCACUCAUUUUUUUUUUUUUAUCAAAAUGUAAGUGUAUAAAAAGAUAUACAAUACUGGAGAGCCAGCGAGUACAAAAACAAAGGUAAACAAAAAGGGAACAGACUCCCUUAGUGAGCUAUACAGAAAGCCACUGUAGAAACCAAAAAAUGAAGACAAAGGUUAUGAGAGGAAUCGCAUAUACAAGGUUCCUAUCCUAACACAACGCAAAAGACAGGACAAAAAGACAUCCUGCAAAAUUUACAACAGUUAAAUAUGACCAGAUAGCUCAAACAGAUUUAAUAAUCAAACCACGAGAGCAACCCGCAAGCCAGCAAGAAAAUGAAGCAACUACAGCAGCAACCACACAAGCUAACGGCUGCAGCAGACAAUGACUCCUCCAUGCAGAGACGGAGGCUCUUCCAUGCAGCAGGAGAAGUGCAGCAACCAGCCAUCCAAGCAAAAAUGAAACAGGAGUUAGAGAUAGUUUGAAGCAGUUAAUCCUCCAUGACACCGGCUUCAGAGAAGGAAGUUUCCCCUUCAAAUAUCUUGGUGUCCCUCUCAGUCCCCACAGACUUCUAACAAGUCAAUACUCUCCUCUGUUGCAAAAACUGAAAUUGGCAGUGCAAAGUUGGAUGGGAAAACAUCUCAUUUAUGCUGGGAGAUUGGAGCUAGUUCGGACAGUACUCUAUGGAAUGGUUCAGUUCUGGCUUAGCAUCUUUCCUAUGCCAAGCAAUGUCAUUCAUCAAAUUAUUUGCAUCUGCAGAAACUUCUUGUGGUCAGGCAACCAUACAAACAACAACUCUGCUCUGGUGGCCUGGAAGCAGCUGUGUCUCCCCAAAAAAGAAGGAGGCCUAGGUCUAUUUGAUCUAAAAGCUCGUAACAAGAGUUUCUUAGCAAAACAGCUCUGGAAUAUCCAUCUCAAAACUGACUCCAUAUGGAUCAAAUGGGUUCAUCACUUUUACCUGCGUCAGAAUAUUAUAUGGGCUGUGACUGCUCCUCACUCUUCAUCCCCUCUUUGGAAAUCUAUUAUUAUGCUAAAAGAUCAGUUGCUUGAAGACUGUGGGUGCCAAGAGGAAGCAGUAGCAUUACUUCGGCAAUGGAACAGAGGGGUUGAGAGCUUCUCGGUGCAAGCAUAUAAUUAUUUUAGACUCUCUAGUCCUCAAGUUAAUUGGGCGCGAGUGGUAUGGGAGAAAUGGUCUAUGCCAAGACACAACUUCAUUUUAUGGUUAGCAGUGUUGGGAAAAUUGAGAACAAAAGAUCGACUGCGUUUUCUUCAAUUAGAUACCUCGUGUGUACUGUGUGGGCAGAUAGAGGAAUCCCAUAGCCACUUAUCUUUCACUUGCCCUUGGUCAGCUUGCCUCUGGUUGCAAAUCAAGCUGUGGCUGCGCAUCAAUAGGAGGAUGAUGGCCUUGACCAGUGCCAUCAGGGGGCUUCACACUGGAGGAAAUAACUUAGAAGCCCGAACGAGAAGAGUCUCAUUGGGUCUCACGGUUUAUCUCAUCUGGGAAGAAAGAAACAAGAGAACUUUUGAAGGAAAGAGUACUGCGGUGGGCAUUCUUUUUAGAAAAUUCCAGAUUAUGUUCUAUACUGUUUUUCACUUCUACGAGAAAGACCACCACAUUCUCAAUGUUGGUUGAGGUGCAUGUUACGGUCCUCUGAAGAUAAGCUGCUCAUGGCAAUGCUUUUGUUCAACUUUCGCUGCUGGUUGGUUGAUGGGAACUGCUGCAUAUACAUAUCGAAGAUGAACACUGUGAUUCAAGACUGGCCGCUUGUAUAUGAAGAAGCUGAAUUUAUUUGGCUCCAUUUCACGUGGCUCUUUGGACGUAUGCUGCUGCAUGGGUAAUGCAUGGGUGGGUCCAAGUGAGUUCUUCUUUGGCAGAUUUAUGAAGCGGGUUCAUCCCGAGUGUGCAUGGUUCAUGCAAAUGGGGUUUUUCUUGACUAAGCUUCGUCCUCGGGUGGCUGCUCUCUUUUGUGCUGGAAUUAUAUAGUCAUGGCCCUCUCCUUCAGAGUGUUGCAACGUGAUCUUUGAUGAUGGGGCCCUUCUUAUUCUUACCUCAUGGUGGAGUUACACAUAGCUGCCCGUUAUUGGUUGUUAGCCUUUUAGCCUCCGCAUGGUUCUUCCUUUAAUCUGGAUGGGUGGGAGAUUCUGAUUGGCUUCCUUUGUUAUGAUGAAAGGGCUCUGCUUUCUUGGUUGUGAUGAUGAAAGUUCCAUGAAUGUGAUGAUGAAAGGUCUCUCCUUCCUUCGUUCUCUGAAUGUGGUCUGCUGACUAAUGUCCAUUGCUGCUAAAAUAUCAAUUUGUUAGGCCUGCUAUUAUGGUGGGUGUCGGCCCCUGUUUGGUUAAGUUGCCUCCGCGCGGUCCCUGCACAUGAUAUGUCGGUUGCUUCUAUUGGGCUAUCUUGGCUGUGUUAGGCUUCAAUUAUUUUGAUCUCUGGUGGGAGAUGGCUUGCGGAGCUGCACGACUCAGCUUGGUUCCGACUUCUAUGGUCUGGUCUCUUCAUGUCCUGCUUGAUUUCUUCAUGUGGCUAUUUUCGUGUUGAUUCUAUUGGUUGGUCCUAGAGAUGUUGUUUGGAUGUAUGUUUUUAUCAUAAGAAAGAGCUCUCAGUUAUUUUGAUCUCUGGUGGGAGAUGGCUUGCGGAGCUGCACGGAUAAAAAAAAAAAAAAAAAGAGUUUUUUCAGCAACAUUGUGCUGCUUUGAUGCUUAUUCAAGGGAGUUUGUUCCUUUGAUUCUAGGUAGGGAGGUUGUUCCCUUAGUUUCUUUUCAACAAGCUUGCCUUGCUUAUGGUUUGUUCAAGGGAGUCUGUUCCCUUUGUUUUCUGUCCAGCAAGUUUAUCUUGCUUUUGUUUUAGUCAAGGGAUUUUAUUCCCUUUUCCUUGUAUUGCUGGUUUCUAGUUUUUUUUUUAUCUAUACAGUUUUUACAUUUGAUCAAAAAAAAAUUAAACAGAAUCUCCUUGCCGAGACUGAGACAAGACAGCCCAGCCAGAACACAUUAAUAGGCGUAGAACCAAUACCAGGGGGCAGCACCUCAUUCAUGCUGAUAAAUGAGCAUAUAAAACUAGAGCAAAAGAUCAGCAAAAGCCCAUGCAUUCCCAAACCAUGCAGAAGUAAGGAAACAUGCACGUCCAGCAACAUCCAUGCAGAGAUGAGAGGGGCUCAGCUAAAAAUCAUGAGAACAAGUCGCAAGCAGACAAGGAGUGACAGCUACACAGCAUCCACUAGCAGCCGAGAAGACAGACACAAACAGCUCCUCCAUGCAGGGACGUAGUGGAAAACUCAGAAGCAGAAACGGGGACCAUUCAAAUUAAAGCACGUAGAAACAACCAAGCCAUCCAUGCAAAUUGAAUUACUAGCAGCCAACCCAGUCAACAACGGAAAUUAAUUCAAUAGCAGACACCCCAGCCUCAGCCAUCAAUGCAAUUUAAUUCACUAGCAGACAACCCUACCAUCCAUGCAGAGAUACAAAAACGACAGCCAUGCAAAUUAAAUCACAAGCUGCUAAUAACAGUGGGUAAUGGCUAUUCAUGCAGAGACAAGGGACCUGGCAUUAAAAGCAGCAUGUAAAAAAUGCAUGACCAAAGCUUCCCCAUGCAGUCACGUAUCGGGAUGAAAUCGAUUUGCAUGAAAUACCAAGGAAACUGAAAUUGGAACUUGCAGGAGACAGGAUCAACAAAACCAAACAUGAAGACUUGGGCUCUAUCAUUCUGAAAACAGAAGCUGAGCAGAGGAAAACCCAACUACAAAACCAGUUGUAGCAAUCAAAGAGAACUAGCAUCUUUGUCAAGCAGCAACAUGGUAAAGAGAGUGGUCUUUUUCAUGGAAAAGCAAAACUGUGUAAAAUAGAAUUUGGAAUCUUCGGAAUGUGGCAUCUACAGAGGAUGACUUCUGUGCAAAGAUGCGGUUGUUUCUUUCAUUCCAAAUCAAAUACACAAGUAGGGCAAGGGAUGCACACCUCAUUCUUAGCUUCAGCUCUUUACUCCUCCCAUUCAGACCUCUGAUGGCACUGGAAAGUGUAGACAUAGGCCGAUGAUUCUUAGCCAGCUCUUAGCUGUUUCCAGAGUAAAGAAGUCCAGUUGCAAUUGAAAAAAGAUGGGCGUGUCUCGUCUUCUCUGCUGCACAAGGAACAAACAGUUUCUGUGGGAAGGUAGCUGAGCCGGUCCCUUGUGCGGAGUCUACCAAGGGUAGCGAGCCAUAUAAUAAAUCUGGUUCAAGGCAGGGACCAUUCCUCCCAAACCACCCUAGUCCACUGGACACUCUCACCUUUAAUCCUAAAGAAAUCAUGAGCAUUAACAGAAAUGACCCCGAACCACUAUGCCAACUUUCAAGAGUAGUGAUGCAGCAGGUAUGCCUCGCAUUGUUCCACCAGCUGGUUUUUGAGAGUGCAAAUGGACUUCCAUAGAGGCGAUGAAACACUCCUUACACCCACACCCAGAUUGUUGUAUGAGGAAGGUAAUAAUGUGCCACCCAACGAAUCCACAAAGAGUCAGAUUUAAGAUGAAAGUUCCAUUGUUUUGCUAAAAAACUUUUGUUUCUUGCCCUGAUAUCUAGGAGAGCCAGGCCUCCUUCCUGCUUGGGAAGACAUACUUUUUCCCAGGAGACAAGAGCAGAGUGAGGGAACAAGAGUUACCCGACCAAGAAACUUCGACAGAUGCUAUUGAUCUUGGUAAUAACUAUACCUGGAAUCGGAAAGAUACUGAGCCAGAAUUGAACCAUGCCAUGCAGAACUGAUCUGAUGAGCUCAAGGCGACCCGCAUAGGAGAGGUGUUUCCCCAUCCAACUCUGAAUAGAAGAUUCCAAUUUCUGCAGGAGAGGGGAGAAUUGACUAGCCAAUAAUCUGUGAGGGCUAAGAGGGACCCCUAGAUAACGGAAAGGAAAACUCCCUUCUAUAAAGCCAGUAAGGUGCAAGAUGGCAAGCUUAACACUUUCCCCCACACCACCGAAAUAUAUAGAGGACUUCUCAGCAUUAAUAUCAAGGCCUGAUAUCCGACCAAAAGCAAGAAGCUGCUGGUUUAAUAUGCUAACUGACUGCGUAUCACACCGGCAGAGUAAUAGGACAUUUGGGGUGGAAAUUGAAAUCAAUAUGCUGCGUACUCUGCAUAAUCAUCCUGGAAAAGUAUUCCAUACAAGCAAUAAAAAGAUAUGGAGAAAGAGGAUCUCCUUGACGAACACCACAUUGCCCCUUGAAGAAACCAUAUAGAUUCCCAUUAACAGAAACAAAAAGAAGUAGUCUCAACACAUUGCAUAAGGAGCCGGACAAACCGAGGAGGGAACCCAAGACAGCAAUACUUGACGCAGAAAAGACCACUGAACAGAGUCAAAAGCUUUCCUGAAAUCAAUCUUAAUAAUACAUCUAGGGGAUGCCCUCUUCCUCCCAUAGUGACAAAAGCUCCUGCAUGAGGUGAAUAUUGUCAGCCAUAUUUCUUCCUCCCAGAAAAGCAUUAUGGGCAGGGCUGAUGAUAUCCUAAAGAGAAUGCACCAUUCUCCCCGCAAGAAUCUUGGAAAUAACCUUAUAAAUGACAUUGCAACAAGAUAUCAGCCGAAAGUCAGCAGCUAAGUUUGCAUUGGAUGAUUUUGGGAUAAGGGCAAUGACAGAAUGGUUGACUUGUUUGAGCAAAUGUCCACCCACUAUACUCCAUGCUUUCUUGAAAAAUAGGGAAGAGUAACCAUCUGGCCCUGGGGCCUUCUCAUUGCUAAUGCUGAAAAGCGUUUGCUGGAUAAUAUCAUUUGUUACUGGUCCCAAAAAAGAAUCAUGAGAAGCUGCAUCAAGAUAGGGGCCACAAUGGAUGACAUCCUCAUUGAUGGGAAUGGUUUGUUUUGUAGAGCCAAGGAGAUUUUUAAAGAAUCGGACGAACUCAUCCCCCACCUCAUCCACUGAAGAAGUAUACAUGCCAGAGGGGACUUGGAUUGCUGGAAUAUGAUUUCUCCUAUGCUUUUGGCUCAGCAAAGCAUGGAAGAAACGAGUGCCUUUGUCCACUUCCUUUAAGAAAGUGAAUUUAAGUUUCUGCCCAUAGUAACUCUGCUCCGCUGACUUGAGGUGCACAAGUUGUGAUCUAAGAUGCUUAUCCUGAGACUAAAGAUGGAUGUUAUCACAGUCUUGAUUCAAAAGAGAUUGAAGGCUAUCCAGUUCUUCCUCAGCCAUGGUAACACGUUGUGAGAUGUGACUGUAAUGAAGCUUGUUGAGCUCCUUCAAUGGCCUUUUCAACAGUUUCAGCUUCCGACACAAAGUGAACAUGUUUGAACCAUAGACAAGAGUAUUCCAGCAUUGCUCAAUCAACUCAAACAAUUGAGGGUGAUCAGCCCACAUGUUAAAAAAUUUGAAAUUCUUGUUUCUACAAGGCUGUCGAGAACCUAGAUGAAUAGAGGAUGGGGAAUGGUCCGAGAAAGCCCCAGGAUUAUCAAAAUGCACAAGAGCCUGUUGCUGCAAAGUGGACCAAUGAGUGUUGACCAUAACUCUAUCAAUUUUGCUCCAGACAUGUCCAUUUGACCAAGUGUAAAUGCAGCCAGUUGAGUUUAGGUCAGCAAGACCCAGGUCUGAGCAACAUUCCCUAAAGUCUGUAACUUCGUAGUUGGUCACAGGAGCACCAUUGUGUUUAUCAUCCUAAGAGAGCACCGAAUUAAAGUCACCAAGAACCAGCCAAGGAGAGUUAGGACUCCACCUCCGCAGGUCAUCCCAUAGGGAUCUCCGAAGAGAAAUAGUGUUGAAACCAUAAACAAAAAAAGCUGUGAAACUGUAAUGACUCUCCAAACAAGUAAUGAGAACAUGCACUACUUGAGCAGAAACUUGUGAGAAAAAUGAUAACAAUAAUGCACAAACUUCACAAUCAUCGUUUCAAGCACACCAUAAUUUUGAAAAUUUUCAUGGAUAUGUACCUCCUUAUGCUCCACCUUCUAGAAGAAAUCUUGAGGAAACAUUACAUUCAUUCAUUGAAAAGCAAGAGAUAAUGAACACUCAACUUGCUCAAAGCAUGACAGGUUUUAAAGAUACUCUUGCAAAGUUAACAUCUGCUCUCAGUUUUCAAGAGAACGGUAAGUUUCCAUCUCAACCACAGCAAAAUCCAAAGGAGAAAUACAAUGUAAAUGCAAGUAGUUCCAGAAGUCAAUACAAGGAUCAAGUUAAAUCAGACAUCACUCUUCGCAGUGGUAAGGUUAUUGAAAAACCUAUUCUUGAACCUUGUGAGAAAGAUGAUGAGUCAAUCUCUAAGGGUAAGGAAGGGGUUGAAUCUGAAUAUUGCAAAGACAAUACUGAUUCCCUACCAGCACUUCCAUUUCCUCAUGCCAUGACCAAACAGGAAGCAAUCGAUGAUGAAAAAGGCACCGAAAAUGUUGUCGCAGAUCAUUUAUCAAAGUUGACAAUAGAUUCGACAUCCGACAUCACACCAAUCAAUGAUUACUUUCCUGAUGAAUCUUUACUUUCUCUUAGUUCAAUGCCUUGGGUUGCUAAAAAUAACAAUUUUCUUGCUUUAGGAUUUUUUCCAGCUCAUUUGGAUAACCAAGAUAAAAGAAAGUUUUUGAGCGACGUGCAAAACCUUUAUUGAGAUGACCCUUACUUAUUCAAAUAUUGUCCUGAUCAAAUAUUUCAAAGAUGCAUUCCCGAUAAUGAGGUAAGUAGUGUCAUUAAAUUUUGUCACUCUAAAGCAUGUGGGGAUCAUUUCUUGUCAAAAAAGACGACUGCAAAAAUCUUACAAAGUGGAUUUUACUGGCCCACCAUGUUCAAGGACUCAUAUGCAUUCUACAAAACCUGUGAAAAUUGUCAAAAGGUAGGAUUUAUUUCAAAACAUAGAGAGUCUUUAGAUAAUCUUUUAUUGACUCUUAAGUCUCAUCAUAGUGGAGAUGUGCAUUGUGCAUUUCAUGACUUAUGACUCCAUUUUCAUAAAGAACAUGCUCUACUUAGUCUUAGGAAUCUGACUAAAAAAGACCCUGUUUGCCAGUUUUUAAGAAAACUAGAUGAGAAGCCUAUCCCCGACCCAUAGAGGGCGUUUAAGCCGUUCUUGGACGUAAAACCAAGGAAAGAUGUGAGCCACAAUCACAACUACUUGUACAUACACGUGCUUUUUCAAAAUAAAUAAAUAGAGAGAGAGAGUGAGACUACGGCUAGCCUACAUAUAGGUGAUAUGAUUGCAUUUUCAAUUUCUCAUCUAUAAAUUCUUCUCUUCCUUCCCUUCAUUUCUACUCAACCCAUACAUUCAUCAAAUACAGAAGUGUGUAGAAAUGGCAGGUUCCUCAAGUCAUCAGAUAAACAAUAUUUGUGUUUUCAGUGGAUCCAGUCUUGGGAAAGAAAAAGGAGUUUUUAGAAUCAGCAAAUCAUCUUGGUCAGGUACUAGCUGAGCGAAAGAUUCAUUUAGUGUAUGGAGCAGGCAGCCUUGGGUUAAUGGGGGGAGUAUCAAAAGCUGCAUUUUAGGAGGUAGUCAAGUUUUGGGGGUUGCCCCCAAAGCUUUAGCACAAGGGGACAUCAUUGAAAAAACAAUUGGAGAGGAAUUACAGGUCCCCACAAUGUCUGAUCAAAUGAAUACAAUGUUUAACCAUGCUGACGCCUUCAUUGCCUUACUAGGUGGUCUAGGCACAUUGGAAGAGAUCUUUCAUAUUUCCUCUUAGGCCCAACUGCACAUUCACCAUAAACCUAUAGGUCUGUUAAAUGUUAAUGGUUUUUAUGAUAAGUUGUUGUCUUUUCUUGAUCAUGCUGUGGAACAAGAAUUUCUAACAUCUUUGGCACGACAAAUCAUAAUCUCUGCUACUACUGCUGAACAAUUGAUUGACCAACUACAAUCUUUCAUCCCUGUAAUUGAUCCCUCCAUGAGUCGCAUAAAUUGGUCAACUAAGGAAAGCCGUAAAAAGCUUAGAUUGGAUUUGAGCCUUAGUUUGGAUUUGAGCCUUAGUUUGUAAAAACUUUGUGUCUUUUGUUUUUAUUAUUAUGUUUUGUUGUUUCUUAUAUUUGUUUAAGUGUGUUUCAGGUUUGUUAGUGUUCGCUAUUUUAGGUGAUGUCUUCUAUACUCUAUCUUUCUACCUUAGGACAUUGAGGACAAUGUCUCAUUUUGGUUGGGGGGAAAGGGUAGUAGUUGAUAUUUAAAAUUUAAAAAAAAACCGUGUUUUCUAUUUCAUAAACUAUUUGCAAAACUGUUGUUACUAGGAUGGCAGAGUAAAAGGAGUUCUUUUGUUAAAGUGACUCUUGAGACGCAUCUUAGUAAACAUUCUUAACAAGGUCUAUCAGAAUACUUCUUGAAAUAUUCAGGUUUACAAACUCUCGUAUUGCUAGCACUUGAUUCUGCUCAUAUGCUCAUUUAACAAGUAUUCUUAAAUCUUCAUUUUCACACACACUUUAACAUAUGAUUGUGGGUUGCACAUUGGAUUAUUACAUUAUUUAUGUUCUUUUGUUAAAGGUAACAACUAAGGGAAAGGGAUAGUAUAUAAUUUGAAAAAAAAAACAAAAAAAUAAUGAUAAUAAAAAGGUAGAUAAGUUUGGUUUCGUAGCCUCCCUAACCUAAGCAAUUAAGCCCGAAGGGGUGUUUUAACACUUAAUACCCUAAAGUCAACUGACUUGGGAGCUAUUGGCCCAACGCUUGUUACAUGGGUUGAGGAGAAAAGCUUAAGGGAAUCAAACAUUGCACUAUCUACGUAUCAGUAUCUGCAACCCGAGUUACUAAGCUCGUAGGGGUGUCUCAACACCUAAUGCCCUAAGACCAACUGGUCUGGGAGUCAUUAGCUGAAAGCUCGUUACAUGGGUUAAAGAUGCAUUGUGUUUUAAGUUAUAUGUAUAUAUAUAUAAAAAAAAAAAAAAAAAGAUAAUCCUAACCCGAGGAAGUUAACCUUAAACAUUAGAGCAAAAAUUUGUUUUUCUUCCAAGUAAAGCCCCAUAACUAUAUGUUGAUAUUUUGAGCACAAAAGAAAGGUUUAGUAAUAUCUUGUUUAAGAGGUAUUGAGCAGAUAUAUGAAUUUAAUGAGAGUUUGUUUAUCUGGAUAGAUUAAAGUAAGUUGAAUGAUGAAUGCCUUGCUUUAUGGAAUUUGCAAAUUGUUUUUCUAUUUUAACGCUUUGAUUACUAGGGACUAGUAAUAAGCUGGUUGGGGGGUGUGAUUAGUACUUAAAAGUGUAUAUUUAUCAGGGUUUUAAAUUAUCAUUUUGCACUUAAAGUAUCAAUAACUCCUUAACUAAAGCAUGUUUUAUAAUAACAAGUCUAAUACUAUAAAAUGCCCUAAUAUAUGGUAAAUGUUCAUCUUAAAUGCAGGCCUAUCACAUAAAUCAAAGGAUUGAUUGAUGAAUUCAACUACUAAAAUUUGUGAAGAUAAAGAGAGGGUGAAACUUAGAAAAGAGAUGUUGGUGCAGUCCAAACUAGAACACUGUUUGGUAAUUAGGUCAUAUCUUGAGUUCUAGAUGUCCAAAUGACCUCACAUUUUUACACAGAUUCAGUAAGACAUAGGCCUAUAACUUUCAUGCUUUCAUCAAGAUCUAACAAGGCCGUUUUCCAGUCCAAAUUAUAGCAACAACGGAGAAGUCCGAAUCUAUUCUGCAGCCCAAACACCGUUUAGUGUUUGGCCCAUAUCUAGAGUUCUAGAACUCCAAAUGACCUCCAUUUUUUUUUCAUGGAAAGCUGAGUCAAUUUUCUACAACUUUCAUGUUUUCUAGUGGACCCAGUUCUGACGGUAGCAUUUUGUUUUUAUUCAUACAAGAAGAUAAGGAUUUUCACUAAGUCAAAAGUUGGCCACCCACUCAAUAAUUAGUCAUCAAAUCAAUAAUUUCGAAUUUUGGCCUAUAAAAUGAGGUAUUUGCCAUGUAUUUGGUGGCUUGGUUGUUCAGAUCAAGCUCAUGCUCUUUAUUUCUCUCUUUAUAUUUUUUUGUAAUUUUUAAGUUUUGCUUUCAUUAAUAUCUUGUUUAUGCUUUUCAUUUCCUUUCCUUUACUUAGUUAACUUGUAUUUUCUUUAUGUUCUUGUUUUGUUUAUUUAUGUUUCUCUUCUUCAUUAUGUUUAGCUAAGUUUAUUAUGUUAAGGUGAAAAGGUUACACUAAUGGUGUAAGAAUAAAUAUAGUGUAAACUCAACAUGGAUCUUAAUGUUUAAUAUUAACAUGUCUUAUCUUUUUAUCUUACUAAUUCUUAAUACCUUGCUUGUUAAAUGAUUAAUCUAGAUUUGUGUUGUUUAACACUUGGUACAGCAAAUGCUUGGCACUCUCAUAGCCCAAAAGUAUAGUAUUACCUACACCUGGGCUAUUAAAGGAACUUGAUUUGUUGUUAACAUCAGUUAAUAUCAUGAAUUCCUGACAAUAUUUAAAAGUUUGGUGUUAUGUAAUUAAGAUAAUUAAUAUGAUCAUGUUAAUAAUUUAUAAUGAGCUAUUAAUGAGAAAUCAUCCGACUGGAACCUCCUUCGUGUGUGGUUUCCAGUUGAGUAAUAAGAGUUUAUACUAUACUUGUUUGAAACACCAUUAGUGGAUCCUCUAACCUUGACAUUUGUUUUUAUCAUUGUUUAAUCCUUACAUUAAUCUUCCAUCUCAAAGUUCUCAUUAAUUUCUUCCUCCUCUUCUUUUUAUUAUUAUUAUAUUAUUAUUACUAUUACUACUACUACUACUACUACUACUACUACUAAUAAUAAUAAUACUACUACUACUACUACUACUACUACUAUUAUUAUUAUUAUUAUUAUUAUUACUACUAUUAAUAUUACUAUUACUAUUAUUACUAUUAUUAUCAUAAAAUCAGUAUAUAGGCUGGAAACCUGUGAUCCGAUCUUUUAGAUCAUUCUCAGGAAUAACAACGCCACGUACUAAGUAUUAUUAUUAUUAUUGUUGUUGUUGUUGUUAUUAUUGUUGUUGUUGUUGUCUUGUUAUUUAUAAUUUAUACAAUUAACCUCUCUGUGGUUCGACUCCGGUCUUGCCGGGUUAUUUAUUACUUCGACACUCCUGCACUUGGGAGAAGACAUCAAUCUUUUGGUCGUGUCACUCAUCAUAGCCACUUCAUUGGCUAUACACCUGUCCACUCAUAUCUAGCCAUCACAUUGGCUUUGGGGCGUUCUGAACUGGGGCUCCUAUCAUGGCCCUCACACCUUCCAUAAGGUGUCUUCGCCCGUUGUCAUGGGACGGUCUGAACUGGGGCUCUUAUCAUGGCCCUCACACCUUCUCCUGAGGUGUCUUUGCCUUUCAUAGGCAAGCAUCCUCGUUCAGCUAGGAUGCUUCAGUGGCUCCAAGAUUCUCUACCACCAUGUGGACUUGGGAGAGAUUAUUGCCACUAACUACAUAGAAAGAGAAAGUUAUGGUAUACUCCUCGCAAUCCUCCACCUCGAUUUCUAUGUUUGGAGCUUCUAUGCCUUUCUGCUUGAUAGCUCCACCUACACCAAUUCUCUUUAGUGUCUUCACCUUUCAUAGGCGAUCGCCUUUUAUCAUAGGCGUUUGCACCCCCUCAAUUAGGUGCCUCUGCAACAGCUCAUCUUUCCAUCCUUGCAUGCAUUGGAAAGGUCCUCGCGUGUUGUCUUUAUCAAGAGCACAAGAGACUUCAUAUUGUACAUAGUCUCUGCUCUAAGCUUCAUCUGGGAACUCUUCUUCUCCUUGCACCUAUUGUCUCAAUACAGUACCUUGUUAGGAUCCUACGGUACUCUUGCACAAUCUCUGUGUGCCCUCGUGCAAUAUUGUUCUCCAGAUUUCUCCCUAUUCCUUGCUUAUGUUUGACAGCAGCUCAUCCUGUCACAACACCUAUCCAAGUCAAAAUAGGGUGCCAAUCUUUAUCCCCUUGCUGUAUUUCUCUUCCAUUAUCAGGGUCUUCAUCAAUUCUCCCCUCGAGAAAUCACAGUCACCGAAUAUACCUUCUUCAGAGAAAUCACCACUCCAUUAGAUCCUUGAUCAUACGGAACCCAAUUGUUCCCCUUGUGUCGUCAUCCUACUAGUCUUCACUAGUUUCAUUACAAACUGUUACAUAUAUGAAAAUAGUACCGUAUGGAUAAUCCUUCCACUAAGCAAGUUCCUAGGAAAGAUUGGAGGGGUCACACUGGUCCUGCUUAAAACUCAAUCUCCUAGACAGAACUUCUUAGGCCAUAUCUAUCCAUCGUACUAUCUCUCUAUAUAUACAACCAUUUGCUAGCUUUGUUGUGGCUUUCCUUUAUAAGUGAUCUGGAAUAUACAGGUUUAAGACAUGAUUUCUCAACAUCUAGCGAGACUACUAGUGCUUAGAUUCGUCAAGAUUGGUCUUCAUCAAUUUCCACUCUCCACUUCAAAUCGUCCACAUGACCGGGUGUCCAGAGUGUCCCAAUUUUGCCUUCCUUCAAGGCAUUAAAUUUCCCCAUUUAAUAGUUUAGCACAUGUAAUUGGGUAAACAUGUGCACCUUCUUCUUCUUCAUCUCCAUCGACCUCAAUCCAAACCUUAAGAUGCCUCCUAAUCGGGCAAUCUCUCUUUAAUAAUUCACCAUCGCCAUUUUCAGUCUCAAAUCUCAAUGAUCGGACCGUACCAUUGCAUCCGGAAUGAUCAAAUUAGCUGGAAAGAAGUCUGAAAUCAUCCAAAUCACAUUUCAGACGGCUAUGAUUUGAUGAAAACAAUUCUGGCCUGAUCAACGGCUCAGAUUCAAUCUCAGAUCCGGUUGCACGUAGACUCUGCUGCACAGAAUCCUAUCCCUCGGCUCGGCUCCAAUUCGGCUCUACUCAACUCGACUCGGCUUGGAUCGGCUCUGCUCACAGCUGAUGAUGUGGCAGGUGGGUCCCACUAUGCUGACAUGUAUGUUGACUGGUCAAUUGCAUGCUGAUGUCAUCGUUACAUCAGGCUGACGUCACCCUUUUGCAUGCUCAUGUCUACUGUUCAUGAUGAUGUCACUUUUAUGUCAUACUGAUGUCAUCCUUAUCCGAGUCAGUCACAUGGGUCGGGUCAACUGGUAUUCGGGUCGGGUCAACCCAUCCGGGUGAAGAAGACGCGUGGCACACGUGGGGCGCAUCUGCGCACGUGGGCAAACGCCUUGCCGGAGAGUGAUGGAGAGUGUGGCCAUGUCCGACGUCCGAUUUUGACACCGUUUUCACCAGUGGCUUCGUCUCUUCCUCCUCUAAACAGUGGUAUGGUCAAAACAUCAUUUUGGCAACUUUCAUUUUUGAGCAAAAAAUCAAACACCACUUCAAACCAUAUGCUCUGAUAAUUGUUGGGAAUUCCGACCGGUGAUGUACUGAUAAUUGCUCAUAGGAGGGGAAGCACACUGACACACAAUAUUUAACGUGGUUCGGCAAAUCACCUACAUCCACGGGAGAGGUUCAUUUUAUUUAGAGAUAGAGAAAGGAUUACAAAACAAAUACAUGGAGGAGGAGGAUCACUUCACUCUACUUUACUCCCAGCUUACAUUGCUGCACUUGCAGCUCCUGCAAUGGCAACAAGGCUGCUGCCAUUGCAGCCCUUCACUUUCUCUCUUGGUCUCUCUACAUGUCUCACAACUCUCUCAUUUUUCUUUCUAAAAUCAUGACUCUUUUAUAAGCAUCAAUGGCAGCUCCUCUUAAUGGUGGCUGCCAAAGUCAAUGGUUGGUGGCUGCCACCAACAAGUCAUCAUUGUAGCCUCUUUCUUUGACAAUGGUAGCUGUCAAGGAUGCAAUGGUUGGUGCCGUCCAUUUACUGCACAUGCAAUGGCAACCAACCCAACAAUAACACGCUGAUGGCUGUAGGAGAGAAGCAUUAUCAAUCAGAAAUCAACAGAAGAAGCAGAAUCAACGUUGCAGAUCGUGAGGCUAAUUAACAGUAGCACAAUGAAGCAAGUAAUUAGCUAAUUAGAGGGGCUGCUAUUUGAAGAAUAAUUAGCUGAUGAAGGAGUCGCAAUUAGAUUUUGUUGAAUAGAAACAAUAGAGGGGCUGCCAUUUGAAGAAUAAAUAUGUUAAGAUAAAUUGGUUUUGAUACAAGUUAAAAUAAUAUUUGUGCUAAUUGACAGGCUUAAUCUAAUGAGAUAGCCACCUCUUUUAUUUAUAUAAUUACAGCAAUAUAUAUGUUAUGGUAUAUCAUACUACACACGAUAAAUCAAUACAUUAAUAAUAUAAUAUUUUCUAUAUUAACCCAUUCCAUAACAUUUGUGCACUGCCAAGUCUUCGUUCUUUUUUUUUUUAAUGCAGCAAGUUGUUAAAAUUGAUAAUGACAAGAUUUAAAAUUGAUAUAUAUAUAUAUAUAUAUAUAUAUAACUCUUCAUUUGAGUCAACGUAUUUUGAUGGGGGAGUAGGUGUUGGCCAGCCAGUUGCUUUCUAGGAGUGGAUCAACUGCUUUAGCAGAUGGGCCCAUCACUGCAGAGUAAUUUUAUAUUCUCACUCCCAUUGUGGGAUUUUUCUUUAUAUUUCUUGUACCAUCAAUCUUUCUAAUUUCAUUUCAUUUCAUUUCAUCUUCAUUCGAGAACUUUCAAAGCACUUUCUCUCUUCUUCACUGUCUCCAAAACAAAAUGGCUACAGAGUUUUUUCUUACAGUUAGUUUCAUUUUCAUGUUCUGAGGGUAAUAUUCCUUAAUUAGUUGACUGGCUGACUUGCUAAGAAUCUGCACGAAAGCAUAUCCCUUAGUUGAUUCUUCAGCUAACCUUUCUCUCCGAGAACUGCAAUUUCAUAGGUGGUGGAAUCCAACUAACCCUUUUCCUUCUAUAUAGGUAUAACUAACUCUUCUUUGCCUUUUUUCUUGUUUUGAUUUCAUGAAUUUACUGAUAGCAAUAAUUUGAAAGCUUUAUGUUCAGAUAGAUCAUUGAUCAGGUUAUGUCUUCUAGUACAAGAUUAUUGUCGAAUCAUCCCAUCACAGUUAGUUCCUUUCCAUUAUCUUUUUCAUGUUCGUAGACUUUCUGCCUGUGAUGUGUUGGUAGUUAGCCAAAGAUUAAUAACUUUCAAUUGUCGGUAUCACUUAAACUUAAUUAUAGAUGAAACUAUUUGUCAGUUGCUAUUUUUUUAUGCUCUCUCGUUAUUUAGCUUAAGCUAUUGUAUUAUCUUUGAUGAUCACUUCACAUGCACCCCUUGCUAGUAUUUGCAAGAGAGUAGAUACCUUCUGCAAUUGCUCCAUUGCUAAUUAAUUGUGCCUUAAUUUCUGCAGCUGCCAUGACAGAGACAGAGUCUUCUAAAUCUAGAACAGAAGGGGCCUAUGAUGUCUUUUUGAGUUUUAGAGGAGAAGAUACUCGCAAGAAAUUUACAGAUCAUCUAUAUACAGCCUUAGUCCAAGCAGGAAUCCACACUUUUCGAGAUGAUAAUGAACUUCCUAGAGGAGAAGAAAUCUCCGAUCAUCUCCUCAAGGCAAUGCAAGAAUCAAAGAUAUCUAUAGUUGUCUUUUCAAAGGGAUAUGCUUCUUCUAGAUGGUGUCUUAAUGAGCUUGUAGAGAUUCUUGAGUGCAAAAAUAGGAAAACCGGUCAGAUUGCUCUUCCUAUAUUCUAUGACAUUGAUCCUUCAGAUGUGAGAAAGCAGACUGGCAGUUUUUUAAAAGCAUUUGAUAAACAUGAAGAACGUCAUAAAGAAAAGGUGAAGGAGUGGAGAAAAGCUCUCGAGGAUGCGGGAAAUCUGGAUGGAAUCUCAAUGAUAUGGAAAAUGGGUAUGCCUUUUCUCUCUAAGAUUCACUUGCUGCCAUUUAUGGAGCCAUUAUACAUUUGAUUUUUCAAAGUUAAACAAUAAAAUAUUGUUUUGAGCAUAUUUAAUUAACUUGCUAUCAAAUGACUUGCCUUUGUCUAUGAACAGGCAUGAAGCAAAAUUUAUCCAAGAGAUUAUCAAGGAUGUGUUGAAUAAAUUAGAUCCCAAGCACUUAAAUAUUCCUAAGCUCCUAGUACGUAUCGAUCCGCUUGCUCACAAUAUUUUUGACUUCCUAACUACUGCAACAGAUGAUGUACGCAUUGUGGGCAUACAUGGGAUGCCAGGAAUAGGAAAGACAACUAUAGCAAAAGUUGUAUUUAAUCAUCUUUGCUAUGGAUUCGAGGGAAGCUGUUUUCUUUCGAAUAUCAAUGAAACAUCAAGACAAUUUAAUGGUCUCGCUCUUUUACAAAAGCAACUUCUUCAUGAUAUUUUAAAACAAGAUGCUGCUAACAUCAGCAAUGUUGAUAGAGGAAUGGUUCUGAUCAAAGAACGGCUUUGUCGCAAAAGAGUUCUUGUUGUUGCUGAUGAUGUGUCUCAUCUUGACCAGCUAAAUGCUUUGAUGGGAGAGCGAAGUUGGUUUGGUCCCGGAAGUAGAGUAAUCAUUACAACAAGAGAUUCAAGUUUUCUACUUAAAGCAGAUCAAACAUAUCGGAUCGAAGAAUUGAAACCAGACGAGUCCCUUCACCUUUUCAGCUGGCAUGCCUUUAAGGACACCAAGCCAGCAGAAGACUAUAUUGAGCUUUCUAAGGAUGCAGUUGAUUACUGUGGAGGACUUCCUUUAGCUCUUGAGGUUAUAGGAUCUUGUCUGUUCGGGAAAAACAAAGACAGAUGGAAAUCUGUAAUUGACAAGUUGAGAAGAAUUCCAAACCGCGAUAUUCAAGGAAAGCUUAGAAUAAGUUUUGAUGGACUGGACGAUGAUGAACUGCAAAAUGCCUUCCUUGAUAUUGCAUGCUUCUUUAUUGGUAGAAAGAAAGAAUACGUUGAAAAAGUGCUAGAAGCCCGUUGUGGUUACGAUCCAGAAGUUGAUUUGGGAACUCUCCGUGAAAGGUCUCUGAUUAAAGUUACUGCCAUUGGAAAGAUAACCAUGCAUGAUCUAUUACGAGACAUGGGAAGGGAGAUCAUUCGUGAAAAGUCACCGAAACAACCUGGAGAAAGGAACAGAAUUUGGAAUCAAGAGGAUGCAUGGAAUGUACUUGACCAGCAAAAGGUAAGAGCUCAAUGCAUACACGAAAGCAUAGUCAUGCAUAUUUUCUUGUCAAGCUUAUUAAAAAUAAUGAUAUGAAAGUUGUAUUGUUUUUUUUUCUAGGGUACGGAAGUUGUAGAGGGUCUUGCACUGGAUGUGAGAGCAUCAGAAGCUAAAUCAUUAAACACGGGAUCAUUUGCAAAAAUGAGAUGCUUAAAUUUACUACAGAUCAAUGGGGUACAUCUCACCGGAUCCUUCAAACUGCUUUCUAAAGUGUUGAUGUGGAUUUGUUGGUUUGAAUGUCCUUUGCAAUAUUUUCCAUUUGAUUUUACUUUGGACAAUCUUGUUGUUCUUGAUAUGCAAUACAGUAACCUCAGAGAAUUAUGGAAAGGGGAAAAGGUGCGAAACAAACUACAAUCCACCAAAUUUCUCCAGUAUAAUUUAUAUUUACAUGUUAUGACUUUAUAUGAUUACUUUUCAUUGUUUUUCUCUCUAUUUUGACAGAUUCUCAACAAGCUGAAAAUCCUUAAUCUCAGUCAUUCUCAGUUCCUAGUUAAAACACCAAACUUACACAGUUCAAGUCUACAGAAACUAAGGUUGGAAGGUUGCUCGAGUUUAGUUGAGGUGCAUCAAUCUGUUGGAAAUUUGAAGAGCCUCAUUUUCUUGAAUCUAAAGAGAUGCCGGAGCCUAAAGAUUCUUCCCGAAAGCAUUGGUGAUGUAAAGUCUCUUAAAUGUUUGAAUAUUUCUGGAUGUUCACAACUUGAGAAGUUGCCAGAAUGCAUGGGUGAUAUGGAAUCUUUAACUGAGCUGCUAGCAGAUGGAAUUAAAAAUGAACUUCUACCUUCAUUUGUACAUUUAAAGUAUGUCAGAAAGUUAUCAUUGUGUGGAUACAAUUUCUGUCGGGACUCACCAUCACCUACAUCCUCGGUUUCCCAAAUUUCAUCAUGGCUUUCACCGUCGUCUACAUCCUGGCCUCUACCAGUUUCAUCUUCGAUCAUAGCAAGUACUGUUUUAAAUUGCAAACGUUUGUUGCCAAUAUCUUUCGAAUGGAGAUCAAUGAAAUGUCUUAAGGUUUUUAAUAGUGGUUUGUUUGAUCGCACAACCAACUGUGUUGAUUUCAGGGGUUUGUCCUCUUUAGAAGAAUUGGAUCUAUCACAAAACAAUUUCUCUAACCUGCCUUCCGGGAUCGGCUUCCUUUCCAAGCUUUUGAUUUUGAGUGUUCGGGAAUGCAUCAAGCUUGUAUCAAUCUCAGAUCUUCCCUCAAAUUUACAGUGUUUGGAUCUCUUUCGUUGCAGUUCAAUGAAAAGGGUAAGAAUUCCAAUCCAGUCAAAAAACUCACCAUCUAUGGUUCUCCAGAAAUGUUAUAUGUUAGAAGAGAUUCAGGGCAUCGAAGGUCCAAGUAAUAAUUACUGGUCUAUUGACGUUGAUUUCCGCAGUGAUUCAUCCAAUAAUUUCCUGAAGAGUCUUGCUGAGGUACUAUCUCUGUCUCUCCAGCACACAAAUAUACACAUUAAUCAAUUAGUUUCUAAAAUUUCAGCAUUUCUUGAAAUCAAUAUAUAUAUAUACAGGCAUCGUGCAAUGGUGAUUAUGGGUAUUUUAUUGACUCCGUUCCUGUUAACAUGCCAAAUUGGUUAAGCUACCGUGGAGAAGGAUGUUCAUUAUCAUUUCAUAUACCUCCAGUUUUCCGAGGCUUGGUUGUCUGGGUUGUUUCUCUAUUUGAGGUUGGUAGUAGUGGGAAUGACGCCAUCAAAUACACGGUUAUUAUAAAAAAUAAAAACAACGGUGUUCAAUUGUUUGAAGAUAAACUAACAGUAGUAUGCAGUUACCCUCGUAAAUGGGUAAGAUACAUAAGUAUAAGUGAUAUGGCAAUGGAAGAAUACUGUGGAGAUGAGGAAUUGGAACUGUAUCUGGGGAGCCAGUCCAUUGAUGGAAGCAAAGUGGUACAGUGUGGGAUUCAUGUGAUAGUAGAAGAGACAGAUUCAUUUCAAGGCUCAGAGUGGGAUCGGGAGAUUAAAGAGUUCGAACUGCACUUGAAUUCGGGGAGAAAAGACAUCAAAGAGUUAGAAGUGGGAAGAGAUAGAGUGAUGCCUGCAUCACGGCCAUAUCGUCUGCUUCCUCAUCAUCCCAAUUAUGGUCUUAUAAGAGCGUCUACAACUGCGCAGUGGAAAGCUUAUUUCAUGCAAAAAAAACCUCGCCGAGUAAUAAUUUAUGGUAAGAAUAAAUAUUCCCUUUAGUUUUAUUUAAUUCUAUUUAAUUUAUGAAAUUAAAUAUUAUCUUUAAUGAUUUUUUUUCUUAUUUAAUUUUAAAAACAUCAAUUAAUUAUUAGCUAUAAAAAUCCCCCAAAAUGCAUUAGUUGAAUCACUUAAGCUGAUAUCAAACAAUCCAUCGAAUCGCACUUAAUUAAACCAUUAUUUUUAUCGGUAGCAACUCGUGUGUCUUUCAAGGCAAAAGAAUAGCAGGAAGAGCUAAAAUUAGAAAUAUUUAGAGAAGGUUUGAUUUAUUUUUUUAUGAUAAUAUUUUUAAAUUUCUUAAAACAUGAAUUGAAAACUUGUAUGUUUCGAUAUUCUUGUGUAAAAAAGAAAAGCCAACAAUGACUAACAUAAAUUUAUAAAAUCACUUUAGUUGAUUUGGAAAUUUUUUAAUAUUGAUUUUUGUUUUUAUAUUUUAUUUCGAAUUUGAUAUUUUAAAACAAAAAAAAAAACGAUGUGAAAAUAACCUUUUUAAUUAUAAAAUAAGUUUCUUAACUAAAAGUAAAACGGAGUUGUUUUUUGUAUUGAAUUUUAUUGGUUUGUAGGGAAUGGAAGAGGACAACAGCCUCGAAGACAUGGACAACCUAGUGUUGGAUUGGACGUGAGAGCAUUAAAAGAUAAAUCAUGGAGCACAAGAUCAUUUAUAGAGAGAGAUGCUUCAAUAUUGUGGUUUAAUGCAAGCCACCAGUUAUGAAGGUUCCCUAUGCGCAUCCCGCAUAUUACUACGUUCAUCAGGCAAACCAAAUUCCUGCAACAAAACUUAUCGACAGCAACGAGGCAGCGCAACGCUACAAAGGGAGGGUUUAUAUCGAUUACCCUAAGGGGAAACCAGUUCCGUUUUAAAGACCUAUUGAUCAAUCACUUACGUUUCUUCUAUGCAUAACCUCCGCCAGUACUUGUGUUACCUGUAGUCCUGUACGAUAUUCUCCCUCUGCUAAACGUAGACGAGGAGAGGUUGCUAGAACUCGAGUCAGGAGCUUCUUCUUGCUUCUUCAAAUAAACUUUCUGUGAUUUAUAUAUCAUAAUUUUCUAUUUGGCUGGUCAAGUAUGUAUUGUCAUAAUUAUCUUUCUGACUUCCUAAUUAUCACCUGAUUCACCUCUGAUUGUUGCACUGUAUGCAAGAGUACUGCACGUAUGAAUAUAAACAGCAGAUCUGCUCUGUUAUUGCCAUAUGCUUAAAUAGAUCGCAGGAUCCACAAACAACAAGUGAUGGCAAAUUUCUUAAUAGUGAACAAUAAGCUGAUCAUCUGUUAAUUCUAUAACCAAAAUUUCCUCCACAGCUCUUUAACUAAGCUGAUAGUCGAUGAAGAGUCAAGAAAAAGCAUGAUUCUCAAUCCGAGCUAUGUGAGCAAGUGUAUCUAGUAAAAAUAUCUCAUCUCCGAAGAAAACGAGAUUAGUAAGCCUCCCUUUAAAGCUUUGCUGUACUCAUGUCUUUUACAGAAAAAGGGAAAAAGGGGAAAUGCUUUGAGAUGUGCUUUAACCUCCUCCAUAUUUCAUUAAAAACCUUCAUUAUAAAUGGGACCCAUCAAAAACAUGAGAUGUGCUUUAACGAUCCUCCAUAUUUCAUCUUAGCCUGGAAGGAUAAACAAGAAUAUUAUUGUUUCUGAAAUAUAACGAUUGCAAGCAUCGCCUUUCGGUGAACUUUUGUUGACAAGAAACUGCCACAAAUUGGGUACUAUUCCGAGAGAGUUUUCUUUUUCUGCUCUGUUAUCGCAUAUAUACAACUGAAAUCUUUAAGUCCUCUUCAGGGUCCCCCCCGAAAGAAAAUGGUCUAUCAUGGAAAGUCCUGAGGAAUCUGAGGCAUAUAAUAUGAGAUAUAUAUCGUCCCAAGAUCAUAAAAAUGAUAAAUCUUAAUCUUAUCAGGUGUAGCCAUGAGGUGGGAUCAGAACCUAUUUUCCUAAUUUUAUCAACUAAAGGGAAAGCCACAACUAAGUCUCUGUACUAUAUGAUUGUCGAUUAAUACAGAAUCGAGCACAUCCUUGAGGAGCUAAAGAAAGCUAGAAUAAAGCACCUCUAGCCACAUCUUCACUGUUUAUUCUCUAAUAGUAUUGUUUUGUUAAAUUGCACUUGAAAAUACAGAACCUGUUCUUGAUAUUUCAUGGACAAUAUUUAUUCUGGUUGUGCAAGUAACCUACACACCAAUACUUGUAAUAUUGCAUCAAAAUUCAAACUAACAGCAUUAUAUGUAUACUUGUGGAUAUGGAAUCAGCCACAAGUGGAGAACCCCAUAAAUCUUGAAAACCUCUGUUGAUUGUGAUGGGUCCAAAAAGCAGAAAGCAAUUCCACCCGAUUGUGCUUAUUUCCAUUAAUUGGAAAGUGGGGAUGAAACUGUUGGGCAGAGGGAUGAAGUGCCCAAAAACUGCAAUAUCGUCACAUUAAUUAAACUGAGAUUAUUCUGAUUAGGCUUGGGAUUGUGCUUAUUGCCAUUAAUUAGAAACUGCAAUUAAACUGAGAUUAUUUUGAUUAGAGAACAGAAGGAAUAUUCUUUCAUAAUUGGCUUCCGAGAAGGUUUAGUGUUUUUGCUACCUCUGCUUUUAGACCUGACAUGAUUCCUGACCGGUAGAAACUGUUAGGAUACUGGCAUGCAAACCCGACAAGACAAAAGGCUUAAAUGAGAAAUGAGACACACAAGAAUUUACGUGGUUCACCCAAUUAGGCUACGUCCACGGGCAAGUAUAGAAGGAUUUUACUAGUAAUGUGGGAAUUACAACCUCUCUCAAAUAAUAGGAGAACAACUAAGAAUCUCUCUAUUAUUAGGAGAAAACACAUCACUUACUCUCUUACAAAUACCUCACAAUUUUGUGGGAUUACUUUCCCUCUCUCACUCUUCUCUUCCUCUCUUAUUUCUCUCUUGUGGUGUGUUUUUAAUGCUUGGAUGCAUUGCCUAUUUAUAGGCAAGCAUCCAUGCAAGAGCAAGUGGCCAAGUUGGUUAAGGCACCUCCAUCCAAGGUAGGCACCUCCACCAAGGUAGGCACCUCCACCCAAGGUAGGCACCUCCACCAAGGUAGGCACCUCCACCUAUCUUCACAUUCUCCCACUUGAAGACUUUGAUGAUUGAAUCAAGUCUUCACACUUCAUCAUUUGUGAUUCUUCUAUCCUUUCGAUACUUGUCAUCUUCAUGCUGCUUACGUUUCUGCUAGGCCACAAGAGGAUCUGCACCAUAUAUACUUAUCAGUGUUGACUGGUUUGGUUAAAGCAUCUGCUGGGUUUUCCUUUGUGUGAACCUUCUGAAAAUCCACACUUCCAUCUUCCACCACUUCGCGAACAAAGUGAUACUGAACAUCUAUAUGUUUUGUUCUUGAAUGAAACGCUGGAUUCCUUGCAAUAUGCAAGGCACUCUGACUAUCACAAUACAAAAGAAUCUUCUCUUGUUUGUGCCCGAGCUCCUCCAUAAGUUUCUUCAGCCAUAUUGCUUCUUUACAAGCUUGUGUAGCUGCCAUAUACUCAGCUUCUGUUGUGGAUAACGCUACAACAGUCUGAAGUUUAGAAACCCAGCUCACAGCUCCUCCUGCAAUUAUGAACACAUAGCCUGUAGUGGAUUUUCUUUUCUCCAGGUCACCAGCAAAAUCUGAAUCAACAUAACCUCUGACAGUAAAUUUUGAUCCUCCAUAACAUAAUGCGGCAUCUGAGGUACCCUUGAUGUAUCUCAAGAUCCUCUUAAUAGUAUUCCAAUGCUCUCUACCAGGAUUUGCCAUGUAUCGACUAGAAAAUAUCUCAUUAAAGUCUAUUCCUUCUUUCUAAGCAUAUCCUUUCACCACCAAUCUUGCACGAUACCGCUCCACUUGAUCAUUGCCAUCACGCUUUAUCUUGUAAACCCAUUUGUUGCCAAUGGCCUUUCUUCCUUGUGGUAGCAGAACAAGAUCCCAAGUGUUAUUCUUGUGUAGAGCUUCAAUCUCCUCUUGCAUUGCUGUCAUCCACAUAGAUACAUCUGUGCUUUUGAUAGCCUCAUGGAAAGUUGAUGGCUCUCCAUCCUCUGUUAGAAGACAAUAUGCAAUGUUGCUCUCGGUAACAUAUUCUGAGUGCCAAGCCGGUGGUCUUCUUUCACGAGUUGACCGUCGAACUUCAGGAGUUUCAGACUCUAUUUGUUCUUGUUCUUCAUGCUCUGGUACAGCUUCAGAAGAAGUAUGAUUCUGAGUAUUUUCUAUCUGGACUUCUGUAGUCUCCUUUAAAAUGCUAUUAUUUUCUUCCAUUUGCAUUUUAUCUUCUGCAAAUAUGACAUCUCUGCUGAUGACUACCUUGUGGGCAGUGGAAUCCCACAAGCGAUACCCCUUCACUCCAUCAGCAUAUCCCAAGAAUACACAUUUUCUGGAUUUUGAAUCCAGCUUGCUGACCUCUUGAGUAUUGUACAUCACGUACACAUGACUUCCAAAUAUAUGCAAUCGAGAAUAAUCAGCUGGCUUUCCAGUCCACAUCUCCAUUGGUGUCUUCAACUCAAUUGCAGUAGAUGGAGAUCGAUUUAUCACAUAACAGGCGGUAUUGACUGCUUCUGCCCAGAAUGACUUUUCUAGACCUGCAGCCUUCAACAUUGCUCUUGUUCUUUCCAAUAGAGUUUUGUUCAUCCGCUCUGCCACUCCAUUUUGUUGUGGAGUGUAUGCCGUUGUGAACUGCCUUUUGAUACCUUCAUGUUGACAGAAGUUAUCAAAUUCAUCACUGGUAUAUUCUCCUCCAUUGUCAGUCCUCAAACACUUGAUCUUCUUUUCAGAUUCAAGUUCUACCCGCGCUUUGAAGGUUUUAAAAACUGCGAACACAUCUGCCUUCCUUCUAAUCGGAUACACCCAACAUCUCCUGGAGAAGUCAUCUAUGAAUGAUACAAAGUAUCUUGCUCCUCCCAAGGAUACAACCGGUGCUUGCCAAACAUCAGAGUGAAUCAGGUCUAAGAUGCAUUUGCUCUUAGUUGUUGAUGUGCCAAACUUCAACCUGUGUUGCUUGUAACACAGUGCUCACAAAAAGGUAAAGUAACCUUUGUAAGCCCAGGGAGUAACUUCUGAUCAGAGAGAACCUUUAAACCUUUCUCUGACAUGUGGCCUAGUUUUUGAUGCCACAUCAUCGUCUUCUCUUCUGCAGGACUGGCUGAUGCGAUUGAUGCUUCUGCCCCUGAUGUGUUUCUCCCAUUAAUACAAACAUGUUUGCAACUGUCUUUCUUGCCUUUAAAACCACCAGCGCGCCUUUGACAAUUUUCAUGAUUCCAUUGUCUGUUCGGAUCUUACAGCCAAGACUAUCAAAUUGUCCUACGGACAAAAGAUUCUUCUUUAAGUCUUUCACAUGUCGCACUCCUGAAAUAGUACGAAUUAAGCCAUCAUACAUCUUCAAUUUGAUGGUGCCAAUGCCAGAAAUCUCUACAGCAUGAUUAUCACCCAUGAACAUUGUGCCUCCAGAGAUAGGUUCAUAUGUAUGGAACCAAUCUCGUCUAGGGGUCAUAUGCCAUGUUGCUCCUGAAUCCAUUAGCCAGACCUCAGUGAGCUCUUCUCUAUCUGUAGAGAUUGUUGCUGCUUCACUAUAUAAAAUCUCUCCAUCUUCUGAGGUGCUUGCAACACAUCCUUGAGGUUUUGAUGACUCUGCAGUAUUCUCUAUACCCUUUUUAAACCAACAAUCCUUUUUGAAGUGCCCUUUUCUGCCACAGUUGUAGCAUUUCACAGCCUUCUUACUUCUUGAUUUGGACCUCCCCUGCCUUUGACUCCCACUGAAGCCACGUUCCGUUGAUCUUCCUCUUGAUACCAACAAUGCCUCAGCUUGGUUUGAACUGUUUCUGUCUCCUUUGUUUUUGCGCCUAUUUUCUUCUUCCAAGAUAGCAGCUGCAACAUCAUCGAAGACUAAAUAGUCUGAGAGGAUAUUAUUGGUCAAGUUGAUAAUGAGCUGAUCAUACGAAUCAGGAAGACUUUGAAGUAGAAGCUCUGCACGUUCAUGUUCCUCUAUUUGUUGACCCAAUGUAGUGAGUUGUGAAAAUAGAGUUCUUAUUGUGUUGAUGUGGUCAGUCACCGACGUGGUUUCUGCCAUUCGAAGGGUAUAAAGUCUCCGCUUUAAGAAAAUCUUAUUAUGCAAAGACUUGGACUCGUAUAGCUUUGUUAGAGUCUCCCAUAUCUCCUUAGCUGUUUUCUUCUCCGCCACACUUGAUAAUACUUCAUCAGCUAAUGCUAAAUGUAUGUUAGCAAUAGCAUUGCCAUCCAUCUCAUUCCAUUUUGCAUUAUCAGUGAUCUCCGCGGGCCGAUCCCCAAUUGCUGCCAAGCAAUUGUCUUUCCUCAAGAUUGCCUUGAUUCUCAUUUUCCACAGUGAGAAAUUGCUCCCCUUGAACCUCUCAAUCUCGUACUUUGCUGCCAUUGUAUUCACCGAGAUCUAUUCAGCUAUCACCGUUUCACAGAUCUGUAACGUAUAUAGAAAUAGUAUCGUGUGAAUAAUACUUCACUAAGUAAGUUCCCAGGAAAGAUUGGAGGGGUCACAAACGGUCCCGCUUAAAACCCAAUCUCCUUAGACAGAACUUCCUAGACUGUAUUUAAUCACCGCACUGACUUUCUAUAUACGACAACAGUAACGAGUGAACAGUACCGUAUGAAUGAAUAGUGCCGUAUAGGUGAAUAGUACCGUAGACGUGAAUAGUAACCGUAUACACGAAUAACUUUUGUGUGUUAACAACACCAACCAAGAAGGCUCUGAUACCACUGUUAGGAUACUGGCAUGCAAACCCGACAAGACAAAAGGCUUAAAUGAGAAAUGAGACACACAAGAAUUUACGUGGUUCACCCAAUUAGGCUACGUCCACGGGCAAGUAUAGAAGGAUUUUACUAGUAAUGUGGGAAUUACAACCUCUCUCAAAUAAUAGGAGAACAACUAAGAAUCUCUCUAUUACUAGGAGAAAACAUCACUUACUCUUCACAAAUACCUCACAAUUUUGUGGGAUUACUUUCCCUCUCUCACUCUUCUCUUCCUCUCUUUUCUCUCUUGUGGUGUGUUUUUAAUGCUUGGAUGCAUUGCCUAUUUAUAGGCAAGCAUCCAUGCAAGAGCAAGUGGCCAAGUUGGUUAAGGCACCUCCAUCCAAGGUAGGCACCUCCACCAAGGUAGGCACCUCCACCCAAGGUAGGCACCUCCACCUAUCUUCAGAAACAACAUUAGUCCAAAAGAAGGGAAGCUUUUGUUUUCUUUAAUCACAUGAUCAGAUGUUCUCAUUUAUGCCCAGCACAAAUUCAUAAAAGUGGCUCUCAUGAUUGGCUGAAAACAGUUGUUGAUGAGCAGUGUUUGACUCCCUUAUUUUCAAUUUACUAAGUCGAUAAUAAUAAACUCUUGGUGAUGGCUUUCUCAUCGAUGGUGAUCGGACGACAAAAAAACCAGUUAAAGUUUCUUAUGUAUAAAAUAUAUUAAGUAUUGAAAACAUCCAAAUCUAACAGUUUUAAAUUUUUUUGUGUUUAAAUUUGAUAUUAACAAACUUUUGAUGAUUUGUUUUUUCAUUUAUAGUGGUUUUAUCGUCAGUAGUGAUAAGAUGAAGAAAAACUAUUGAUUUUUCUUUCUGCAAUGGUUAGUAUCAAGGUUGUCAAAAAUAUUUUUUUUGACACGACAAGAAAUACAUAAUAUAAAUUCGGAUUGUAAACUUGAAUUGUAAAAUCAUAAAUAAAAUAUUUUAGCUAAUUAUAUAUUGACAAUUCCAAUCAAGUAGUAAAUAAUAAUAUAAUACAAUUAAAAUAAAAGAAAAAUAAACAAUACAAAUAUUCAAUCUUAAAAUACAUUAUUCAAAUAAAAAUUUAUACAUGAUUUAAAUAACUUAACAAUACAAUAUAAUACAAUUAUGUCCAUAGAAUAUCAUUUACUAAAAAUUAACAAAUCUAAAACAAACAAUCUGUUGGUGUGUCAUGUAACUAAACACAACCUUAUUGCCUUUAUUUUUCUUGUUAUUCCUAAAAUAUUCAUUAAAAUUAUUACCAUCAAAAAAAUUAUUCUAUAUAAAAGUUGGCUUGGCCUCCUACAUAUUAGCCAAACAAGAAAACCACCAAAACCUAUACACAGCUACUUGUCUUUGUGUGUUGAUUGCUUGUAGUUAACAUGGUACGUCAGGCAGAUCGUCUUGUUAAGAUUGGGCAGGAGGGUUUUGCAGCCAUUGAUGAGCACUUCGGCCUGGCCAAGAGGCGGCCACCAGUUAUGAAGGUUCCCUACGCGCAUCCCACAUAUUACUAUGUUCCUGCAACAGAAGUUAUCGACAGCAACGAGGCGGCUCAACGCUAUAAGGGGAGGAUUUAUGUCGAUUACCCUAAGGGGAAACCAGUUCCGUUUUAAAGACCUAUUGAUCAAUCACUUACGUUUCUUGUAUGCAUAACCUCCUCCAGUUGUGUUACCUUUAGUCCUGUACGAUAUUCUCCCUCUGCUAAACGUAGACGAGGAGAGGUUGCUAGAACUCGAGUCAGGAGCUUGUUCUUACUUUUCAAAUAAAAU